rnacentral:lncRNA from 1 species
CUUGGCCCGACGCCUUGUCCUUUUUAUAUCUGUUGGGUGGCGCGUGCUUCGUUUAGUUUCCUCAAUUUCUGCUACUGCUAUCGAUGUGUGUGAUUCUUUUUCUUAUCUCUUUUCUUAGUCUAUUUGCCGGUGGUGAAAGAUGAUGAAGAAUUUGCAUAGGAGAAAUGACGUUUCCUCAGCUUCCGCUCACGGAAGGGUUGGAGGGAUCGAAAGGCCUGAAAUGGCUCAAGUUGUGCUAUUGAGGCAAAAAUCGACACCCGUGAGCUGGAUUUCUCGUCGACCUUCGAGGGAGCGGCGGAGGUGAGCCUCAGAUAGAUGACUGAUGCUUGAACGAAGAAUGUAAGUUCACAAAGCAUCCUCAGUUGUUGUUGUGGCUAGACGUGAUACUACAGUUAUGGAAUGUGUGGAGAGUCCUAUAUACUCUGUUGGAUCUUUGGUCUUUCUACUUUAUUGUUGUACCUAGAAAUGAAUGAGCAUAUGAAUUUAGCACAUGAAUUUUGUCUUAGUUAUAAUGCUCUUGGCCCAUAUUAAUGAUUUUGUUAGUCUCUCUUUUUGGUUGUUGCAAGAUCAGCACCAGGGCCAUUUUUCACGGUCAUUCAUCACGAAUAGUUACGAUCAAAGAGAACACUACUUGUCUGAAGUGAAUUGAUUCCCCUAGAACUCAAUCGUUACCUAACAUUUCUGUCGGUGUUCUUUUGUAUGAGCACAGGUUGCUUAUGUCCAGACAGCAUUUACUUCUGCUAGGACAUUCCCACCCUGCACAACUCUCUUAGUGCUUCUUGCAACUCGUUAGGUCUAGCAUGCGGUUUUUCUGUUUGGAAGUUACUUUCCCUGUGCAUAGCUAGCUGGAUUUGAUGCCAAGUGAAACAAAUUAUCGCAGUCAAGAUCUAAAAACUGAAGAAAUAAUUGCCACACUAGACUACGCUGACGGAGACUCUUUUGAAUAUAACAAAGUGGUCUGUCCAUCAUUAUCUCUUGAUUGCAUCAGAAAUGCAGGCAUCGUAAGCACUGUUAACUCAGUCUAGAGAACCUUACAAAAGCUCAAUCACAAUUUAGUUAGCAGAGUGUUAAGCUACAUAUUUACACUCUCACGUUUUCAACAAAAUAUCAGGAUGCAAAGUACUACAACUCAACUGACAAAACUUGAAAUAGGAUUGUCUUAAGUGACACAAAUCAAAAGCACAACCAUAAUAAAGAUACAUGUCAUCGCGAAGAUCAGAAGCCAAGUAAAGCAUGUAGUCCUAGAGCUCUCUGAGUAUAUCUCUGAUGCUCGUACAUUAACCUGAUUUGUGCUUGCCAAGCUGUCCUCAACAGCGUUCUCUGUUGAAUCAAGUAUCUGCAAUGAACCCAUAAGGACCUUGUCAGACUUAAGUAAAUUGUUCUGUUCAAUGGAAAAGCCACUGCCCAGGGAAAUGUCUUGAUUAAAGCAGCUGUUUGCAGCAGACUUGCAAGAUUGAAGCAGAUCGCUCACGUUACAUCCCAGAAUUGCCAUUACGAAAGGAAUCAAGAUAAAGAAAAAUUAAAGGACACCUAACAUAGUACCAAGAUCUACUUUUUCUGUAUUUUGCAGGGACUGACUCAUCACGAGGCUACUCUCUUUCAGUUGCCAUGCCAAACCCACCAUUUCAUCCGUCAGAGCCUCUUGAAGCUUUCUGUUGAAAAGGAAAAGGUACAAUCACAAUAUCUGUGUAUAAUUCUUAGAGAAGGACAAUCAUAACACCGAAGUAUUGGUCAAAUUUUUCAAGCAGCAGCCACAAAGUAAGCUGAAGGUUCAAUGUGGACGAUGGGAAAACGAGCUUGAAGGAAAAAGAAGCCUAGACACACUCGGGGAGGGGAUUGUAACUCGCCAACUAAAUCACACUCUACUUUUAAGCCCAAGAAAGUUUAAACUGAUUCAACCUUAGAGCCAUAUGCUAGUCUCACAGCAUAUCUUCUUCAACCUUACUUGACACCAGAGUCCAGAAAUUUUACUCUUUUCUGUUAUGAUGUCGUUCAGUAUGUAUCAUUUCAACAUAUCUUCAUACCUGACCAGAUUCUUAGAUCCUUCCCGUUCCAGCCUAUAUAUAAUCUUGCUUUUUUUUUUUUACUUCUCAUGACGUCGACAUAUCAUGACGAAGGUUUUUCCUCACUAGUAUGGUCCAGCUCUCUAAGUUCUCACAGUGCCCCCAUAAUCAGGUGUUCAGGACGAAACCAUUUUAUCAACAGGACAAGAAGCAAUGCAUGAACUAUUCAAUAUCUCUGGGUAUGGAAAAAUCCCCAAACUAUAAAGUUGUCUUGUAAUAACACGAUCAUGACUAUUUUUCAUUAUUGAAAAACAAGAACGAUAAAACCUACCUGUGCUUUUCAAUGGGUGCUUGUGCUGCAGCAUCAAGUUUGACAGGUCCUGAUGUAUCAAAUUCAUUAAGCGAUCGAGACUUGAGGUCGGCCCGUUAAAAUCUAAGUGAUGAAUUAAAAUGACGAAUUGGUAAUAGCUCAUGUAGAUAACUUCAGGCAAUAAAACAAAUACAUCAUCACUGUAGUAGAUUCACUUACCUAAAUCUCCUUCUCAAUCCUGAUCUUGGGGUAACCGGACCUUCCAAUUCUGUAUGAGGGCUUUCUACAGAACUUCCUGGAAAGGGCUCCUGAGUCUCUUCCACAUCCACAUCAUGCUGAGAAUUGCAAGCAGAUUACCAUAUCAUUAAACCUCAUACCUGACGGAAGGCAACUCAAACUUUUUCAGUUGAAAGUGCACUUAAAUAGGACUAGAUAAGUGAGUUGACAACAUAGACGCCUGCAAGAAGAAAAGCUGAAAGAUUCGUAGGAAGCACCAGCAAUCAGCAACCAUCUAAUAUAAUCUCCACCGCCCGCCCCCCCCCCCCCAAAAAAAACACCUCUCUAUGGGUGAUAUAUGUAGUCUGUUGUGACAGUGCUAGUACGAACACUUAGAGGGGGGUCAAUAGGUGUGAAAACAAAUUUUGCAAAAUAUAGUGUAAAACUUUACUUUUAACAUGAGUUUGGUUGACAACAGACUUUGUAGAGGAAAUCAGACUCUAUCAGACUCUAACAAUUAAAUAGAGUUACGAACAAAAUAAAAGAGUUCGGGGAAGAGAAUAAGAAUACAAGGUUUAUAGUGGUUCGGCUUAAACCAAGCCUACAUCCAUUCUCCCGCACUGACAGUCCACCGGCUGGAUUUCACUAAUGAAUCAAAAGAUGUGUUACAAUCUCAUGUCCUUGAUUCCACAGUGUAGAGAUUCUGCUACACUUCCUCAAGGUCUCACCAGUAUCUAAUCUCUCUUUUGAGUACGAAUUUAAGCUCAACAAUUGAGUAAGCAAAGUACAAGGAGUUUCAGACUUUAGAAUUUAUCUAUUUCACACAACUUCGAAUAACUAGAGCGUCUUCCUUUAUAAACUCCUCUAUGCCUUCAUAACCGUUGGCACCUUCCAAAUGAGUUCUUCUAAUCUAUCCGUUGGACAGAAUCAAUUAGGGAGAUCUCGAGUUAUUUAAGGAAUAUGAAGAUAGACCACCAAUCCUGCUCGCCCAUAUAAUCAGGAUCUAGGUUUCCAUAAGUAGAACAUUUUAAGUAUAGUUCACCAAUCAACGUAUUUAAAUUACUCGAAUUAAUUUCAAAAUGAAUAGUAGAUCUUGAGAUGCCAUCUCCAACCGUGAGAACUUCUUUAGCUGCACGAAUCAAAUCUUUAAAAAUAUGCUCGCAUCUGGAUAAGUCUUCUUCAUCAGUCUAGAAACUGUCAAUGAGGGCAGAAUUUAAAUCUUGAAUCUGGCGGUCUUCAGACUUUGAUGGUAGAGUCUGGAAGUCUUUAGACGAGACUAAAGAAAAUGUUUUGUCAACUUCAAAACAGAUAAAGAAGUUUUCUCCAACAUGUUGUAUACACAAUGUAGAGUUAUACUUAUUGGCAAUUUCAAAUGGUUGGCUAUGAAUAUGAUAUAUUGAACCGGGGGACAUGAGUGACUGGGCACAUGCAUUUUUGAAGCUAUUGCCAAUACACAUCCCGAAGUGCACAUAUAUUAUAAUCUUAAGGGGUUAAUACACUCAUGGGCCAACUUGGCCAUCUACUAGGAGAACAUGGCCUAUUCUCUCAUUCAACAACAAUACCUUGAAGAAAUUAAAAUACUCCAGUCCAUGUUAGCAUUUUGGAGCUUGCAGUUGAUGGUGUUCACUUGCAUCAAUAAGGGCAAGUUAAUAAAACCAUGCUAGUCCGGAGGCCUUGCUUUACAGAAAUCAACAGACGAAUAAGGCCAUCUAAGACUAUGGGGAACGAAAAUUUACCUCUUCUGCUUCGCUCUUCAGAGUUUGACUGGAGGGGCUUUAGGAGGCGAUGGCAUAGACUAGGAUACGGGAGGAAACGGCGGGAACCUAUCACGGUCACUAACAUCACAUUGACAUCGCACUAAACUCUACUAAGUAGAUACCAAAAAUAAAAAUAAAAAUAAUUUAACCUUUGGACGUAGGGGACGUAUAGGGGCUGUCAAUGGGGCUGCGAUAGGUGACAGCAGGGCGCGAGGAGGCGAUGGCAUCGGCGGCUUUCGUGUGCAGGAGGAGGGAGAACUUCGCAAAGGAGGGAGAGAGAGAGCAGAGCAACCUCUGCUAGCGAAGAGGAAGGCAAAAUGCGAGCAAGGGGUCGUUGGUGUCAGCAAGUAGGGAUGCUCUGUAGAGGAAAGAGAGAGAAUGGAGUAGAGGUGAAGAGAGGGAGGCAAAAACACAACAGUGGAGCUCGGGGAGAUGAUGGUGGAGAUGGAGGUGGAGGUGUUGGCAUCGUCGUCGCAGUUCGCUGGAAGAGAGGUGUGAUGACGAGAGAGAAAGCACAAAACCAUUUUUUAAUCCUCUCUAUAAUGGAAUGGAUAACACGGGGAGAGAGAGAGAGGGAGGGAGGGAGAGAGAGAGUUAAGAGCAUUUGGAGACGUGGGCCAAGGUUUUUGGAAGAGAGAGACAGAGGAGAUGGGAGCACAAAAUUUUCAAUUUCUUCUCGUGGGGCUCGGAUUGCACGCAGACGACAAGUGUCAAAUUUUGUGUGGCUUUCCACAUGGCUCACGUGGAGUGUGAAACUCACAUGAUAUUAUAUUUUCUCGUGGGUUUCCUCCGAGUGCAAUGAUUGUUGAGAUAGGGAUCUUUACUUGAUGUUAGAAAAUAAUGAAGAAAAUGAAUUACCAUGAGGAGUUGAGAUGCGAACUACAGAAAAGGAGUGUCUGUUACCCAGCCUGAAAUAUCCAAUUAGAAAUAAGUUCAGAGAGGAUAAAAAUAUCAUAACUGUCAUAAAUCUUAUAUGACACUUGGUUGAGGGUCAUAACUUUUUUUAAUCACUUGAAUGUCAUAAAUCUAAAAAAACACUUAAUUGUCAUAGCUUUCAAUCGAUCAUUUAAAUGCUAAUUUUUUUUAACAACAUUCACCCAGUGUCGGAAAUUUGACAUGACAUAGUGUUUGUGGUAAGCAUUUUUUUUAAAUGACAUUCAAAUAGUCAUUUGAAAAGUUAUUCGACAUUCAAGUGAUUAAAAAAAGUUAUGACACUUAAAUGAAUGAUAUAAAGGACAUUCAUUCAAAGGAAAAAGAAAUUUGGCUCAUUGCCAACUUAUUCUGAGGUACGUCUUUGACCAUGUCAAUCCUAGGCGUUUCCGCGCGUCUCUCGACUCAAAUUUAGUCUUGCGUCCUUGAGGGAGUCUCGAUGUUCAGUAGCCAUCGCAAGUGCUCCAGCGAGUCCGACCAAACGUCUUGCAUCGUUUUAAUUCGUCCAUUUGCGUUAAUAUCAACAGAGGAGCCGCUCUGUUUUGCCUUGUUUUUCGGCCAAUAAACUAAAAGUGCUUCUGAAUUUGGACUGUUCAAUCAUUGCAGCGCCCAUACCUCUCGUUCUGUCGAGUUUUCUUUCUACCUUCAUGGUAGUUUUCCUUUUACCCGAACCCUAAUCCCAUCUUUCGCUCACCUUGCUGUAUCCGAAGACUCAUCUUGCUUCCCAUCAUCUCAAAUUCAUCUCUUUCCGUUCGUGCUGUCCGAAAUUACCCAUGGAUCCAUCAAUUUCGUCCAAUCCCUAACACCGCCUCUUAACAAAUCCGCCUUGUCGCGACCCAAUUUUUCGGGGGUGAGCCACCUAUGGUUUGGCUAAUGGACUACUAAGUUUUGUAAACUUAGCUCGGGCUCUCCCAAGCCCAUACCAAUUCGCGACUUAGGUUUUAAUUCUUAACAUGCAAAUUUUUUAAUUAUGAGUCGCCACUAAUCGAUUUAUGGUAGGUCGAUUAGACACCUAAGUAAAAUAAAGGGAGAUUUAUUUUACUCCUACGAACUAGAGAUUGAGGAUACGGGGACUUAAUUACACUAGAUUUAUCUAAUGCCCUUUCGGUACCAUUUCUUUUUAAUUUUUCAAAAUGUUUUUGCAAGCAGCUGAUUUAUUUUAACCUAAAUUACUAUUAUGCCAAAUAUGGUGACCACACGGGUGCUCAUCCAUUAUUAAAACAUUCAAAUAAAUUGCAUCACACAAGGCAAGCAAUCAUUUUUUUUUUCUUAAAAAUUAGAAUUCUUUUAUGAAAAUGCAUUUUAAAACUAAAUGACUAAAUCUUAUUAAUAUGCAAAUUUUAAUUAAAUGGGCCUAUUAUGCAAACUAAUUAUUAUGCACCUCAUGACCUAACUUCACUAAUUAACAAGUUCUGAUUAAAUAAUCCUAUUAUGCAAACUAGUUAACAUGCACCUAGUAUUUUUGCAUUUUUUUUAUUGAAAUUCAGAAUUCAUGAAAACCUUAAUUAAUCUAUCUAAAAAUGAUAUUUUUCUAAUUUAUUCUAGGGAUUAGUUUGACUUAAACCCUAUCCUAUCUUAGAAAGCUAUUUUUUUGGGAAAAUGAGAUAAUUAGAAUAUGUGAACAUUAUCUAAAACCCUAAAAAAUAUUUAGGUUCAACCCUAACUUAUUCCUAAAAAUGCAAUCUUAAAAAUGCAAUCCUAAGAAAAUCCUAAUUUGUUAAACCUACAUGCUUGAUUUACUAAACCUAUAUACUCAUGCAGAAUUUUGAUUUUUUUUAUCUUAUGAUUUUUUUUAGUUUUUUUUAAGAGAUAAAUAAUUAUUAAAUCUAAACUAUCAACAAAAUCAAGCAAGAAAUGAUUAAAAUAAUCGAAAAAUAACCUGUUGUCUCACAGGUCAAAUUAACGGUUAUUCUAACCCUAGUUAUCACAGCAGAGAGAUCAAAAUAAUUACAAAUCUGAUCCGAAGUCUUACGGACCAAAUUAAAUAAUUAUUGUGAUUUAACAAUUAAAAUUUCACUAAGAAAGCCCAACAAUUAAAAUAAUUAAAAAAAAUGAUCCAAUGUCUCUUGGAUCAAAUUAAUAAUUAUAAUAAUUCCAGACAAAAUCCCUGCGGAUAAUGCAUACUAAAUUCACAAAUAUUAACAUAAAAUAUUACAACUUAAAUAGAUAAAGUAAAAAUGAGAUAAAAUAGAACAAAAUAAAUAAAAGAAAAAGCUAAACCACCUAAAGAAAGAGGGGCUUGCUGCAGCGUUGAUGGGCGCCGGAUGGACGCUGGCCGGCGUCGGGUACUGCAGGUCAGUGACGGCAAGGUGGCACGGGAGGUGCAGGCACGGGUGUCGGGUCGAGCAGCGAGAGGGCUCGCGGGCGUUGCGGGUCGCAGGCUGCUGCACAGCGAUGCUCGCGGGUGCUGGUGCGCGGAGCAGGGGCGGAUGUCGAGGCAGAGACCGGCGGAGGGCGAUUUGCAGAGGUGGGUCGCGUACUAAUUGGGACCUGCUGUCUUUGGGGGGCCACGGCGUCGAGCACGGCGAGAACAAGGAGAUUGGCAAGCAGCAGGGUCGCGGGUCGCAACGAUGGUGGUGAGCAGUGGCGCCGGGGUGAGCUCGCGGGUGCAGAGGCGCGGCGGCGUCGGUUGCUGCAGAGGCGGAGUCGCGCUGGCUGAGGCGCGACGAGUGCUGGGCGGUCUGAGACCCGAUCGUCGGACUGCUGGCGUUGGGUUCGCAGAUCGCGGUGGUGCUCAUGCGGAGCUGCGGUGGGCUUCGGAGCGAGGCGGUUCUGGUGCGGCGACCAGUAGCGACGAACGGGUGAGCUGCUGCGACGGCGCUGGUGCAGAGGUGGGGCAGCUUCGCGGACGAACGACGACGGGCUGGCGGAGGAAACACCGAUGCGGUGGCCGGCGUGGAAUCUGUGACUGGAGGCGCGGCGAAUCGGGCAGCGAGAGGAACAGCGAGGAAGAUGAACAGUAUGAGUCAAAUCAGCCUUUUUACUUUACCUUUUCUCCUCUCUCUCUCUCUCACGUUCUGACUUUUCCUUUUCUUUUUUUUCUGCAGUUUUUUUUACUGCAGAAGCAAAACCUCCCUUGACCUACCUUUCUGAAUUUUUCUCCAAGAAGCUCCCCCCGGACGAAGAGAAGGCCACCCCCCCAUUUAUAGAGUGAGAACUUAGUUUGCUCAACCUAUGAAGAUUUGCAUAACAACUCAAUCGCUGAAGAUCAUCUUUCGAGAUUAUCGUGUAUGCUGACUCACUCGGCCAUUGAAAUCAUCUAUUAAAAUCUUCCAAGCCGACUCGCUCGACCAUUGAAGAUUUUAUAUGCUGACUCAGCGAUUGAAGAUAAACUGGAAUUUUUUUGUGAAGAUUUUUCCAAAUAAUUCACUUUAGCAAUUCUAAAAUCUUUCGAGAUAUCCAUCCGCAACAAAAUAUUUUAGAAUAUUCCUUAUCCUCCUUAAUAUUCCCAACUUUAAGAUUAUAGUGCGAUUUUUUAAUUUCCAAAAAUCAUAAUAAUAUCGCAUGAAAUCUUAAAUUUUCACAAGAUAAUUAAUUAAACAUAACGACGGGCUUGGGUUAAUUUUCUUCAUGGGCUUAGUCCAGCCUAUUAAUUUAAAACCCAAAAUCACUAAUUCAACCCAUCCACCACCGGUCCAGUAAAUGCAAAUAAAAAAUAAAUGCACCUACAACUAAAUGCUAUGCAAUUAAUUAAUUAUUGAUUAAACCCUAAUUUUAAUGCGAUAAAUGACUAAACGGACCGUUAAAAUCUAGGUGUCAACAGCUGCCUCUCUUUAAAGGUGAGCUCAAAGAGGUUGCCUUCAAAGACGAAUUGAGACCUAUAUUUUGACUAUGCACAUGCAUUGAAUGAAUUUUUUUUAAAAAAAAAAAUGAAUUCCAUUUUAAAAUGCAAUUUAUAUGAUGCAUGGAAAUGCUAAUGCAAAUGAACCUACCUGGAAUAACUUACCUUCAAAGAGGGUAGAGUGAUUCAAGAUAGUUAGUGUUACAUGUCCAGGAUCCGUACCAUUUUACGGUCGCCCAGAAUAGUAACAUGGCUUUGUAAAGAGACUGCUUUCCCAAGACUCGUACCAUUCUACGGUCGCCCAGUAUGACAGUGUUUGGUUGUGUCUAGGACUCGUACCAUUCUACGGUCGCCUGAAUAGAGAAAUAGGUUUUGUCUAGGACCCGUACCAUUCUACGGUCGCCUGAAUAGGGAAAUAGGUUUUGUCUAGGACCCGUACCAUUCUACGGUCGCCUUAAUAGGGAAAUAGGUUUUGUCUAGGACCCGUACCAUUCUACGGUCGCCUAAACAGGGAUUUACCUUCCAGGACCCGUACCAUUCUACGGUCGCCUGAAUAGGGAAAUAGGUUUUUGUCUAGGACCCGUACCAUUCUACGGUCGCCUAAACGGGGAUUUACCUUCCAGGACCCGUACCAUUCUACGGUCGCCUGAAUAGGGAAAUAGGUUUUUGUCUAGGACCCAUACCAUUCUACGGUCGCCUAAACGGGGUUUUGCUUGGCUAGGACCCGAACCAUUCUUCGGUCGCCCAGCCUUGCAACAGAGGUUAACUGACCAGGACCCGAACCGUUUUUCGGUCGCCUUAAUUAGAUUGAAUCUGGAGGAAAAUCUUUGGGGGACAACUCAGUCGAGUGUCGGUGUUUUCAAAAGGGACUCUGGGCUAUGACAGCACGCCAGGUCAAUAUAAAGGGACAUCGGGCUACAAAAGCACGCCAGGUCGAUAAAAUUGGACAGCUUGACCAAGUCAAGUGUCGAUGCACUUAAGAGAGAAUACCUGCACAAUGACAAGUAUUUUAGAAUAUGGUAGAGAUAUACUUACCUGGUGAUAUCUCUAAUCCUUGGGGAUAUGUCUUUUGGAAUUUAGAUAUCCUGUGGAGGUCUUUCACCUCCUGAUGGAGGUUUCUCAUCUCUUAAUAUCAUGAAACAUUCUGAAAGGAAUUUGAAUUACCUGUCAGACAUGAUUUAGAGCAAAAACUGAUAUGCAUUCAUCAAAGAGAUAGAUAAUCUAAACUACUCUAGAAUGCAUAUUUCAAAAUUCAGUGAAGUUUUCAUCAACUCAAUCAGGGUUUAUGCAUAAUGACAUUUGCAUCACCCAAAUUUCCACUAGAAAGAAUUAUCAUUUAAGAGAAUCUUCACUCAUAACAUGGAUUUCUUAAGAAUACUAAAUGAGAGACUUUCGGUUAGAAAGGACUUUCACUCACUCUCAUUUAGAAUGGCUAUUUUAUGGGAAUCACUCAAUUUUAUCAUAUCGACAUGGGUCUGAGUAUUCUCGCAAGCGGUACAAUCUUACCAAUAUGAGAGGUCUUUAACAGGGACCAUAAUGUGGGCUUGGUCAACGGCUUAACAAAAGGACUCUUUGAGUCAAAGCUAUUGAAUGAAUUGUUUUGUAAUCAUCUCCGGGUUUACAAGUCAAGAACCCUGCAAAAUGAAAAAGAAAUAAUCUUGCUCGCACUUCUUCGAGCGAUGCUUAUAAACAUAUGAACUCUUACGUUAAUUCAAAUGCCCUAAUCUGAAGAGACUUUGUAAGGGACAUAACGUAGGUUGGGUUCAUGGGUUGAGAAAUGAAAGGAUCAUUAGGCUCAAAAUGUGUGUAAAAGGUGUGAAUUGAUGAUCAUCUUGGCAUUGCCACCAGUUUUCUUUUUCACCAUUGGGGAUUGCCUUUAUGAAGUGCCCCAUUGAUUGUACAAACUCAGCAUUUGAGUUCUUUGACUAUUGCUCCAUUGGGAUUCAAUUCUUGUAAUUGACAGUUACCUAUCUUGACUUUUUUUUAUCUAUGGGCAUUGACUUUGCUUUUACUAGGCACACCACUUUUUAUGCCCAUAACUCUCUUGCAUUUUUUUUCACUUCUUUUCAUGGGCAUUGGCCUUGCUUUUACCAAGCACACCGCUUUUUUGUGCCCCUAGUUUUCAUUCACUUUUUUCACUUCUUUUCAUGGGCAUUGCCUUGCUUUUACCAGGCACACUGCUUUUUCAUGCCCUUUAGUUCUAUUUUGAAUUCAAUUCUUGUGCAUAAUGCAUCCAUCAAGCAAUUACACUUUGAAUGACACUUGAACUUUUCAGGAGUCUUCAUCUGCCUUUUGUCUUGCCCCAGUGUGGGGAAUGAUCACCAAUUGGGUUUAAAGAAAUAAAAUUGCAGGCUCAAAGGGGCUAUGCAAAGGAUAUAAGUGUAUGGGAUAGAGAAAGAAAUGCUCUUCAUCAUCCUAAGGCACUUAAAUUAACACAUGAAUUCAAUGUAAUAGCAUGACUUGAAGAUUGAUGCAAGUGAGAGCAAGAUAAUUUCAAUUCAUUUUCCUCAUCUCAUGAUGCCAUUUGAUCUCUUAGUUGCCCCGAUGUGGGGUGAUUCUUGACAGGGGUGAUUUGAAAAGAAUAUCCACAAGUGUAUGGGCUCAAAAGGGUUAAGCAACGGAUCACCUAUAGUGUUUGGGAUAGAGAUAUGAAUUGCCUCUUUCAUUUCAGUUGCCGUACCUUUUGCGAGAGGACUCUUUACCUCAUGAAUAUGAACCUUCCUACACUCAUCUCACAAGUGUAUGAAUAUGGGACUGUGUAUAGGAUAGGGUUUGCCUUUCAUCAUCCCGACUCAUCUCAUUUAGUAUGCUCAAUCAAUUCCACAUCAUUCAUUAAAUUAGUCCAUCUUGAUGUUCUUUAGUGGAAUUGGUGGAUAAAACAUGUAAGAGUCAUCAUGCAAAAACCAUUUAAAAAAAAAAAAACUCAACAGCUUUAAGCAUGUCAACUUCAAACAAUUUUCUAUACUGCAAAAUGGUUUUAAGCAUUCAUUCAAGGAUUCCUCUACAAUGGGAAUUGCCUCAGCAGUUGAUGUCUUUGGAUUGUUCCUAUCAUUCAAGAUUGAAAAUCCACUUUUGCCCCUGCACAAGAGAACGUGCAUCAGUAUGAUACUAUGCAUCAUUAAAGUAAAUUUGAACUGCACAUCCAUUUUGGCUCGGGUCGAGACUUUAUCCUAGUUGGAUCACUACCAAAAUCUGUUAUGUCCCAAAUUGGUCAUCUCUUCCACCAGGGAAUGAUGGUCUUCUUUUACUUGCCCCAAAUCUUUUUCAUUACAAGUGCGCUCUAAACCUGUUGAUCACAAGUCAAGUUUAUGAUCAUUGAGACUUGAUACGCCAUUCUCAGAUGUCCCUUGUCAUAAAGUUAUAGAAUCAUGUUCUGAGACAAGAAGCAAAUGAGUCAGACAAACAAACAAGUUUAAUCUGCUACAAGUUUUGGGAAAAUGUUUUUUUUUUUUUUUUACAAUGAAAUGCUUUUUUUUGUUUUCGAAAAGGUUUUUGGGAGGAAACAUGAAAAAGUCCAGCCCUCAGGAUUUCUCCGUGGAUGAUAUUUUUCUUUUUCAUGGUUGGAUAUCGUCAUUGGAUUGGUUUGGUAUACCCCAUCAUGUCCUCAAAAUUGGAAAUAAAAUUGUAAUUUCAUCAAAUGAAUUACAUUAUUGGAAUGGAAAUUGUGAUUCCUAAACCCCCUAAAAGAGAAAAAAUCGAAAACGAUUCUUAAAAAGCGAAAACCAAUUCCUAAAAAGCAAUAAGAAUUCCCACGCAGGGGAGGUGCAAUCGAGCAAGUUACUCUUGCAGGCUAACGUCCAUGUCUUCCGAAGGUCCUUCAUCAUUGGCUCCUAUGAAGAGGUCAUCGAACAGACCUGUGAUUCCUUCCAAGGCGUCAUCAGAGUUCUUUGUCUUUGGAGACGUUAGAUCAUCCAUGUCAUCCCAUCCACCUGGAACUAUGUUGCGGGAGUCAAAGUAAAAGCUGGUAGGAGCUGAAUACUUCACCAGGUAAUCAAACUUGCCACUAGGUUGCCUCAGAGUAUCCAUUACUUCCACUUCAUCUUGCCCUAUCUUAGGGACAUUGUCAGGUUUAGUUUUUUCGGCAGUGACCAACAGUGGGUCAUCUUCCAGGUCAGCCAUGUCGCCAUUGCUCAUUUGGGUCUUGCCUGACUGCUUCAGGACUACUGUCUCAAGGAGAGCAGGUGUAGGAGUCAAAUCCGUUCGGAGUGAUUGGAUUUGAGCUGUCAUGAAUUGCAUAGAGGCGAGCAACUGUCGGAGUUGGUCUUCCAUAGCGGAGAUACGAUCACGCAUUUCGGUUUGGUCAGCCAUUCUAGUUCUUGAUCACCUAAGGUAAAUGGAGAUAUGUAAGAACGAGGUAUACUGAGAAAACCGAUCCAUGACAAAAAUCUAUUUUUUAGUUAAGAAAAGUCCAUAAUGAAAAGAAUUUCUUAAAAUUGGACUAGGAAAAUAAAGACAUGGGACGCCCCAGCAGGGACGAAAUUUCCUAAACAUGAACUAGGAAAAACCAAGACAUAAAUUGAAAACAAAUUUCCAAUUUUUAUUUUCCAAAUGAUUCAUUGUAUGGCAAUUCAUUUGAUUUCUAAUUGACAAAGGAAUUAAAUCAAUGAUUGACCUAGAUUGUCAUGGACCGAUCAAGAGUAUGACAAAGUAAGUAAAUUGCAUUAAUAUGGGAAUAGAAGACUUACUUCACCAAGGAAAAUCGAUGGCAAUCACAUAGACAUGCACAUGAGAUGUGAGGCUCGAUUUCUACUCUAGACAGGCUUAACAAAGUGGAGCUAAGAGGAUGGUCUGACCGUUGCAGUCUCGCAUUAACGUGUCAGGUCCCCCUAACUCCGGCUCAGUCGAAUGGAAUGUCCAAUAAUCACGCAGUCUCGCGGAUAUGGACAAACACAUUCGACACCAUGAAAGAAAUUUCGGGGAAGAGAAGGUCAACCUCUACAUAGCAAUCUCGCUUUAGAGGAAGUAUCAUUCUCAACACCAUCCUAGAAAUCCUAUCGCAGCCCAGGUCCGACCGCAGGUUGUGUGUGCAAAUAGUGUGGUGCUAAAGCAAUAAAGCAUGCACAACAGUUUAAAUGCAAACAACACUUCUAAUCAGGAAAAAUAAAUCAUUAAUCUUAACACCUCCCUACAAGAUAAGGGUUAGCAAAGACUACUCCCCUUAUACCUCCCAUCUGCAAGAACAUUUAACACCUUAGAAAUGUUAGGGACAUACCUGAGAUCCUCGCUACCAAACAAAAAUAUUUUUUUAAAAGAAAAAUUGGCCUAAGUCCACUAAGUGUUUUAACAAAAGUCCCCAGCGGAGUCGCCAAGCUGUCGCGACCCAAUUUUUCGGGGGUGAGCCACCUAUGGUUUGGCUAAUGGACUACUAAGUUUUGUAAACUUAGCUCGGGCUCUCCCAAGCCCAUACCAAUUCGCGACUUAGGUUUUAAUUCUUAACAUGCAAAUUUUUUAAUUAGGAGUCGCCACUAAUCGAUUUAUGGUAGGUCGAUUAGACACCUAAGUAAAAUAAAGGGAGAUUUAUUUUACUCCUACAAACUAGAGAUUGAGGGUACGGGGACUUAAUUACACUAGAUUUAUCUAAUGCCCUUUCGGUACCAUUUCUUUUUAAUUUUUCAAAAUGUUUUUGCAAGCAGCUGAUUUAUUUUAACCUAAAUUACUAUCAUGCCAAAUAUGGUGACCACACGGGUGCUCAUCCAUUAUUAAGACAUUCAAAUAAAUUGUAUCACACAAGGCAAGCAAUCAUUUUUUUUUCUUAAAAAUUAGAAUUCUUUUAUGAAAAUGCAUUUUAAAACUAAAUGACUAAAUCUUAUUAAUAUGCAAAUUUUAAUUAAAUGGGCCUAUUAUGCAAACAAAUUAUUAUGCACCUCAUGACCUAACUUCACUAAUUAACAAGUUCUGAUUAAAUAAUCCUAUUAUGCAAACUAGUUAACAUGCACCUACUAUUUUUGCAUUUUUUUUUAUUGAAAUUCAGAAUUCAUGAAAACCUUAAUUAAUCUAUCUAAAAAUGAUAUUUUUCUAAUUUAUUCUAGGGAUUAGUUUGACUUAAACCCUAUCCUAUCUUAGAAAGCUAUUUUUUUGGGAAAAUGAGAUAAUUAGAAUAUGUGAACAUUAUCUAAAACCCUAAAAAAUAUUUAGGUUCAACCCUAACUUAUUCCUAAAAAUGCAAUCUUAAAAAUGCAAUCCUAAGAAAAUCCUAAUUUGUUAAACCUACAUGCUUGAUUUACUAAACCUAUAUACUCAUGCAGAAUUUUGAUUUUUUUUAUCUUAUGAUUUUUUUUUAGUUUUUUUUAAGAGAUAAAUAAUUAUUAAAUCUAAACUAUCAACAAAAUCAAGCAAGAAAUGAUUAAAAUAAUCGAAAAAUAACCUGUUGUCUCACAGGUCAAAUUAACGGUUAUUCUAACCCUAGUUAUCACAGCAGAGAGAUCAAAAUAAUUACAAAUCUGAUCCGAAGUCUUACGGACGAAAUUAAAUAAUUAUUGUGAUUUAACAAUUAAAAUUUCACCAAGAAAGCCCAACAAUUAAAAUAAUUAAAAAAAUGAUCCAAUGUCUCUUGGAUCAAAUUAAUAAUUAUAAUAAUUCUAGACAAAAUCCCUGCGGAUAAUGCAUACUAAAUUCACAAAUAUUAACAUCAAAUAUUACAACUUAAAUAGAUAAAGUAAAAAUGAGAUAAAAUAGAACAAAAUAAAUAAAAGAAAAAGCUAAACCACCUAAAGAAAGAGGGGCUUGCUGUAGCGUUGAUGGGCGCCGGACGGACGGUGGCCGGUGUCGGGUACUGCAGGUCAGUGACGGCAAGGUGGCGCGGGAGGUGCAGGCAUGGGCGUCGGGUCGAGCAGCGAGAGGGCUCGCGGGCGUUGCGGGUCGCAGGCUGCUGCACAACAAUGCUCGCGGGUGCUGGUGCACGGAGCAGGGGCGGAUGUCGAGGCAGAGACCGGCGGAGUGCGAUUUGCAGAGGUGGGUCGCGUACGGAUCGGGACCUGCUGUCUUUGGGGGGCCACGGCGUCGAGCACAGCGAGAACAAGGAGAUCGGCAAGCAGCAGGGUCACGGGUCGCAACGAUGGUGGUGAGUAGUGGCGCCGGGGUGAGCUCGCGGGUGCAGAGGCGCGGCGGCGUCGGUUGCUGCAGAGGCGGAGUCGCGCUGGCUGAGGCGCGACGAGUGCCGGGCGGUCUGAGACCUGAUCGUCGGACUAUUGGCGUUGGGUUCGCAGAUCGCGGUGGUGCUCGUGCGGAGUUGCGGUGGGCUUCGGAGCGAGGCGGUUCUGGUGCGGCGACCAAUAGCGACGAACGGGUGAGCUGCUACGACGGCGUUGGUGCAGAGGCGAGGCAGCUUCGCGGACGAACGACGACGGGCUGGCGGAGGAAACACCGAUGCGGUGGCCGGCGUGGAAUCUGUGACUGGAGGCGCGGCGAAUCGGGCAGCGAGAGGAACAGCGAGGAAGAUGAACAGUAUGAAUCAAAUCAGCCUUUUUACUUUACCUUUUCUCCUCUCUCUCUCUCUCUCACGUUCUGACUUUUCCUUUUCUUUUUUUUCUGCAGUUUUUUUUACUGCAGAAGCAAAACCUCCCUUGACCUACCUUUCUGAAUUUUUCUCCAAGAAGCUCCCCCCCGGACGAAGAGAAGGCCACCCCCCAUUUAUAGAGUGAGAACUUAGUUUGCUCAACCUACGAAGAUUUGCAUAACAACUCAAUCGCUGAAGAUCAUCUUUCGAGAUUAUCGUGUAUGCUGACUCACUCGGCCAUUGAAAUCAUCUAUUAAAAUCUUCCAAGCUGACUCGCUCGACCAUUGAAGAUUUUAUAUGCUGACUCAGCGAUUGAAGAUAAACUGGAAUUUUUUUGUGAAGAUUUUUCCAAAUAAUUCACUUUAGCAAUUCUAAAAUCUUUCGAGAUAUCCAUCCGCAACAAAAUAUUUUAGAAUAUUCCUUAUCCUCCUUAAUAUUCCCAACUUUAAGAUUACAGUGCGAUUUUUUAAUUUCCAAAAAUCAUAAUAAUAUCGCAUGAAAUCUUAAAUUUUCACAAGAUAAUUAAUUAAACAUAACGACGGGCUUGGGUUAAUUUUCUUCAUGGGCUUAGUCCAGCCUAUUAAUUUAAAACCCAAAAUCACUAAUUCAACCCAUCCACCACCGGUCCAGUAAAUGCAAAUAAAAAAUAAAUGCACCUACAACUAAAUGCUAUGCAAUUAGUUAAUUAUUGAUUAAACCCUAAUUUUAAUGCGAUAAAUAACUAAACGGACCGUCAAAAUCUAGGUGUCAACACGCCUCAUAGUCGUUUGCUUUGAGUUUGUUCAGCAAUCCACCCGUUCCUCGCAUGUUUGCCUCCAUCAGUUUUCAACAUCUGUUAUACUGGCGAUUCUCUAUUUUAUCUUAAUUGGGUUGCACCGACAGAAAUUCGGCUCACCUAGAUUGUGUUUUGGAAUUUCCUCUGGGCAGCUUCGUCAGUCUUGAUGUUGUUUCGUCCAUGGCAAAUCUCGGACAGGACGAGGUCCCUUCCAAUUCAGGUGCUCCUCACUCUCGGAUGGACCAUGAAGAAGAUGCUCACCUCGUUGCAUUGUACACCCGAUUGGGCCGCCUUUGGUCAGUAUAGAGAGUUGAAAUAUGGAAUGAUGCGACACCUGCCGAAAAAUUAGAAGAGUGCAAGCUGAUUCUGGUUGGUAAGCUUCUAUCUGAUAACACUAGUAUGAACACCUAGAGGAGGGGGGUGGGAUGAAUAGGUGUUAAAGAAGUUUUUGCCAGACUGAAGAUAUAAAAGACUGUAAACAAUUAUAUAAGGCUAUGAAUUAAAGUAAAGAGUUUAGGGAAAGAGAAUUAAAACACAAGAUUUAUAGUGGUUCAGCUUAAACCAAGCAUACAUCCACUUUCUUGCACUAACAGCCCACUAUCUGGAUUCUACUAAGAACCAAAAGAGAUUUUACAGUCUCAUGUCCUUGAUUCCAUAGUAUAGAGACUUUACUACACUUCCUCAAGGUCUCACAAGUAUUUGAUCUCUCUUUUGAGUACAGUUUAAGCUCGACAAAUUGUAACAGCAAAUAACUAAGAGUUUUAGACUUUGGAAUUUUUCUUUCAUGUACACACUCGAAUAACUUGAGCGUCAUCCUUAUAUACUCUCCAUGCCAUCAUAACUAUUGGCACUUUCCAAAGGAAAUCUUUCAAUCUACCCGUUGGAUAGAAUCAAUUAGGAAGAUUUCGAGUUGUUUAAGGAAUGUGAUGAUAGCCCACCAAUCUUGCUCAUCCAUACAAUCAGGAUCUAGGUUUCCAUAAGUAAAACAUUCCAAGUAUACUUCACCAAUCAACAGAUCUAAUUGUUCAAAUUGAUUUCAAUAAGAAUAAUUGAUCAUGAGAUGCUAUAUCCAGCCAUGAGAUAUUCUUCAACCCUACGAACCAAAUCCUUAAAAAUAUACUUGUAUCUGGAUAAGUCUUUUUCAUUGGAUAAAUCUUUUCUUUGUCAGUCUGGAAACUAUCAGUGAGGGUAGACUUUGAAUCUUGAGUCUAGAGGUCUUCAAACUUUGAUGAUAAAAUCUACAAGUCUUUAGACUAGACUGAUGGAAACUUUUUGUCAACUUCAAAAUAGAUAAGGAAGUUUUCUCCAACAAUCUCUCCCUUUUUUAUGGUAACAAAAUUUUCCCGCAGAUUUGGACAUUUUGCCUUGCAAAACAACACUUAAGCAAACAAAGAUUCUUAAAAGAUAAUUAGAGAUUAGGAUAAGGAUAUUAGCGAUUCUGCAACCACAGAAAACAUGUUAGUCCUGUAGAAAAAACUAUCGUUACCAUAAUCAAUGACAUAGCUUAAGUUACUUGCAAGCAUCAUCACUCCAAACCAGUCCAAGUCACAACCAAGCCAAAAAAUAAGUCCAAAUAGUUAAAACAAAAAGUCAUUAAAUCUGCAUAAAACCUCUCCCCCUUUUUGUCAACAGCAAAAAGUGGAGAAUAAAUGAAAAAGAGUUGGUUGAAAAUAGAGAGAAUCAAGGUUGUUUGGGAAGGCGAACAAGCUCAAAUUCUCCCAUAGAAUGCACUGUCUUCUCAAGCCUUUCAAAACUCUGUUUCAGUGACUGAAAAUCUUCACCCUGCACUGUAGUCUACACUUGAUUCUUUAGGGUGUUCAACUAGUUGUGCAAAGACACUGAAGUGGCCUUAAAAGCAUUCUUGAGAUCCUGCAUCUCAAAUCCCAUAGCAUAUUGUUGUUUCCCUUACGUCCAAUAGAAUUUCCAGCAGUCUCGAAAAGUCUGUUGUUUGAGCUGUUGCAGAACUAGGAUUAGCUGAGUCAAUUUCAAGGAUUUUGAGAAUGGAUGGAGCUUUGGCAGAUUGUCCACCAUGAUUGUCUUCUGGGUAAUGCGAGGCAUAUACAUCCUCUGGAUUUGCUGCAGAACGACUUACAUCACUAGCAAAUAUAGGUGAAGAAAUACCUUUUGGUCCAACAGCUCCCCCUGUUUUGUUGCCUUUAGGUGGAGUAGGUAAGAUUUCUUCUUGAUCAACUUCAGCUUCAGAGUGAUGAGCGUCAGCAGUUCCAGCUCCUGCCAUCUCAGCAUCACUAGACAGGGAGACAGCCAGAGUUGGCUUGAAAGAGUCUUCUUAACCCUGAUCGUUUUCUCCUUCUCUCUCUUCUUCUUCAUUUUCUUCUUCAUCUUCUUCUUCCUCUUCUAUUCUUUCUUCCUCUGUUCUCCUCUGUUCUUCAUCUUCCUUCUCUAUGUCUUCUCUCUCUUUUCCUCCUUCUUCUAGCUCUUCUCUUGUCUCAUGAAAGCUGCCAAAACUCUUUAAAUUUCUUAAGGCUGAAAGAGUAAUUUCAUCUUCAUCUUCUUCAUCUUGCAAGAUGAGUGUUCUUUUCUUCUUUACUGGAGCAACCAUGGGCUCCUUGCCUUUCCUCUUCGCUACAAUAGAGUCUUGUUUUGCUUUGACAGGAGACUUCUCCUUCAUACGUUCCAACAUCUUGUUUAGCUCUUUCAAACGCAUCUUUAUAACCAUUUUAAAACCAAUCACCAUUAGAGAGAUGGAUGUCAAACAUAAUGGUGCAGGAAUGUGAAUUUUAAAGUGUUUGAAGAGACAUGUGAUAAGAGCAGAAUAAAGGAGUUGUCUCUUAUCUUUCACCACUGUUCGGUACAUGUGAAACAAGAUGGUAUAAGGUAGAGAGAAUUUGAAUCCAAUGUUGAUGGCACAUAUCAAUUUCGCUUCAGAUCGAGAGACAUCAGUCUUGGAUGUCGACUUGGGAUGAAUGCAGUUGAUCAUAAUCUAGUGCAGCAAGAUGUUAGAAGCACUCAUCAUUGAGUAGGAAAUCUUACCUUCAAUAUCUCUAUCUUUCACCAAUGAUAGAGUAGCAUGAGCAAUAGACACGCUAAUAGGUUGGAAACUCAUUCUUUCCACCCAAAUUAUGUCAGCCAACGUAUCCGUAUCCACCAAAAAUUCCUUGUCCUUCACUGUGAAAGAAAAACCGUUUGCAUUCAAGAAAGAUAAGUUCGAGUAAAAGUAUGCAAUGAGUUUUGGAUAAGCAGCAGUAGAUUCAGAACAGAACCGUUCCAAUUGCAGUAAAGCAAGCUUCUCUUGUAGAUUGACUUUUAUUAAAUUAAGGAAAUCAAAGUCAACACUCCUAGGGUUCAUAACCCCUCUCUUCAUAAGGUUCGAAUAAACCCUCUUGUGAUUCUGCGAUCUGAAAAGACUUGAGCCAUCACUAACAACUUUUGCAGCAACACCUAUUCUAGGCUGAAAGUGAGUAAACAUCUGUUCAUCAUCAUCCAGAACUUGUGGUUGAUUUGCAGUGCCAUAGAAUGGGUCACUCAGGAAAUUCGCAAAAGUUCUUUCAGCCGUUACUUUCUCUACAACUCCUAACUUUUCCAACUCCCGCAAGAACAUAGUUUCAUUCUUGUAUCCUUUAUCUCUUAAGAAUUCAUCGAUUAAAGACAUCGGUGUUCCUCCUUUCUUCAAAUUAGAGUAAAGUUUGAAUGCAACCUUGGGAGUUAGCGUUCUUACAGGUUUAGCUUCCUCUAUAACUUCAUCGUCUAGUUGAGUCGAUGGAGAAGAUUGACGUUACUAAGAAGGUUGUUGUUGAUUCGGACGCAGUGGUGGAGAAGAAUCUUCUUCAUCGGUCAAGUCAAAAUGCGUAGGACCCUCGGGCAUAUGUCAUGGUCCCUUGCUUGCAAUCCUUGAAGACUUUCUUGAAGACUUUCUUGAAGACAUUGUUGCUUCAAGGGAGAAAUUCACAGACUCGCUCGUAAAAGGUGAAAACUUUUGGACAAAUCGAGAGAGAACGUGAAAGCAAAUAGGAACUUUGUAUUCUAGGGUUUCAAUGUAAAAACGAAGAAGACGAAUCUCGGCAGUAUAUAAAGCAUGUGAAGUGAGAUAAACGAAACAUCAUAAAAGGAAAAAUAAAAAUACAUUUUCAAAAGGAAUAACUUCCCUUUUUUUGAAAACGACUGUCUUUUCAAAAUUGAUAAUUGCCUUUUUGAAAAAGAAAAACUUGGAAAAAUAAUUUUAAUCAAUUGGCAAUGAUUAAGUAAUUGUACCUUUUUCAAGUUUAAAAUACUGGAUAGAAAUAACUUACAAUCACACUCUUGGUCUUCUGUGGCUGAGCACCUUUAGACUUUACCUUUGAGUCUUGAGCACAUCUAGACUUUAUUGGAUAAGAGAUAUGAUGUUUAGUCUGGUGCGAAUAGACUCAAAUAGGCUUUUCUCCAGAGGCUUUGUAAAUACGCCUGCUAGUUGAUUCUUUAAGUCAAUGAAUUGAAUCAUAACUUCUCCAUUAUGAACAUAAUCUCUAAUAAAGUGAUGUUAAAUCUCUAUAUGCUUUGCUCUUGAAUGAAGAAUUGGAUUCUUUGUGAGUUUAAUUGCACUGGUGUUGUCACAUUUGAUCUCGAUGCAAGAGUCUUUGAUUCCAAAGUCUCUUAGUUGUUUUAUCCAUAAAAUUUGAGAACAGCAACUUCCAAGAGCGACAUACUCUACUUCUGCUAUUGAAAGAGUUAUAGUGCUUUGCUUCCUUGAAAACCAAGAUACUGUCAUGUUUCCUAGCAAUUGACAUGUACCAGAUGUACUCUUUCUAUCAACUUUGCAACCUACUAAAUCUGAAUCUGAAUAUCCAAAGAGGAUAAAGUCUCAUUCUUUGGGAUACCACAGACCUAAAUUUAAAGUAGUUGUAAUGUAUUUGAUGAUGCGUUUAGUAGCACUUAGAUGAGACUCUUUUGGAUCAGAUUGAAAUCUAGCACAAAUGUAAACACUAAAUAAAAUGUUAGGUCUAGAAGCAGUAAGAUAAAGAAAUAAACCAAUAAUACUCCUGUAAAGUUUCUGGUCAACUUUCUUUCCUCCUUCAUCUUUAUCCAGCUUCGAAGAACUAGACAUUGGUAUUUCAAUCUUUUUGCAAUUCUCCAAUCGAAACUUUUUAACAAGUUCUUUUACAUAUUUUUCUUGGUGAAUGAAAAUUCCUUCUUUCAAUUAUUUUACUUGUAGUCCGAGAAAGAAGGACAGUUCACCCAUCAUGCUCAUCUUAAAUUCAUCUUGCAUAGACUUAGAAAACUUCUUGCACAAGUUUUCGUUAGGUGAUCCAAAUAUAAUAUCAUCAACAUAAAUUUGAACAAGUAGAAAGUUUUUACCUUCCCUUUUAAUAAACAAGGUGGUAUCCACUUUUCCUUUGAUAAAACCAUUUUGCAUUAAGAAAUUACUUAACCUAUCAUACCAAGCUCGAGAUGCUUGUUUUAAUCAAUACAGAGCCUUUUUCAGUCUGAAUACUAAGUUUGGUCUCUUUGGAUCUUCAAAUCUAGGAGGUUAUUCCACAUAGACUUCUUCUUGGAUAAAUCCAUUUAGGAAUGCACUCUUGACGUCCAUUUGGAAUAACCUGAAAUUUUUAUAACAGGCAAAGUCAAGUAAUAAUCUAAUUACUUCUAACGUGGCUACUGGAGUGUAGGUUUCAUCAUAAUCUAUCCCUUCUUCUUGCGUAUAUCCUUUGGCCACGAGUCUUUCUUUGUUCCUGAUCACUUUUCCUUUUUUGUCAAACUUGUUCUUGAAAACCCAUUUAGCUCCAAUAAUGGAUUUACCUUUUGGUUUAGGAGUUAACUCGCAUACAUCGUUAAUGCUGAACUGUCUGAGUUCUUCUUGCAUUGCUUAAAUGCAGCUUUCGUAAGCUAAAGCUCCUUCUAUGCUUUUGGGUUUUAUUUUAGAAAUAAGUGCCACGGCGCUAGACUCUUCUUGCCUUUUAGAUCUGGUGCGAAUCCUUUCAUCAAUAUCACCAAUGAUGAGUUCCUUGGGAUGACUAGAUUUGUGCUUCCAGUUGCUUGAUGGUCUGGCAGGAAGUUGUUCUUCUACUUCAGUUGAUUUUUCAACUUCUAUUCGCUAAUUUUCAGAGGUCCGAGCUGCUUCAGGGGAGGUAGGCUUUAUAGAAUUUGGAGCAGGUUCAAAUUCUUCAGGAUGAGUCUGAAUUAGUUGAUUUUGCAAGGAGUCUUGGAAUUUGACAUUUGUAGAUUCUUCCAUAGACUGAGUCUUUUUGUUGAACAUUCUGUAGGCUUUGCUAGUGGUUGAGUAUCCAAGGAAGAUUCCUUUGUCUGAUUUCUCUACAAACUUGCCAGUUCGAUCAUUUGCAUUUUUCAAAACAAAACAUUUGCAACCAAAUACAUGAAAGUAAGAAACAAUUGGCUUCUUUCCUUUGAAUAACUCAUAAGGAGUUUUCUCCAUAAUAGGCCUUAAAAAGACUCUGUUAAUAAUAUAACAUGCUGUAGAAACCGCUUCAGCCCAAAAAUGAAAGGAAAUACUACUUUCUAUUAAAAGAGUUCUUGCCAUCUCUUGUAAAGAUCUAUUCUUUCUUUCCACAACUCCAUUAUGUUCUAGAGUGUAUGGAGAGGAGAAAACAUGCUGAAAACCUAAUUCAUCAUAGAAUUUUGCAAAGUCUUGAUUUUCAAACUCACCUCCAUGAUCUGUCCAUAUGCUUGAAAUAGUAUAUCCAUUUUCAUUAUGAACUUUCUUAGCAAACUUUGAAAAGUAAGAAAAGGUUUCAGACUUACUUACCAGAAAGUAAACCCAAGUGAAUCGUGAGUAAUCAUCCACGAUUACUAGACAAUAUCUCUUUCCACCUAUGCUUUUUGUUCUGGUUGGCCAAAAGAGAUCCAUAUGUAGAAGCUGCAAAACACGAUUAGUAGAAACCUGAUUUAUUGACUUAAAAGAACUUCUAACCUAUUUUCCCAAUACACAUGGUGUGCAAAGGUCAGGUUUUUGAAAUUUUAGGUUGGGCAGUCCUCGAACAAGAUUCUUAGAAGAGAUCUUGGCAAUCUGCUUCAUAUUAACAUGGCCAAGCUUUUGAUGCCAAAGAUUUGCUUCAUUUUGAAUUGAAAUUAGACAUUGAGGCUUUUCUGGUUUUAUAUCCAGAAGAUAGGUGUUCCCAUAUCUUCGUCCAGUAAAGGAUUGUGAAAGAUUUUUACUAGUUCUUGAACAUAUUCUUUCUUGAAAAUUGAUUUUGAAUCCAGUGUCGCACAAUUGGCUAAUGCUAAGCAAAUUGUAGUUGAGUCCUUCCACUAAGGAGACAUUAUUGAUUGUGAGACUUCUAAUUUUUACAGUUCCACAUCCAACAAUUCUUCAUUUGUUGUUUCCACCAAAAGAGAUUCUUCCACCAUUUAUUUGCAAAAUUUUUAUAAAACAACUUGAAUCUCCAGUCAUAUGCCUUAAACAACCACUAUCUAAACACCAUUUAACAUUUUUCUUGAUAAUGACCUGCAAUUAAAAAAGAAACUCAAGCUUUCUUUGGUACCCACAUUUUCUUGGGUCCAGAGGAGUUAGUACAAUAAGCAAUCUUUGCCCAUUCCUUCUUAACAAGUUUCCAAACCAUAGAACAUUCUUUCUCAAAAUGUUCUGAGCUGUUGCACUUAGAACAUUUGAGAGCACUUUGCCCGACAGGUUUUACAAAGACUUUUUGAAAAUGAUUUUUGUAAAAAAAUUUUGUAGGCCUUUGUUUGAUUCUUUGUUUCACUUUUGGAAAAUCAAUUAAAGGAAUAGUUUCAGAGGUCACUCCCAAGCCUGAUUUGUUAAAGUAGCGUCUUUGUACUGAAAGAAUCAUUUUUAAUUUCUCAGAUCCUAUUGAAAACCUUUUUGAAACAUUUGAAAUGUCAUUUUUCAAAAAUGUAUUUUAUUUUGAAAGAGAGUCUGCAUUUUCUUUUAAAGUAACAAAACUUUUUUUUAAAUUUUCAAAUUUUUCUUUCCAUAAAAUUUCUUGUUGCUUCAGUGUAGAAUUCUCCAUUUUUAGCUCGGAAAUCCUCUCGAGAGAGGUUUUGAGACUAAGACACAGUUCAUCAAUGUAUUUCAAGACUUUAGUAGGGAUUUUUAAAUUGCUUACCUCGAUUUCACUAUCUGAGUCUAAGUCUGAGUCUGUAUCUACUUCGGAAUUUGAGUUUGAUUUUGAUUUUGAUUUUGCCAUUAGACAAAUAUUGACAUAAUCUUUAUCACUUUCUUUGCAUUCAAUAUCAUUUCAUGUCUCUACCUUGAGAGCCUUCCUGUAUUUCUCAACUUUCCCUUUCUUUUUCUUCAGCAUGGGAUAGUUGGGUCUGAUGUGUCCCUUUUUCUUGCAUUCAAAAUAGAUCACAUCUUUAUUGGCUUCAUUAUCCUCAGUUGAUUUGUUUUGAAAUUUUUGAGUGCUUUGUUUCUUCUAAUUGAAUCUUCUUCCCUUUUUGUUCAGUUCCCUGAACCUCUUUAUCAUAAGAGCUAACUCUUCAUCAUCCAUAUCAUCUUCAGAAUCUAUAAUAUCAGAAUCAUCAUUAGAUCUCAAAGCAAUUGAUUUCUUACCUUUAGGAUCUUCUUCCUCGUUGAUUUGCUCCACUUCAUAGGACUGAAGUGUGCCAACCAAUUCAUCUACAGAAAGUGGCAUGAUCCUUUGUGUUUCCCUUAUUGAGGUCUUUACGUGAUUCUAGUCUUUGGAAAGUCCACACAGCAACUUGUUAACCUUAAUGGGUCUUGAGAUUAGUUGUCCCUGAUACUCUAGACCAUUUACAAUUUCUGUAAAACGACUGAACAUGUCAGGGAUAGAUUAUCUUGGCUUCAUCUUGAAGGCUUCAUACUGCCCGAGUAAAAUAUUGAUCCUUGUUUCCUUCACUCGAUCAGUUCCUUCAUAGGUAAUAUGCAGCCUAUCCCAGAAUUUUUUUGCUAUUUCACAAGAAGAUAUUAUGUUAUACUCAAUAAGAGAUAAUGCACAAUAUAAGGAGUAAAUUGCUUUAGCAUCAAGAGCUUGUCUCUUGGUUAUUUCUUCUUGAGUCAUCUCGCCAGCGUUUGCAACCUCUUUUCCUCUUUCUAAAACUGAUGUAGCUUUAUGAAUAAUUCUUUUUUCUACCACAUCCCAUUUUAGAGGAUUUUUCGAUCUUAGGAAUGCCUUCAUAUUGUUUUUCCAUAUGUUAUAUUCCUUUCUAUCGAAAUAACGCGGUCUGGUGUUACUUUGGCCUUCAACCAAACCGGAGCCAACAUAUUAGCCAUAGAUCUUUAACUCAGAAGUAAAAACACUUCAAGUAAUUGAGUACACAAGCUCUGAUACCAAUUGAUAAUGCUAGUAUGAACACCUAGAGGAGGGUGAAUAGGUGUUAAAUAAGUUUUUGCAAGACUUGGCAACUUAAUUCCAUUUUUAUGAAAACAGUAGACUGAAGAUAUAAAAGACUGUAAACAAUUAUAUGAGGCUAUGAAUUAAAGUAAAGAGUUUAGAGAAAGAGAAUUAAAACACAAGAUUUAUAGUGGUUCGGCUUAGACCAAGCCUAUGUCUACUCUCUCGCAUUGACAACCCAUGGCUGGAUUCCACUAAGAACCAAAAGAGAUCUUAUAGUCUCAUGUCCUUGAUUCCAUAGUGUAGAGACUUUACUAUAUUUCCUCAAGGUCUCACAAGUAUUUGAUCUCUCUUUUGAGUACAAUUUAAGCUUGACAAAUUGUAACAGCAAAGAACUAAGAGUUUCGGACUUUGGAUUUUUUCUUUCAUGCACACACUCGAAUAACUUGAGUGUCCUCCUUAUAUACUCCUCCAUGCCAUCAUAACUGUUGGCACCUUCCAAAGGAGUUCUUCUAAUCUACCCAUUGGAUAGAAUCAAUUAGGAAGAUCUCGAGUUAUUUAAGGAAUGUGAUGAUAGCCCACCAAUCUUGCUCGCCUAUACAAUCAGGAUUUAGAUUUCCAUAAGUAGAAUAUUCCAAAUAUACUUCGCCAAUCAAUGGAUCUAAUUGUUCAAAUUGAUUUCAAUAAGAAUAAUUGAUCAUGGGAUGCUAUCUCUAGCCAUGAGAUAUUCUUCAACCGUACGAACCAAAUCCUUAAAGAUAGAGUGAGGGUAGACUUUGUAUUUGGAUAAGUCUUCUUCGUCGGAUAAAUCUUUUCUUCGUCAGUCUGGAAACUAUUAGUGAGGGUAGACUUUGAAUCUUGAGUCUAGAGGUCUUCAGACUUUGAUGAUAGAGUCUGCAAGUCUUUAGACUAGACUGAUGGAAAUGUGUUAUCAACUUCAAAAUAGAUAAUGAAGUUUUCUCCAACACUAUCAAAUCCUUCAAUUAACUUUCAAGCUUUUUAGAAUACUAUGAAGCGGGCUUGGCAGAUUGAUCAGGUUGAUAUAUCCCAAUGUGAAGCUGGCUUGUAUGUCAUUAAGUUUAAAACUGAAGGAGAAAAAUAGAGAAUUUUAGACAAUGGACCUAGGCUUUUUGCGAGUCACCUAGUUAUCCUCAAACCCCGGUUACCCAAUACUCCUUUGCAUUGCUACGACUUCUCAACCUGUGCUUUUUGGAUCCAAGUUUUCAGUCUUCCCCUGGAACGGUGCAUAGAAAACAUGAUCAGUAAAGCUGUUCGUCAUGUUGGUAGGGUUCUGGAAGUUAAAGUUCACAGUAAAGAAGGCACUACGCUUGGGGCAGGAAGAGCAAGAGUAGAAAUUAGCUUGCAGGAACCUCUUAAGACAGAACAACUAAUUAGAUUAGAAGGAAAGAAUAUCUGGUUGGAUUUUCAAUAUGAAUGCCUAUCCAACUCUUGUUAUUCUUGUGGCAAACUCGAAUAUUACGCUAUGUCUUGCAAAGACUAUCCAUUUGAUGAAGAGAAACUGGAAGGAAAGGACAAGCUGUAUUAUGGGCAAUUGCUGCGAGCAGAGGUUCGGGAGCAUAGUCCGUUUUGGCUUACCUUUUAUGCAACACCUCAAAUCCAAGAGGUAGAUGAGAUAGUCCCAAAGACUCAUCUGCCACCCACGACUAUGAUACUUGUAGAAUAGCCACGCAAUAACAGAGGUAAAGACAAUCUAGAGCUUCUAGCUAAGGGCCAAAUAAUCACUAUGGCAGCACCGAUCACAUGGCGUCUGCAAUCCGAGGGACGAGUAGGUGCAUAAGCUGAGCCUGUCAAGUUUCCUGCGACCAAAUGUAUCCCUGCAAUAACUGAGGUAUUAGAAGGCUCUUCGAAAUCAAAGAAACUUACAAGCACUCGUUUGAGUACAAAAGUGGGUCCACUCAAGAAAUCAAAGCAUUACAACCCGUAUGACAUGCGUAAUCAAGUGAAAGAGGGAAUUGAUGAAUCCCAUCUCCUAGAGACUUCAAUCUUUCAGGUAUGUGGUCCUGAGAGUUGGGCUUUAGUGGCUAGCUCUAAUAAGCCACCAACGGACAAAUGAAGCUAAUCAGUUGGAACUAUCAGGGUUUAGGCAAUUCCCUGACAGUUCAAGCACUGAGGGCUUUGGUGGCUCGAGAAAAGCCCAAUGUCCUUUUUUUUUAUGGAGACAAAGAACCAACAAGUUGUGCUUCACCGACUUCAGAAGCGGCUGAGGUUCCCUAAUAGCAUUUUGGAAAAUCAUAUUGGCCUAGCAGGAGGCCUAGUAGUGUUCUAGAAUGAGCAGAUGUCUAUAACGUGGAUCAGCAGACCUUGGCUUUUAUAGAUAUGACAUGUAAGGAAGGGGAGAGUGGAUUUCUUAUGCGCCUCACUUGCCUCCAUGUGCCAGCUGUGUACCAACUCAGACAACACUUAUGGGAAGAAUUGCGGCACAUCAGCAGCUACAACACUUUACCUUGGGUUUGUGCUAAGGAUUUCAAUGAAGUUAUGUAUCCUUGAGAGAAAGUAGGUAAGCGGCCAGGCAAACCACCGCAUGCCUUCAUUUAGAGAAUUGUUGAAUGACUGUUUGCUUAUGGAUUUAGACAGUAAAGGGUGUGCAUUUACAUGGGUUAAUAAUGGAGAAGGAGAGGAGCUUGUAAAACAACGACUAGGUAGAGUGAUAUGUACUUUGGAUUGGCGACUUACUUUUUUGGCUGCUGAAGUUUUUGCUUUACCAGCCCUUGGUUCUGAUCAUAGCCUGCUCCUGUUGACAACUGCAGCUUUCCUGGUUAGGUAGCACAGGGCUUUUAUUUUUGAACAUUUUUGGCUACAGGACCAAGAAUGUCGCACAGUUAUUAUAGAUUCAUGGAGCUUUACCCAAAAUCAAGUAUUAACCUUCCCUUAGAAGUUAAAGGUGGUAUUUGAAGCCCUUGCUAGUUGGAGUCGCUCUAAAUUUUUAAAUGGCCAACGUCAAAUCAGCACCCUUCAGCAUCAGCUCCAACUCCUAACCAAUAAACCUAACAGUCAAUAUGAUAAAGCAAGGAUUACUAGUCUGAAAGAGGAAAUCCAACAGUUAUGGCAACAGGAGGAGUAGUAUUAGGCAAUGCGUUCUCGGCUCAACUGGCUUCAAUGGGGGGAUAAGAAUACCAAGUUUUUUCAUGCCACCACUAUUCAAAGGAGACAACGUAAUAGAAUUAGCAUGCUGCAAGAUGAACAUCAAUAGUGGGUACGAGAACCAAAGUUACUACAGGAUAUGACGCAGGGGGAUUUUUCAAAAAUCUAUACUUAUCAGUGGAACAACGUGACUAUGGCCCUAUAUUAGCCCAAUAUCCACCAAUGGUAACAACUAACAUGAAUACUUUUCUAACAAGCGAGGUCACUCAAGAGGAAGUCUAGCAAGCAACUUUUCAAUUGGGGGUAACAAAAACACUUGGCCUAGAUGGUUUGAAUGGACAAUUCUACCAAUCUCAUUGUGAUAUUUUACAAGACGAUAUCUUUCUCUCAAUGAAAGAAUUUUUUACCUUUGGCUUGCUGCGAAUCGAGAUCAACAGGACGUUCAUUUCAUUGCUACCCAAAACAUCCCACCCUGAAAGGUUGGACCAAUAUUGACCUAUCAGUCUUUGCAAUUUUAUCUACAAAAUAAUUUCGAAGGUCCUAGCUAAUUGUCUGAAACCAUGGUUACCUAAGCUAAUUUCUACGGAGUAGAGUGCUUUUGUUAGUGGCCGUCAAAUCCAAAACAAUAUUUUAGUGGUCCAAGAAGUUCUAAAUCAACUCAAAAUAAGGAAACGAAAGCGAACUUAUCAGGCUAUUUUGAAGCUAGACAUGCAUAAAGCCUACGACCAAAUGGAAUGGGAUUUUCUAAAUGACUACCUCCUUCAGCUGGGUUUCCAAGCAACAUGGGUCCAAUGGGUGAUGUAGUGCACCACAGUUUCCCUAAGCGUCAAAUUCGAUGGCGAACCCCUACCUUAUUUUUAUCCAACUAGGGGGCUUCGACAAGGCGAUCCUCUUUCUCCGUACCUAUUCAUCCUAGUGGCAAACGUCCUUUCGACACUCAUCAGCCAAGCUGUGGACAUGAGCAAUAUCAAAGGUAUUAAAUUAAAUAGAUGAUGUCCUACCCUAUCUCAUCUUCUUUUCAUAGACGAUGCCAUAUUUUUCAUGGAAGGAAAACUCCUUGAAUGCUAGAAUUUAGCAAACAUUAUAAACCAAUAUUGUCUAGCUACGGAACAAGCUGUGAACCCAAACAAAUAUGGGAUUUUCUUCAGCAGUGCUUAUCCAAAUAGUCUUCACGAAAAUUUAGCUAGAGAAUUUCAAGUACCUGUGUUGGAAAAGACUAGAAAAUACCUCGGCAUACCGUCAGAUUGGGGGAAAUCAAAACGGGAGAUGUUUGCAUGGAUGUUGGGAUGAAUAAACUCUAAGUUGGAAGGGUGGACAGAAAAGUUAGUUUCUAAAGGAGGUAAGGAAAUUUUAAUCAAAGUAGUUGUACAAGCAAUCACAUAGUACGUCAUGUCUAUAUUUAAAAUCCUAGUCUCUAUUUGUANNNNNNNNNNNNNNNNNNNNNNNNNNNNNNNNNNNNNNNNNNNNNNNNNNNNNNNNNNNNNNNNNNNNNNNNNNNNNNNNNNNNNNNNNNNNNNNNNNNNNNNNNNNNNNNNNNNNNNNNNNNNNNNNNNNNNNNNNNNNNNNNNNNNNNNNNNNNNNNNNNNNNNNNNNNNNNNNNNNNNNNCCUUAUCAUUAUGGAGUAGGCUCUUUAAAGGGCUCUAUUUCCAUUACAAAGGUUUUUGGCAUGCAGACAAAGGUACUAGACCCUCCUGGGGAUGCAAAGCAUACUACAUAGCUGGGAUUCUAUCUCAAAUAAACUCCAGUGGUCAGUUGAGGAUGGAUAGAAGAUUAGAAUUCAGGAGGACAAAUGGAUUCCCACAGGCAUAAUUGGCAGCCCCGCGCCUAGAGACGAACCUGAGAGGGUGGCGAACUUCACUAUUUCAUAACAGUAGACACGGAAUAUAUCCCUACUUCGCCGCAGUUUUGAUGAUCAGACUAUUGAAGGAAUUCUUAAAAUUCAUAUCCGACCGCAAUACACAGAUGACCAACUACUUUGGAUGGGGAGAGCUAAUGGAAAAUAUACUGUUAAGAGUGGUUAUAACCAACUCAGAUCAGGCAAGAACAGUGGAGUAUUGCAUCGCGCAUCCUCUUCCUAUCAACCCCCUUGGCAACUAUGGACAAAAAUUUGGACAAUGAAGACUGCUCCAAAAUUACGCAUCUUCUUGUGGUCUUUUAUGCCAAAAUGCCCUACCUACUAGAGACAAUCUCUAUUAUAGACAUGUCAUUCCAAACCCUGUAUGUUAGCUAUGUCAAGAUUGCUGUACAUAUCCUAUCCCCGAAUCUACUAAACACAUUUUCCUACACUGUCCAUUGACGUAAAGAAUCUGGUCCCACCCUUAAAUCUAGAUCAACACUCAACCACUUUGAGUUCACAGGUUUGAUGCUUGGAUAGUUGAUUUACUUUAGAAGGGAGAUGUCUUACCAGAUCUCGCAAUGGUAGUGUAUAUUCUGUGGCAGAUUUGGAAGGCUCAGAAUGAUUUUGUCUUUCUUCGAAAGAGACCUACUUCGGAUCAGGUUGUUCAUGCCGCUCUGGCACAUGCUAGAUCUACUUGGCACUACUAUAGGAUGCUGCCAAAUCAGAGCUUGCACCAACACCAUCCUGAUCAACUAUGGCGCCCUCCCGAUCCGAGUGUUCUGAAUAUCAAUAUUGACGGCGCCUUCCCUACAGCAUUAAACGAAGGAUCGAUGGCCUGUGUCUGCCAUGAUUCUUCAAGCUAGUUGCUCGACGGAUUUACCUGAUGCAUCAGUGUAGCAUCAGCCCUGCAAAUAGAGGUGCAUGCACUUAAUCUCUCUCUUCACUACUUGCUGUAGAAAGGAAGGUCAUAGGAACAAAUCUUGAUGGAAUCGGAUUGCCUAGUGGUGAUUGAAGCGCUACAUAACCCUAGCCAAACACCAUGGGAGAGCAAAGCCUGUUUGCCAAGUGUGUGACGCUCCUGCAAAGCUUCCCUAAGCUGCGGCUAUGGCACUAUCGAAGGGAGGCUAACUAUAUUGCAGAUUGAGUUGCAAAGGCCCGUGGGCAAAAUCUUCUCCCUUCGAAUUGGGCUGUAUCCCCCCUCCUUGUCUUUUAGACCUCCUUUGUUCCAAGGCGUUGAACUCAGGUUGCCCGUUUUCGCGUUAAUGAAAGUUUUUUUCCUUUCGACCAAAAAAAAAAAAAACUUAAAGUGCUUCUAGCUCGUUUGAAAGUUUUUUUCCUUUCCCCCUACCAGCUUUCCACGUCGACUUCUCCCCCCCCCCCCCUCAGGCGGGGGGCGGUGGUGAAAUUUACACUUUCUUCUUCAAUUGGAAGGAGAUCGGGGUAGAAUGAUAAUUUUGCAAAUAAAAUCACAAUUUCAUUUGAUCAUAGGUGCGUGUAUUUUAAAGUAAAAUCAAAUGCAAACUUGUAGUUACAGAAAUUGAGCAGACAAAAUGGAAUUAGGGGUAUGUAAGAAGUAAAGAAUAUAAUUGAAAUCUUUUAAGAUCCCUUCAUACUAAACUUGUCAAACAUCUUCAAGAGGAAGAUAGCACCAAAUCCUUGUUAAUGAUAAUUUCAAGUUGUACAAGUUUUCUUGUGAGUAAAUCAUUUAUUAACAUGAUGUCGAGUGCAAGUUAGUCUAGUUAAACCAUAAUGCCCCACCACUCCUAUAAAGCCUACUGAACAUGAACUAACCAUACUUAAACUCACUGCAUGAUGGGAGCAGCUAGAACCCGCCUGAUACUACCAUUUUAAGAGGCAGCGAACUUUCAACUUCCUAUGUGGCGGCAUUCCUCUCCGCGACAACCUUUGACAUUCCAAACAUCUGUAUGGGGAAAACAUGGAAAUAAGUUGAAGGAAGGGAGAGGAGAUUACUUUAUGCUUCAAGAGGGUUCAUGCGAAGCUAGAGUGCGAUUAAGAUACCUUUUGAAUAGUCAUUGUGAAACAACUCUUGUGCUCAUCCACGGAUGCAUUGAUGAAUUCAUCAACGUGAUCCUUUAUAUCCUCCAAAAAAGUGGCAUCAUCCUUCUUCUUCUUGUGACAUGAUGUUAAAGGUGGCAUAGCAGGGGCAGCGGCGACAUCAUCAUUCUAUUUUUCCAUCUUACUAAUUCCUGAGAUAGUGUUAAAAAUGUGAUCCAUUUUUGGAAAGUACUAGAACACACUAGACUAUUCAUGCUUAAUGCAAGAAAAUGCAAGUCAAGCCAAAAGUGAAGACUCUCAUAUGUUGGAGAAGUUUCUAGUACUACAUAGGUAGGAAGACUACGUGGGAAGCAAGAAGUAAAGUUAAAGAAAAGUAGCAAAAGUCAACAAAAGCAGUGGAGCCACAGAGAAUAGAAAAAUGGAGAAUAAUGGAGAAGCAACCAAAAGAUCUAGAAGAAGCUGCAACAAGUAGGAGACAAGAAGCAAGUUGAAAUUUUAUAUUAAUUUUUGUACUCAAAGUCGGUAGAGUAAGGCGGUGACUCAUGCCUAUAAAUAGGAGUUAGUAGAUGUUUGUGUAGCAAAAAAACAAGAAAUGCUCCCUCCUUUGUAAUUCCAACUAUUAUAAUAAAGUUUUUACCCAUACUCCCUUGCCGUAGAAGUCCACUUAUAUCCACCCAUAUUUCACACAUACACACUUGCACACACACGCUUCCGCAAAAAUCUAACAGAUAGAAAGUUAUUUCACUGGCCAUUCAACGAAAUGAAUACAGAUUUUAGUGCGCCAUUGCCAGCAUGAUAACCAUAAGACAGAAAAAAAGCAUUCUUUGAAUCAUAACAAUUUACUGCAAAAAAAGAAUGGAUCACUUCACAUUGAGAUAGCUAGUAUAAGCACCUAGAGGGGGGGUGAAUGGGUGCACAAACAAUUUCUCGAGAUACGGAAGCGAUUCUAAGCAAAAAGUAGAAAGGAAAAUGCAAUCAAAGCGAAGUAAAGGUUAGGGAAGAGAGAAAUGAACACAAGAUUUAUAGUGGUUCGGCUUAUUCCAAGCCUACGUCCACUCUUCCGCACUGACAGCCCACCAGCUGGACUUCACUAUGAACAAAAGAGAAGUUACAGCACAGCUUUUCCUUGAUUCCACAGUGUAGAUGUUCUACCACACUUCCUCAAGGUUUCUCAUGAAUAUAGACUCUCUUUUGUUUACACGAUUUUGCUCAACAAAUGAAUUGACUAAGAACAAGAGGCUUCCGACUUUGGAAUUCUUCUAUCGUGCACACCUCAAACAACUGGAACGUCUUCCUUAUAUACUCCUUCAUGCCAUCAUACCCGUUGGCACUUACCAAAGGAAUUCCUCCAAACUACCCGUUGGACGGAAUCAAUUAGGAAGAUCAUUCGAGCUAUUAAAGGAACAUGUCGAUAGCCNNNNNNNNNNNNNNNNNNNNNNNNNNNNNNNNNNNNNNNNNNNNNNNNNNNNNNNNNNNNNNNNNNNNNNNNNNNNNNNNNNNNNNNNNNNNNNNNNNNNAUCAGGAUCUCGAUUUCCAUAAGUAGAACCUUCCAAGUAUACUUUGCCAAUCAUCAGAUCCUUAAUCUUCGAAUCAAUUAGAUCAAAUAAAGAAUUCCGUUAUGUCAUAUCCAGCCAAGAGAUCUUCUCCAGUCGAUAAAGCCACAUCCUUAAUGAAACAUCCAGUUCUGGAUAGCCUUUCUUCAACGGAUUAGAAACUGUCAAUGAGGAUAGACUUUGAGUCUUGAGUCUGGUUGUCCGGAGGUCUUUGGACUUUAAAUAGCAGAGUCUACAAGCCUUCAGAUUAGACUGAUGGAAACGUUUUGUCAACUUCAAAACACUUCAAGAGGAUUUCUCCAACACACAUGAAUGAAAUGCCCAGUGAAGUAAGUGCCCAACCACAAACAUAUAAAGCUACAAAAGUUCAGUUUGCCUUCAUCUUUUCGGAUGCACUAUCUGUAUGAUGCACGGGAUUGGACUUCCAAAUCAAUGACUGAAUGAUAAAAAAUGGGAACAUGACAAAACAUAACAGAUUCUAAAGUGGAACACGGAAGAGAUAAAGAACAUGAACAAAUAAGAGGCUUAUUUUUAAAUCUUCCUUAAGAUUUAUUCCUAUUGGAAUUCAAGUCGGCGGAAGACAACUUACCUUUAUCCAAUACGCAAACAACAAUUAACCCUGGAACGAACGUUGAAUUGCGGAUGAAUCACGAACAAAAAAUACUUUACGUUAGUUUGAAUGCAAUCACGAGGAAAGCACCCGAUUUCUACGAUGUAAAUGCAAACUAUUGUCAUAAAGAAGAAAUGGAACGCCUACUCUUUAAUGGAAAGGGGACAAGAAAAUGAAAACUUUCUUUUCUAUACGUACGUUCUUCCAAACCGUGCCAAUGGUUGUCUUCAAGAGUCUUUUAUAUGACUCCAUCACACCCCUCCAAAUGGUGUCUUUCCAUCGAGCGUAUCAAGAUGAAACAGUGUGUUCUCAUCGCACCCCAUCAUGGACGUACUAAUUCGGUACAACAUCUCCCACUCGGACAUGAUGGGCUUGAUAGCGCUCUAUCAAUAAUAUAAGGCAUUCAAUAUUCAUCAACUUUACAAAACAAUUUAUAUUGGCAAGUAAGCCGUGCGAUCAAUGAGUACACCUGCACUUGGGAGCUCAAAUUAUGUACCCGUUAAGGAUGACAUAAUGGCUACAACCCUAAAUAGAAACAAACAAUCAAUGUCUCACAGUGCCCUAGACAUAUUUUGUUACAUCAGUCCAAGUAUAUCUAUCCCUUAAAGGCUAUACUUGACUAUUCUCAAAACACCAUGUAUUUACAAUUAUAUCUGCAACCACACAAGGCGAUAUAAUUAGUCGACCAGUAAAUAUAUGUGAUAGAUGUAAAACAACAAUAGUCUUCCUUUGCACUCAUGUCUCUCUCAAUUUUAGAACAACUGCUUUCUUAGACACGUCCCAUAAAGACAUAUCUAUUCACAAUCGCCAGUAACAUACUAAAGUAGCAACAUCGAUCUUUCACUUCAAGAACAUAGUCAAAAGUAACAUAGGGCACAAAAUGAGGUAAAUUAUAAAUUAUCUUAAGGGCUCACACGAUAAGUAAAUAGGGAUAAUUUUACUCACCUUCCCUUAUUGGUCGUAUAAUGCACAUGUAGUAUGAAUUACAUGUUAUAGUGGAUUUCUCUUUCUACAAGAGCGUAUGUCAUUUAUUAAAUAUAUCCACUAUAUGGAUCUUAGCCUAAACAUAGUCACGUGCUUCUCACUUAUUCAUGUUUAGCUCGAGUGCUAUAUUAGCUCGCUUUCUAUAGCGCCCAAUCAAGUACUCGCAUCCAGCAUCUUACAGGCAUACAUGGUUAUGGGACUAUCAUGUUCGGUCUUAUUAUAAACAAAUCACAGACCUCAUUUUGACUCAAAUCAAGGCGACAUAUUUUAUGUACCAGACUUGCUCUUUAGCAUUUAUUUGUACAUAAGGUCUCAUCUCCGCAUGCUAACUACAGCACUUGAGGCAAUUGCUCGUGUGAGUGAGCUAAUCAUUGCCUGCUGACAUACUUUCCAAUAAUAUAUGUGUGCUUGUACUAGUCUCAAAAUGGAUUUAAAAUAAUUGAUAAAAUAUCAAGUCACUAAUAAACAAAUAAGUAUAGUGCAUAUGUUCACAUAUACAUAAACCAAUAAUCCUCUACAAUAACAUAUAUCACAUUCUACGCAAUCAUAAUGACAUCCUGUGGCUCAAGAAUAUGUCUCUAGGAAUAGCCUUCAUAAAUGGAUCGGCGACCAUUCUAUUGGUUGAAAUGUAUUGUAGGAUCACUUCUUUUUGCACUAUUAUAUCUCUUAUGAAGUUGUUCUUUAUGUCAAUGUGCUUUGUUCUUCCAUGAUACUUAGGAUCAUUCACAUAGGUAAUGGUUGCUUGACUAUCGCAAUAAACUAUCAUCGGUCUUGGAACCUCAGUGACAGUGGCUAAAUUUUCCUAGAAACGCUUUAGCCAUACUACUUCUUGCACUGCAGCAGAACAUGCAAUAAAUUCUGCCUCCAUCAUAAACAAGGCGGUGCAUGUCUGUUUCUUGUUAUUCCAAGAAAUUGCACCUCCAUUGAGCAAAAACGCAUAUCCAGAAGUCGAUUGCUCAUCAAGGUCUCCACCCCAAUCAACAUCUGAAUACCCAAUAGGCAUAAAUCAUUUCCUUGGUAACAAAGUCGAUAGUCCAUGGUGCCCUUCAAGUAUCUCAGGAUCCUCUUCACUGCUUUCUAGUGUUCUUUGUUAGGGAAAUCCCUUAUGAUGUUUUGAAGAUGACAAAAUAAAUCAAAGGCUACUAACAUGUUUAAUGGUUAAGUAAUAGACCAUGCAGAUGAUAGAACAUGUAAAUGAUAUUGUCAAAGUGUGAAGACGACCAGAAGACUGAACGUAACAUAUGCCCAAAGUAUAUUCUGAAGAUUUCCAGACUUCUAUGUCAAAGUCUGAAGACCGUCAAACUUUAGUGUCAAAGUUUGUUCUACAUUAGACUUCUGCUCAUUCUAACAAAUUCCAGAUUGAACGUGAAUGAUGAACCAGAAGACAGACUCUAUGCUGAAGCUGAACCAGAAGACAAACUCUAUGUUGAAGCUGAACUUAUUCAGACGGUGUUCAGACCUUAAAGCUAAAUCUGUUCAGAAGCAGAAUAUGUUCAGACUCGGAUUGCAAAGUCUAUCGUACUCAGACUCAGAUUGUAAAGUCUAUUGCUCUCAGACUUUACAUCCAGAUUCGACAGAACAUAACUCAAGCCCAAUCAUAUAACGGCUAGUAAUCUGGUUUGGAUUCCACAUCAAGAUUGAUUUGAUUGAUUCAAUCUAAUUGAUUGACGGUUGGAUCUUGAAGACAAGAUCUUUCUAUACGAAUAAGCUUUACUUAUGGAAACCAAGAUUCCGUUUGUAUGGGCGAUCAGAAUCAACUUGGGAUUCUACCUUUGUCACUCAACGGCUACCAAAUCUUCUAGAUACAGAGCUGUCCAAUGGGUAUAUUGGAAGACGAUUCUCUGGGAUGCUAUCCAACGGGUAGUUUGGAAGUGAAGAAGUAUUUAAGGAGAUGAAGGACCGAUGAGCAAGUAAGAGAUAGAGUGUAGAAUUUAUAAUUCCAAAGUCUGAGCAACCUUCGAUCAUACACUUGUCCUUGGAGAGCUUAAACGUUUGUGAUCGUGAGAGAAAUACCAAAAGAGUGACGUAGUGAGAUAGUGUGAUCUACUAAGUGUUUGCACAUGAAGUUGUAAUCUUUUGUUGAUUGCAUAGUGGAAUCCAGCCAAGAAGGCUGUUAGCGUGGGAGAGUGGACGUAGGCUUGGAUUAAGCCGAACCACUAUAAACCUUGUGUUCUUAUUCUCUUCCUUAACUCCUUUGUUUUACUCGAAGUUUAUUUUAUUCUGCAUAUAUUUGCCAAAGUUUAGUUUAAACACCUAUUCACCCCCCUCUAGGUGUUCAUACUAGCACUCUCAUGCUUGACCGGAUUUGAUUGAUAUCGGCUUACCUAUCCCAUAGCAUAGCAUAUGUCGGGUCGAGUACACAUCAUAACAUACAUCAAACUUCCAAGGGCACUAGUAUAAGGAACAAUUUCCAUGACUUUAAUUUCUUCUGGAGUCUUAGGACACAUCUCAGUACUUAGACCUUCACCUUGCAUGACAGGGGUAUCAAUGGGAUUACAACACUGCAUAUUGAAACGCUCAAGAAUCUUCAUUAUAUAAGACUCUUAUAAUAAAGUAAGGAGUUUCAUUGAUCGAUCUCUUUCAAUCUUAACUCUUAAUAUAUAAGCAGUUUCUCCCAUGUCAUUCAUUUCAAAAUUAGAGAACAAUCAUUCUUUUAUGGUGAUAAUCAAAACCUUGUCAUUUCCAGCUAAUAGAAUAUCGUUCACAUAAAGUGAUAAAAUCACAAAUUUAUUUUCGGACCGCUUGACAUAUACACUGUGAUUUUUUCCGAUCAUCAUGAAACCAAAAGUGGUUAUGGCUUGAUGAAAAUGAAGAUACAACUGUCUAGAUGAUUGCUUAAGGCCAUAUAUUGAGCGACGAAGCUUGCAAACUUUAUACUCUUGACCUUUAGAUAUAAAACCUAUUGAUUGCUUCAUGUAUAUUUCCUCAUCUAGUUCUCCAUUGAGAAAUGCCAUCUUUACAUCCAUUUGAUGUAAUUCAAGGUCCAAAUGUGCAAUUAUUGCUAGGAUAAGGCGUAUUGAGGCAAACCUUACAAUUGGUGAAAAUGUUUCCUCAUAGUCUAUACCCUUUUGUUGAGUAUAACCUUUCGCCACAAGACGAGUCUUAUACUUUUCAAUGGAUCCAUACACCCUUUGAUGAAUCUUAAAGACCCAUUUUUUUUUAAUGGCCUUACGAUUGGGUGGUAGAUCAAUUAAGUCCCGGACAUGAUUUGCUGUCAUUGACUCAAUUUCAUCUUCCAAAACUUUUCUCCAUUCUUCCUUAUCAAAGGAUGAGAGAGCCUCUUGAAUAGUUUUAAGCUCGGCAUCGUCUUUAUGAGCAAUCAAAAAUGCUUCCCCUUCAAUCUCAAAACGACAACAGGGAACACUUUUACGAUUAAUUUUACGCAAUUGAAUUUCUCUUGAAUUCAAUUCGUCAGGUAAUGCAAUACUCCCACUAGUUCUUGCAUGUUGAGAUAAAUCUUCAUUUCCCUCUACAAUAUUAGUGGGUGUGUUAUUAAGAUAUUUCAUCUCAUAUAAUUGGAAGUCCUUAUCAAUCUUACCUCUACUAGGAAAAUCAUUCUCCAAUAACGUGACAUCUCGUGACUCCAUUUCGGUCACACUUCUAUCAACUUGUUCAUCUAUGAACACAUACCCUUUGGAGUGUUUGGAAUAUCUUAUAAGGAUACAUUUCUUCCCUCUAGGACCUAAUUUGUCAUAUUUAUGGGAAGAAUCCUGAACAUAAGCUGCACAUCCUCAUGGACAUAGAAUACUUAAGUCUGGUUUCCUACCAGUCCACAAUUCAUAAGGGGUGGAAGUGACCGAUUUUGAGGACACUUGGUUAAGUAUAUAUGCAGUAGUCAAUAACGCAUCUCCCCAAUAGGAGAUAGGUAAAUUUUCUUGCGCCAUCAUAGACCCAAAAAUUUUCAAUAGAGUUCUAUUGCUUCUCUCAACUACCCCAUUUUGUUGUGGAGUACCAGGAAUAGUCAAUUCUCGUACAAUUCUCUUUUCAUCACAAGGAGCCUUGAAUUGCUCCGAUAGAUACUCACGUCUGCGAUCGGUUCUCAAUGCAUUUAUUGUUUUGUUCAAUUGAUUCUCUACCAUUGUUAUAUAUCGUCUAAAGCAAUCUAAUGUUUCUGACUUAUGGGAGAUCAGAAAAACAUAACCGAAACGCGUAAAGAAAGUGAUGAAAUAUGAGGCUCCAUGCCUCGCCCUCACAUUCAAUGGACCACAAAUGUCAGAAUAUAUGAGUUGCAAUAAAAAUUCGGCUCUAGUCUCUUUACCGAAUAGUUUUCUAGUUGCUUUUCCCGCUAGACAAUAUUCACGUACGGGUAUAUUAACAUUAGUGAGUGAUCAAUCUUUGGGCGCUUUCGGUAUGUGUCAAAUUUGAUGGUGAGUCUCCUUAACUUAGUGGCAGAUUUACCCCCAAACUUAUCUUUCAAGACAACCCACAUAGCUUGAGCUUUGUCAUAACUUUCAAACUCAAACAUGAGAUCAUCUUGCCUACAACUCAGCAACGUGAUGCGAGUAAUGCUAUUUUUCCUUUUCCAAGCUUGAUAAGCUUCUAGAUCUCUCCUGUGUUGAGCUAAAGUUCCAUGCUUAGGUUCAUCCAUGGUGUGGUUGAGGGUUUCCAAAACCUCUUACUCCUCAAGGAUGUACUGAACCUUUCUGUGCCAAAUAUCAUAAUUAUCACCGUUCAACUUCUCACCCCUAUUGAGGUCAGCUAAAAUGGUCUUGGCUGCCAAAGCCAUAAUCAAUUGCUAUAAUAAAUUGACAUAAUAAACGCAGAAUCAAUACUAGCACACUUUUCAGAGUAACACACAUAUUUAAUUUGCAGCAAAAACAAAGUAAAUUAAUGAUAAUUUAAUAAAAGACACAGAAACGAAAGUUCACUAUGUUUCUAAUUAACUUCUAUGUACAAUUGUUCUAUUAUCAUUAAUAAAUUUAAUUUGCACAAAUUUUAAGUUCUAGGUGAGAACUCCUUCGAAUUCUACCAACCUAAAAACUCUCACUAGGAAAAAUAAUUACAUGACCUCAUAUAAUUUGUACAUUUUUUCAUUAACACAAAAACAUAGCAUAAUGUCAACCAACGUACAAAAAAUAAUCAUGUUGUAACUACAAUCAAAAUCGUAAUUCAACAUGUAAUGAAAAAAUAAUGAUUUCCUAUCAUUGUUCAAAUUUUCUUGGAACUAGAAAACCGCAAGUAUAUUAAACUAUAUACAUGCUACCAUCGAACCAAGCUCUACAAGCAUAUAUGCCAUCAUUUUCAUACAGGCUAGCUAUUGUAUCUCCACAAACAUAAGAAAAUACAAGCUGAAAAUGAAUAAAUUAUACAUUCAACCCCCAAAAAUACGCGCACUUAGGGUUUCCUACACAUUUUUAUACAUUUAUAAAAGCAAAAAAUAAAAAAUAAAUAUAUCACAGUGUAGAGCACAUCCAUAUGAACUAAACGCCGCCGACCACGCUCCAAUCAGAGCUCCCACGUGCCCACACGCGCCAUCUAAGUGUGUGGUGCAUGUGGCGCAUGCGUGCAGCAAGCCUAAAAGGCUCUAGCCGGUCCGACCGGUUUGACUGCCGGACUAGUUGACUGGUCCAACCCGUUGACUGGUCAACGAUCGAGUUGGGUUGGGUCAACCUCGGGUCGGGUCGAGUCGAGUCGAGUCGGGUCUUGGGUCUUGUCGCUAGCUAGUCACCGGCUGGCCAACCGCCGUUGGCGGUGUGGCACCCCUCGACAGCCCCCGAUCCGAUUAGGGUCGCCACAGUUCGCUUACCAUUCACUUUCCUUAUUAACAUAUCACUCUGAUACCAUUUCAAUUGCAGCGGAUCCAUACAACCUGGGGGUUUACAUCUUUUAGAUCGGUCCCUUGCGCAGUUUAAAUACGGAAGCACAUCCAACAACUCCCUUCCCUAUGUUCAGAAAACGAUGCACACCUACUAAAUGUCUUAUAUAAGUUAAAACCGAACACGUUUAUUUACAUAAAACAGAUGGACAUCUUUAGUCAGUACAUCGAAAUGCCAAUGUUUCUAUACUCGGCUAUACUUCAAAAGAUGACCGACAUCUCCUCCCACAAUCGUAUGCUUAACGUCCAUCAACCAGUGUCGGCGUCCAAAGGUUCCCUCAUUUGCUAUCCUUCUCAUUGCGGUCAUAUCCAACCGCUCAAACCAUCUACUAAUCUGAAAUGUUAUUCCCCAAAAGGGGUGAGUACAACCACUCAGCAGGUAAAGAAUCCAAUAACAACUCAAUGCAUCAUGCAAAUCAUACAUGCAUUGCAGGCGUUACUUACCUUGAAGCCAUGCGCAUACUAUCAUGCAUCAUGAUAUCAAUUUAUAACACAUACAUGUGUAUCAUCAUCGUAUCAUACAUGUCAUCAUCAUCAUGACAUCAUUACAUUACACAUGUCAUAUCAUAUAUCAUUAUCAUAAUCAUCACCAUACAUAUCAUCAUGCAUAUCAUAUAAUGGGUGAUCAUCAUUAUUUCACAUCACAUAUCAUCAUCAUCAUCAUCAUGCAUGUCAUCAUGCAUAUCAUAUCAUGGGUGAUCAUCAUUAUUUCACAUCACAUAUCAUCAUCAUCAUCAUCAUCAUCAUGCAUAUCAUCAUGCAUAUCAUUAUCAUGGGUGAUCAUCAUUAUUUCACAUCACAUAUCAUCAUCAUCAUCAUCAUGCAUAUCAUCAUGCAUAUCAUUAUCAUGGGUGAUCAUCAUUAUUUCACAUCACAUAUCAUCAUCAUCAUCAUCAUCACCAUGCAUAUCAUCAUGCAUAUCAUGCCAUGGUUUAAUUUCCACUUUUAGCUUUCAAUUUGAUCACCACAUCGCCCAUUCCUCAAAUCAUCAAUUUCAUCAUCCCCUCGGGUAAAGACCUCCGAGGCUUCCGGCAUUCAUCCUCCCAGGCCACCGGGCAUCCGGCCCCCCACAUUCCGGGCAUCUCGCAUCUCAACUAGCAUCACGAGGCAUUCCCUUCGGGCAGAAACCUCCGACAGGGUUUCCGGCAUUUACACUCUCUGGCCGGGCAUCCCGCAUCCCAAUCUUGGCAUCGUGAGAACCAUCCGGGCAUGUAUCCAAGAUACAACCGGGCAUCCGGCACCCCCACAUUCCGGGCAUCUCGUAUCCCAACUAGUAUCACGAGGUAUCCUCCGGGCAUGUAUCCAAGAUACAACUAGACAUCCGGCCUUUACCCUUCUAGCCAGGCAUCUCGCACCCCAACUAGCAUCACGAGGAAUCUCUGGGGCUCGCCAUGAAAAUGGUUUCCCCUACCCUCCGGGCAUGCAUCAUGAUACAACCCCUCACCCUCCGGGCAUGUAUCAUAAUACAACCAGGCAUCCAAAGGGCAUCGACUCAUUCGAACCUCUGGGCAUCCCGACUCCCGGGGCAUUAUCAUCCGCCACAACAAUCUCCUCAUUUAACAUUAUUCAUGUUCACCAAUUUCGUUCUCAAUUUAGCAUGGCAUAUGAUGCAAUGGCAACCAACAAUCAUGUUCAACAUUGAAUUCACACAUGCAUCUCAAUGCAUACAUCAAGACCUCAUUACACAUACUACAUGGUAUAAUUAUUUAUGAAAUAAAAUUAAUGGAAUUUAUGGCCAAUAAAAUAAUCCAUUUUUCAUGCCCUUUUUCAUUUAUUUAAAUUCCAACUUUUGUCAUUUCCAUAAAUAUUAAAUUUAAUAUCAACAAAUUCCCAAAAUUAUAAAAAUUACAACAAAUAUUAAACAAGCCAAUAGGAUGAUAACUUCAUACAAAAUACAUGGUCAAAUAGCAUUUCACACAAUUUCCCAAUUUUCACAAAACCUCAUAUAAUUUUCGGAUGAAACCAGAAUGCACAGUUUUUGAAGAAAUUCGAUUAAAAUAUCCAUACGACCUCCAAAAAUCACGAAAUUUUACCGAGUUAUAGCCAAGACAUUUUCGCUCAUCUUUGCUGAAGACUUUCAAGCCAGAUUCUUUCUAGAUUAUUUUCUACAGUCACACGAAGCUUCUGGAUCCGUUACCGCAUCGUCCAGUGCAAGCUUCUCGGAAAUACUGAGAUUUCACCUACCUAUUCUUCUUCAUUUCCUCUGAAAUUUGGAUAUGUUAUACAUCAAGAUGUUCUCUACAAGUUUUGUGAAGAUAUCCAAGUCAAAUAUCCAGAUUAUAGUCGUCAUUUAGGUCCAUGAAGUCUCGGGUGUCCUAUAAUACAUCUCCAGAAUCACCGUCUUCAAGAUCUAGUCGAUUUACUAGGCUAUACUUGUUCAUUUCACUUCACAUUUGAGUAUGUUGUAUUUUAAGAUGUCUCCUACAACUUUCAUGAAGAAAUUGAAGUGAUAUUCUUAACAAAAACCAACAUGCAACCACGAAUCCAGCAAGAGAUCAGUAAAAACUCUCCAGAUCUGAGGUCUCCGUAGAACAAGACUUUAACGCCUCAAAUCUCCAUUAUUUUUCACGAAAUUUCAGUAUGUUGUAGUUCAAGAUGUUAGAUACAAUUUUCAUGAAGAGAUCGAAGCCAAAUUCGAACUCUAAACACACAUGCAAGCUCAAACAAGUUUUUGACUCACACGGUUCGAACAAGAACAGCCAUGCCAUUCAAACAUAAAUCAUCUAUGCUUCGGUUUUUCUCACCUAAACACCCAAAGAUUCAACAUGCAAGCAACAUACAAACAUGCAAGAGAAGCUAGAGGACUCCCACUUGCCUCUAGACCACACGAAUGGCGGCACACCGGCGACGGACGGACGGCGUGCGAACGGGCGAGCUCCUUCCUCCUCGGCCUCCCUCUCCUCUCUCGCAACUCACUCUCUCUCACUUGGCUUGGCCGAAUGCCACUCUCUCUCUCCCCCCUUUCUCUCUCUUUUGGAUGCUUAUAUAUUGCAUGCUUUCUUAGUUUGCAUGAGGGACAAGUGUAAUUGUGGAGGAAGACAAGUGUCCACCAUGCUUCACCUCCUUCAUGCCACUUGUCCGGUUACAUGCAAGGCUGAUGGGCCUUCUUCUUGGGCCUAUCUUGGGCCAGCAAAUGGGCUGGUCGACAGCCCCUCCUUGGCUCCAAUGGGCCGACCAUUUGGCCCUCCAAAAUCCUUACUCUUGGGCCUAAGGCCCAACCUAAUUAAACCCACAAUUUCCCUUUCAAUUAUUCAUCUUUAAUUCUUUAUUUUAAGAAUUUAAUUACUAAAUUCCACAUGGCCAAAAUCUUGAAAUCAUAAUUCCAUAAAUUCCAAUUUAUAAAACACAUGGCCAAUGAUAGGAUUUUCUUUCCUAUCACAUAAUUAUCCAUUAAAAGCUUGGCCAUAAAUCUUAUUACAAAUUAUGGAUUAAAUGGCCAUAAUUUGAUGGUACUUCCAUCACCUAUUCAUAGAAUUUAAUAUAGCUAGAGGUCCUUAAGAAUUUUGGGAUGCCACAGGCGGUGACGUCAUCGAUGACGUCAUUUGACAACCGACCAUUGGAUGACAUCAUCAUGUAUUGAUUUGCCGAUCGGCACGUGUUGCGCACGUGCGGGUUUGCCGACCAGUGCCUGUUGCGCAUGGACUGGCAUUCCCAGAGCUUCAGGCAUGUGAUGCCCACGCGCAGCGGCUUCUGGCCGCAUGUGUGAGUGCGUCCAACAUCCUCCGGUGGCGAUCUACCCAUCGUCGGACUUGUAUCAACGAGUAAUUUCACCCUGUAUAUUUGAAAAUUGAUUUUGGCUGAAAAAAGGUUUCGACAAAUGGCCAGGACCAUACAGGUCUACACAACCCUGAACCUGCUCUUCGCUUCGAUUUGAUUUCGGCUAUUCGAAUUAGCAAUUCCGUGCAAUGACCAUUCAAACAGUGUAGAUUUCAUACUCUUGAUCUCGAAUAUCAAAUGGUAAACAGGAAAAUUCAAUGAAAAACAAGGCAGAAAUCACGGCCGUGCUCUGAUACCAAUAUUGGAAUUCAAGUCGGUGAAAGACGACUUACCUUUAUCUUAUAUGCAAACAACAAUUAACUCCGGAACGAACGUUGAAUUGUAGAUGAAUCACAAACAAAAAAUACUUCACGUUGGUCUGAAUGCAAUCACAAGGAAAGCACCGGAUUUCUAUGGCGUAAAUGCAAACUAUUCUCGUAAAGAAGAAAUGGAACGCCUACUCUUUGAUGGAAAGGGGACAAGAAAAUGAAAACUUUCUUUUCUGUAUGUACGUUCUUCUAAACCAUGCCAACAAUUGUCUUUAGGAGUCUUUUAUAUGACUCCAUCACACCCCUUCAAAUUGUGUCUUUCCAUCGUAGUGUAUCAAGGUGAAACAGUGCGUUCUCAUCGCACCCCAUCAUGGACGAACUAAUUUAGUACAACAAUUCUUGUUACCAAAUCUGGAUUUGGAUCAUUCAUUACUCCUUCCUUUGACGAGAAUAGCCUCAAUUUUUGCACAAUCAAAUAGAGUAGUUCAUUGCCCUGUAAGGAUAUCACACUUAUACUAGUGCUAAUUGAAAUAAUUUUAUGUUCCCAUGAGUUCAGUAGUGAACACGGUAAGGUACAUGCUUUAUCUCCUUCACACAAAUUACAUCAAUAGAUGUUAGUUGCCCAUAAAUAGUAUUAAACCCGUUUAAGUGUGUAGACAAAGAAUCAUCUUACUCAGUUACACUCAUCUGAAGGUUGCAUAGUCACUUUUGUAGAAUUAGCAUUUUCAUGAGCUACUUGCUCUAAGAAAGGCUUCCCAGCUUCAUCCAUAUAUCCUUCGUCAUAUCCUCAAAGGUCACAUUCACCAAGGCGUUAUCAGCAAGACAAAGCCAGGUCAAGCUUCGUGUCUUUCGAUCGUUGUUGAUCCACUACUUCAAUUCAUUGAACAUGGACUCCUUCCUCUUCUCAUUGGGACUCUCCUCAGGUUUAUCAUGUUCGAUCGAUCACAUGCCAAAGAUUUCUGUCCACAGGCAAGGACUCCAUCUUCAAUUUUCAUAACUUGAAAUCAUUUCUUCCGAACAUCUCUACUUCAAUUCGUGAUUGACCAGUCAACAUCUUCCCAAGAUUCGAUAUUUCUUUUUUUUAGAUCUCUCUUCACCAAGAAACUUUAACCUCAAACCUGGCAAUGAUACCAUAUAUUAGUAUUAGGCGCAUAAACACAACAGAAUAGAAUGUAAGGUGUGAAAGAGAAAUCAAUACAUAAAGUUUAUCCUAGUUCACCAUUGAACUAUAGUUACAUCUAGUAGGGGAUUCCACUAUAAUUAGCAUCUUCCUCCUCUCUGUUACAACUCUCAAUUACAUAAGAAAGAGAUUAUAAAUAGGUGACACAAUGACUAUUUAUGUGCCCAAAUUAUAUAAGCCCUAUGACGUUGUGGGGGUGCUACCCCUUAACCUCCAUUGGAAUGGCCCCCCUAGACCCCACUUGCUCACCUGCCAAUGAGGAGUAUGAAUCACACCCAAACAUUUGGUAUGCCUGGUUUAAUGAUUGUGAAAAAUUGAUCUAUCCUAGGCUUAUGAUAGGUUAGAAUGGUGUUAUAUCCUAGAUGUGCUUACCUUCUUCAAUCUUACUGAUUUCUUGGAUAAAACUUAGUAUUUUAUGCAUUUCUACAAACACCAACUUCCAUUUUUUAAUGGAGGGACUCAAUUAGGGUGCUUUAGUUGAAAGUGCUUUCUCGGGUUAGGAGAUAGAGACAAUGGGAAGUUGAAUAUUGUGAUCUUACAUAUUAUGUAAAUUCGAGCAUUUAAUGCAUUAAUUGAAAAGGGAAAAAUACUAAAAAAGUCAUAAAUCUAUUACAUUUGUGCCAAAGUCAGUCAUAAACUAUUUAAUUGUAUCAAUUUAGUCUUAAACAUUUUUAUGUUUUACCCAUUGAGUCCAUUUUGCCAAUUUGGGUUGGAAAUUGCUAACAUAGAUAUCAAUAAUCCCACAUGACAUAGUUCAUGCUAACAUAGGCAUUUUUUUUUUUGUAAUUUAAAAAAAAUUGUGAUUUUUUCUUUUGUUUACUAUUUUUUUGGACUAAGGGCCAGCAAGAGUUGCCAACUAACCCUUGCCAACAAUAGGAGAGGGCCUUGAUGCCCUUGCUUAGGCCAACAAGCGAUGCGAUGCCCUCACCUGGCCUAGAUCUAGUGAGAGGUUUGUAAUGGCUUUGCCAUAUCUAGGCGAGGGAACACAUGCCCUUGCUUUGGCAAGUGAAGGUGUCACAACCCUUGCCCAGGUUCUCAUUGGCAAUUGUAAGGGCCCACAAGGCCGUGACACCAUUUCCUAGUGCCAAUAAGGGUCGCCAGCCCUUAGUCCAAAUUAAAAAAAAAAAAAAAGAAGAGAAAAAACCAAAAAGAUUAUUAAAAAAAUGUCCACAUUAGCGCCAGAUGUGCCACAUAAGACCAUAAACGUCUAUGACAGCAAUUUUCGACUUAGAUUGGCCCGAUAUAUUAAAUUGGCAAAAUAUGAAAAAGUUUGGGAUUAAUUUAUCACAAUUAAAAUGUUUAGGAUUAAAUUGGUACAACAAAUGCAAUAAAUUUAGGAAUUUCUUUUUUUUUACUUUUUCCAUUGUAAAGGCCUGGGUACUUUGCAAAAUUGGGCACGCAAUCGUCACUUCUAAAAAUUUAAGUGACUAGAGUAUGAUCUCGACAAUAGUUUGCAAAUUAAGAUAUUUCAUACUGAAGAAGGGCCUCAUGUGUUAUAGUUGAAAGAAAUUUCCCUAUGCAGAAUAAUUUUGUGGACAGCAUCAACGUCAACAUCAAAUGCUACAAAUUACCCGUUGUACAAUUCUUAAAAAAUACAAUCGUCAGCAAAUGGUGGAAACAAUUUCCUUGUCCGUAAACAAUUUAAAUUUCAAAAUGGAAUUUCCAAUGUCAUUUGGGCAAGUUUCACGAGCUACAAGAUCUCUUCGAAUUGAUUGAGAUAUUCCCAGUAAAUGGAAGGCCAUUUUUCCCCUCCCCAUCCCCACCUUCUCAGGGGGGAUGGGGUGGGGACGCAUAAGUUUCAGGAGUGGGUUUCGACUCCCACGCCCUGCAAGAGGCAGGGCAAAAGUCUGAGAGUGAGUGUAGAGUAGAAAUAGAGUAGGACUGACCAAAAAAAAAAAAAAAACAUCCAUAUAAAUAACCUCAUGUCUUUUUGAUUCAUGCGGGUGAUGAUCUUUCUGCGAUUCAUGCUCAUUGCGAUAAGAACAUGUAGUACAAAACUACAGGGGUGGUUCCAUGUAUGCAUUGAUAUGUUUCUCAAAUGUAUUUAAAGAAAGGACUAACUAUGAAUCUCUGCAUAGCGUUAGGCCCAGUAAACAACCUAAAAAUAUUGAAUUGGUUUUUCUUGUAAACAAAACUAAUUUUGCAGAACCAACUCCUUGGUUAAAUUCUGCUUCUACGAGCAAGUGAACUAGUAAAUGAAGUGCACACAAUAAAGAGUUUAGGGUAACUGAUACUACAAGCCUGAUUUACACAGGGUUGGCUUGAUAACCAUACAUCAUCUCUUCCAGCUCCAAUAGUUUAAUUAGACUGUAAUCCACUAUUUUAGCUAAGAGCAUAUACACCGCUUUGUUACAUGCAUAGAAGGAUCUACCACGCCAAAACAAACUUGGUCUAUAGCCACCUGCUAUUGAAACCAGCCACUAUUACACCCCCUCCGAUUGCUUAUCACACACCCUAUAGACUUGGUCUAUAGCAUAGUACCCACACUCCCCAAAUCAUAAACUACACCGGUAAUUAUUUAUAAAGGGUCCCUCGUGCACUUUGUUUACUGUUAAGGCAAUGUCUUUUAUUUAAGUACAAGGACUUCUCUAGUAAAUCUACAAAUGGGUUUGUACACUUCCACUAACAUUAGGAAAGAGACAGGCUCAAGAAUAGCGGAAAAUGCCUCAAUUCCUCUUGUUCUCAAGCACUCGCAAUUAGCUUUGUUCUACUCGAGGUUUGGUCUUCUUACAAGCCUCUUUUAUCAUGCCAGUCAAUUGGAUUUUCUAUAUAACGCAGGUUUUGUUUUCUAUAUAACGCAGGUUUUGUUUUAUCUUUUCUUUAAUCCCCAUUGGCACCAUCAUCACGUGUGACAUCUGGAUUUUUGUGACAGAUUGACGGAAGUCUCGUCAGACUGUGUCAUUGAUCCCAUUUGUGGACACGUUUUGUUAUCAUUGUUGGACCGAUACGUUACAUUUAGUAAUGGUCCGAUCAUUGAAAUUCCCCUUAGCUAACGCCACGAUCAAAACCUUCUUCCACCCACUUGUAUACCCUACUAACCAAAACUCCCGUGCACAUUUGUUUCGAUGACUAUACAUGAUCAUACCAUGCUUCGGUUGCCCAGUGAUUGAAAUAUGGAACCGGAGGCUUUCGCGACGCCAAGUUGGGUGUGAAUGCCUGGAAGGAUGCAAACGCUAGUCCUUCGGAAGAAAAAUCUUUUGAGUUUUAAAAAUGAUUGUUCUGUUGAGUUGCGCCUGAUUAUGGAGCAAAAUUGUGUGACAUGGAAUGGGACGUGUCAUAACAGUUUGGCCUUAUAAUUUGGACCCAUGUGAUUGAAAUGAUGUGUUCUAGUUUUGAAACUGAGUUAUACCAUUGCUUUGAAAAGUUCUAUUGAUUUGAUGCAUACUUAUUUCUUUGAUAUUAUGAUCCGGGAAAUUUGCAUGAAAUCUAAUGAUGAAGGUUCUGCACAGCAUAGUUUAGUAGAUUUUUUGCUGCUGGGUGGUUGUACUCACCCCUUUUGGGGACUAACAUUUCAGACUAAGCACGAUGCCUCUGCUGCCCACACCUCCUAAUACAUUCUAUGGAGUCUCGAUCAAUUUACAAUGGGAGCGGUCGGAAUAUUAGGACCCUGAGGUGUGAGGACUAACAUUCGUAUGGGUGAGAGUGAUUAUGAUGUUCGAUACCAGUCUUCCCACCGGCCCUGUACUCCAGGAGUAUGUCGUCGUAUUCGCCUGUUGGUAUGGACGAAUGCUAGGGUCGCUGCCACCACCACCCGCAAAUGGCAAUGGGGGAUCGAGUGGUUGGGUGUGACUGUGAGAUGGGGUCAGCAGAGGAAGAAAUUUUUGGACACCGACACCGAAUGAUGGACUUUAUGUUUGUAACUAUGUGAAAUGUCGAGUAUCCUUUGAAGUAUAGCCGAGUACAGAAAACUACGGCAUUUUGAUGUACUGACUAACGAUUAUCUAUCUAGUUUUAUGUAAAUAAAAGUGUCCGGCUAUUAUCUAUAAAAGUGUUUAGUUCGUGUGCAUCAUUUUCUACAUAUAAAGAAGGGAGUUGUUGGAUACGUUUCUGCCAUAUUUUUGCACAGGGACCAAUGGAAAGGAUAUAGACCCCCAGAACUCAUGGAUUUAUCAAAAUCCUAUGGUAUCAGAGUAACAGGCUUUCAGGUUGAGAGAAAGGUGGUGAUGUGUGGCGACCCUAGCGAAUUAGGGGCCGUUGGGGGGUGCCACAGCGAGUGGUAUCAGAGCUUUGGUUUUUUUUGGAGUGAUAAGGUGCGUUAGCAAGAAAUGAGGAUAUAAUGAUGCAUACUAUAGGACACUAACCAAGGGUAGUUGACUAACUAUGAACAACGGGUGAUUGAUUUUCACUCAUAGACUACUUGUAAUGAUUGUGAGUUACCUUUGCUUGCAAGUAACAUUUUAUGUUACUUAUGUGACUUUAGUAACACCUUUAUUUUAUUGCUCAACCAGUGACAUUGAGUCACUAAUUGUUCUUAAGGCAAAUGCUUGGCAAACUACAGGACGUUAUGGUACGAACUAGGAGUUCUCAACCAUCAAGGGCUGAACCUCGAAUGGAAGAUAUCUGCAGGCAUUGGCCAAUAUAGGAAAUUUGAUGGAAAGACAAGCUUAGCAACAACCCAAAACAGAACGUCGCCCUCAAGACUGGUGGAACAAUUCCUGGAGUUGAAACCACCUAAGUUUACUAGGAUGGGAAGUCCUAAUGAGGUGGAAUAAUGGAUUGAUGGAAUUGAAUAGAUUUUCUGGUUGUUGAACUGUAAUGAUGUUGAAAAGAUAACCUUGGCAGAGUACCAGUUGGAGGGAAAUGCAAAAUUUCGGUAGAGAGCUUCAAGAGACAUGAGUUUGUUAGAUAAGUGGGAUGAGUUUCAAGAGAGUUUCAAGAGACACAGAUUUUCCACCUGGUACUGACAUAAACUGGGAUGAGUUUGUUAGAGCUUUCAAUAGAAAGCAUUUCUCUGAUUGUACCAGAGAUAAGAAAAUCACAGAAUUUGUUCAGUUAGAAUAAAGGGAGCUGAUGGUAGACCAAUAUGAAGCAAAAUUUUCUAAAUUGUCUAGGUAUGUUCCUAGGUUGAUUGAGGAUCAAGAGGAAAAGGCUAAGAGAUUCCUAAAGGGGCUAAGAACUGAUAUCAAGAAACAACUAGUGCCUCUAAAUAUAAGAGAUUAUACUGAGAUUUAUGAAAGGGCACAGUUGGUGGAGCAGGAAUUAAUGAGAGAGCAAUCAGAGUCUAGGAGGCAAUUGACCUUUAGUGAUGUCCAACGAGGUAAGUGACUCUAUCCUGAUCGAGGUCAGCCCCGGGAAUCUAAGAAAAAGAGUAACUUUAGGAAUUUUGGAAAAGCCAAGAGUGACCCGACUUUAGGGAAAGUACCCUACCAUGGUAAUAAUUGCCAGAGGUGUGGUGGACAACAUGGGCUAGGACCUUGUAAUAGCCAACUGAGAUGUUAUGGCUAUGGGCAUAUAGGACACUUUAGGAGAAAUUGUCCACAAGAUGGGUCGCAGCCGAAUGUCAGCUCAGUGUGACAAGUGCAGCAACAUGCAGCUGGACCACAUCUACCAAGGAAUCCACAGAGGCCACCAACACAAGGACGGGUGUACGUGGUCACCCAAGAGGAAGCGGAAGCUUCCAAAAAUGUUAUCUCAUGUACGAUUUAUAUAAAUGGAAAAAAGGCAUAUGUGUUGUUUGAUACGGGUGCUACGUAUUCUUUUGUGUCUGAAAGGUAUAGACAGUUGAAUAAGAUAGAAACUACAUCUCUUGAGACGCCUCUUUGUAUUUUUACACCGCUAAAGAAUAUGGUAUUAUGUACGUUAGUAUGUGAAAAGUGCAAAGUAACCAUAGGAGGGGCAGAAGAACAGCCCAAGUGCGAUAACUUGGCACGGAGGGACACUUAAGUGCCAUAACUUCGGAAAUGUACAUUUAAGUACCAAUUUCGGAGUAAAGUGGAACACUUAAGUGCCACUUUGGCCAAAAUCCGGCCAAAUGGCUCACGUGGCAAUUUUCCAGCGACUUGGGUGCAAAACGGUGUCGUUUUGCAUACUCACUUGGCGAGAAAAUGCAAAAACGACGUCAUUUUGUGUCUAAUGUGUAAAUAAUUAAUAUAAAAAUUAAUUAAAUUAAAAUUACUCUUAAUUUCUUUAAAAUAUUCUAAAAAAUGAAAAACUUAAAAUUAAAAAAACUUAAAAAUUAAAAAAAUUAAAUUAAAAAAAAACUUAAAAUUUAAAUAUGGAAGUUUUUAAAAUUUUAAGUUUUUUAAACUUUGAGUUUUUUAAAUUUUAAGGUUUUAAAUUUUAAGUUUUUAAAAUUUUAAGUUUUUUAAUUUUAAGUUUUUAUUUUUUAUGUUUUUUAAUUUUAAGUUUUUUAAAUUUUAAUUUUUUAAUUUUAAGCUUUUUUAGAAUAUUUUAAAUAAAAUUAAGUUUACAUUUAAUUUAAUUAAUUUUUAUAUUAAUUAUUUACACAUCAGACACAAAACGACGUCGUUUUUGAAUUUUCUUGCCACGUCAACGUGCAAAACAACGUCGUUUUGCACCCAAUUCGCCGGAAAAUUGCCACGUCAGCUAUUUGGCUGGAUUUUGACCGGAGUGGCACUUAAGUGUUCUACUUUACUUUGAAACUGUCAUUUAAGUGUACAUUUCCGAAGUUAUGGCACUUAAGUGUCCCUCGGUACUAAGUUAUGACACUCUAGGUGUCCCAAACUCCCAUAGGAGGACAAGAAAUGGAAAUAGAUCUAAUUGUGAUGGCUAUGUAUGACUUUGAUUUCAUCAAAGGAAUGGAUUGGCUCCAUAAGCAACAGGCUAAGAUGGAUUGUUAUAGAAAAGUGAUCAAGUUUGUUUCACUUGAUCGGUCUAGUUUUGAAUUUUUCGAAGGUCAAACAAACCUCUCUAUAGCUCUUAUUUCGGUAGUGGAAGCUCAUGCACUUCUUGACGAAGGAUGUCAAGGAUACCUAGCAGUAAUAAAGGAUUAUACGAAGGAAGAGGCUAAGCUCGAUGAAAUUCGAGUGGUUAAGGAAUUUUAGUAUGUAUUUCUUAAGGAACUGCCUAGGUUACCACCAGAACGAGAAAUUGAGUUCGAGAUCGAACUAAUGCCUAGAACAGAACCGAUAUCAAAAGCCUCAUAUAUGAUGGCCUUGAUGGAACUGAAGGAAUUAAAUGUGCAAUUACAAGAGUUGUUCGACAAAGGACUUAUUAGGCCAAGUGCAUCUCCUUCGAGUGCACCAGUCUUGUUUGUGAAAAAGAAUGAUGGGUUGAUGCGUUUAAGCAUUGACUAUAGGCAAUUGAAUCAAAUGACCAUUAAGAAUAAGUACCCAUUACCUAGAAUUGAUGACCUAUUCGACCAACUGCAAGGAAGUUCGGUCUUUUCUAAGAUUUACUUGAGGUCGGGAUAUCAUCAACUAAGGAUUAAGAAGGAAGACAUUCCUAAGACCGCAUUUAGGACUCGUUAUAGACACUAUGAGUUCCUAGUAAUGCCGUUUGGACUGACAAAUGCCCUAGCUGCAUUCAUGGAUCUAAUGAAUAUGAUAUUUAAGCCCUAUUUGGAUCAAUUUGUUUUUAUUUUCAUUGAUGAUAUUCUUAUAUACUCCAAAGGACCCGAAGAACAUGCACAGCAUUUGAGUGUAGUGUUACAAACCCUUAGAGACCAUAAGUUGUAUGCGAAAUUCAAUAAGUGUGAAUUUUGGCUAGACCGGAUAAUAUUUUUAGGACACAUGGUGUCGGGAGAAGAAAUUGCAGUAGACCCGACGAAAGUCAAGAUGGUGGUAAAUUGGCCAAGACCCAUAACGCCGAUUGAGAUACAGAGUUUUUUAGGACUAGUAGGCUAUUAUAGAAGAUUUAUUGAAGGAUUCUCGUGACUUGCAAGUCCAUUGAUGAAAUUGACUUAGAAGAACGUAAAUUUUGAAUGGAAUGGAGAAUGUGAAAGGAGCUUCUAGGAACUUAAAAGAAGAUUGCCAAUGGCUCCAAUCCUAACUAUACCAUCAGGAUCUGACGGAUUCACGAUAUAUAGUGAUGCGUCUCACAAAGGAUUGGGAUGCGUUCGGAUGCAGCAUAGCAAGGUCAUAGCCUAUGCAUCGAGACAAUUGAAACCCCAUGAAUUGAACUAUCUAUCUCAUGAUUUAGAAUUGGCAGCUAUAUUUUUUGCUUUGAAAAUAUGGAGGCAUUAUCUGUAUGGAGAGAAAUUUGAAAUCUGUACAGAUCAUAAGAGUUUGAAAUAUAUUAUUUCAUAGAAAGAACUAAACAUGAGACAGAGGAGAUGGAUGGAAUUAUUAAAGGAUUAUGAUUGUGAAAUGCGGUACCAUCCAAGAAAGGCAAAUAAAGUGAAGAUGCUCUUAGUCGUAAGUUGACUAUAGACAUGGCCAGUAUGAGAGUUGGAAAUGAUGGCAGAUUUAGAAUUUAAGCUAGAAAUAAAUUAUCUCACCGGUAUGCUUACUGCAUUAAGGAUUGAACCAAAAAUUAUCUAGAAAGUUAGAAUUUUGCAAGAGUCUGACCGAGAAAUUGUGAAAUUACGAAGUGGAGUGUCUCUAGGAAAAAGACUAGAAUUUCAAGUCUUUGAGGAUGGAAUAGUAAGAUGCUAGGGACAACUUUGUGUUCUCGACAAUGAAGACGUCAGAAGGGACACCGCAAACUCACAGGACUGUUGAGACCGUUAGACAUACCAGAGUGGAAAUGGGAUCAUGUGAUGAUGGAUUUCGUGCAAGGAUUGCCAAGGACAUCAAGUGGUCAUGACUCUACCUGGGUGAUAGUAGAUCCGCUUGACUAAAUAUGCCCAUUUCCUAGCAGUUCAUGUAGACUAUCCAAUGGAUAAAUAUGCUGAUAUAUAUUUGAGCCAAAUAGUACGCUUACAUGGUAUACUUGUAACUAUUACGUCGGAUCGAGACUUGAGAUUUACUUCAAACCUUUGGCAAAGUCUUAAAAUUGCCUUAGGGACUAAGCUCCAAUUUAGUACUACUUUUCAUCCACAAAUAGACGGACAAACAAAAAGAGUGAUCCAGACACUAGAGGACAUGUUAAGAGCUUGCGUCAUCGACUUUAAAGAAAGUUGGGAUGAAAAGUUAAACUUGGUAGAAUUUACAUAUAACAAUAGUUUUUAGAAAAGUAUAGGCAUGGCACCCUAUGAAGCAUUAUAUGGGAGGAGAUGUAAGAAAACUGACAGGACCUAAACUAAUACAAAUUACUACAGAGGUUGUUGAUAGCAUCACGAAAAGACUUAAGAUAGCCCAAAGUCGACAGAAAAGCUACGCAGAUGAGCGUAGAAGACCCUUGGAAUUUAAUGUAGGAGACCACGUAUUUCUUAAGGUAUCCCCGGUAUAAGGAAUAUCACAAUUCGGGAUGAAGGGCAAGUUGAGCCCAAGAUUUGUUGGACCCUUUGAGAUACUUGAAAGGAUAGGAGACGUAGCUUAUUGGCUAGCAUUACCUCCUAAGCUAGAAAAUUUACAUGACGUGUUCCAUGUGUCGAUGUUGAGGAAGUAUCAGCCUGACCCUUGAAGCCAUCAAAGUGGAUGAGAAAAUGAGGUACCUGGAAGAGCCGAUCCGGGUACUAGAUUGAAAGGAGCAAGUCCUUCGGACAAAGAAAAUUCCACUAGUUAAGAUAUUAUGGUGACAUCACGAUAUGGAAGAGGCCACAUGGGAAAGUGAAAAAGAAAUGAGGCAGAAGUACCCUCAUCUUUUCAAGGAUAUGUAAGAGAUGUAAAAUUUCAAGGACAAAAUUAUCUAAGGAGGAGAGAAUUGUGACAUCUGGAUUUUUGUCAAUCCUCGAAUAUGUGACGGUCCACAACAGAUCGACGAAAGUAUCGUUGCACUGCGUCAUUGGUAACAUUUGCGGACACUGUUUCGUUAUCAUCGUUGGACCAAUACGUUAUAUUUAGUAAUGGUCCGAUCAUCGAAAUUACCCUUAGGUAACGCCACAAUCGAAACCCUCUUCCACCCACUUGUAUACCCUACUAACAAAAACUCAUGUGCACAUUUGUUUCGAUGACUAUACACGAUCACACGACCCAAGUAUUUAUGUAACCUUAUAGGGACUUGGGCUUUAAUUAAUAGUCUUUUUGUGAGCCAAAGGAGGGGAGAAUUUCGGCCAUGCAUGAAGGAUGUGCAUGCAUGCAUGGGGAGGAGAGAUCACCUACGUCCAAGCCGCCCCAAUCUCUCCCCAUUCGAUCGACAAUUGAGUCAACCGAAUUGUGGAGUGUUGACUGAUUCAAGGCCAGCAAUGGCCACGUUGCUUCGGAAGUCAACCGCCAACAGGACUCCAAGGCACUGCAAGCUAAGGGCACGUCUCCCCCAGUUGUCUCUCGACCAUGCUGCCACCGCAACCUGCAUGCAUUGACUAAGUAAGUCAAUUAAGUGAAGGAACAAAAUGGCUCGGAAACGAGAGCAAGAGAGAGAAUGACCGAGCGAAACCAGGCAGAGAGAGAGAGAGAGAGAGAGAGAGAGAGAGAGAGAGAGAGAGCAGUGAGCAAAAGUGAGAGGGAAGGAAGGAGACCGUCCCCUCCGCCCAUGCAUGCGUGCCAUCGACGCCGACGCCACUCGCAAUUGCUGUUGCCGAGUCGUGUCCAUGACCGCGAGCUUCCCGGUUUUUUGCCGUUGACACCGUCAGACUUAAGGCAAGUGAAAGUCUGCUAGCCUAUGUAAUGCAAUGCCGUUGUUGUCUGAAGUAGUGCAGCUAGAUUGAAAAGAUUUGAGUUUUGGAUGUUGGAUGUUGAAUUUUAGGAUGAUUGAAGUAGAUUGGACUUAGGAAAUUGAAGAAUCCGUAUGAAUAGUUCAAUCAGGAACUUCGGUUGUGCACUAUAUCUUGCGGUGAUGAAGGCAAAUGAAUUUUGUUCGAAAACAGUUUUGGAAAUCUUUCAAUUUGUGUCAAAAUUUAUAUAUACUAUGAUAUAAUUUUCAAAUGUUUAAAGGAAUGUAUCGUAUUUUCAGUUUUCGAACCUUUUAUAGAAGGUAUUUUAAACUAUUCAAGUUUGGAUUGAAAUAUGAAUUUAUUGACCUGCCGAUUGCCAAAUGUACUUGUGAAAAUGGACUUUCAGGAGAAAAUCCAAGGGAUUCUCCAUAUUGAUGAUUUGAAAAUACUUUGGUAUUGAAAUGAUUUAGUUGCUAUACCAUGGCUGAGGUAUUAUCAUUGCCGUUGGACCCUCGAGUCAACGAUACCCUGGGAGUCGGAAUGCCUAGAGGUGAAACAUGACACGCUCUGGAUGCCUAGGGACCGGUGAGCUCCAGAGGUUCCCUGGGAGUGUCAGGAUGCCCAGAUGUAUGACGAUACAUAUUUCGGAGGGUAGGGGACACUGGUAACAUAGUGAGCCCUGGAGAUUCCUCGUGAUGCUAGGUGAGGUGUGAGAUGCCUGGAGGUGAGACAUGACACGCUUUGGUUGCCCGGUGAAUGAAAUAUGGAACUGGAGGCUUUUGUGAUGCUAGGUUGGUUGGAAUGCCUGGAAGGACGCAAACGCUAGUGCUUCGAGAGAAAAAUCUUUCAAGUUUUAAAAUUGAUUAUUAUGUUGAGUUGCGCCUGAUUAUGGGGCAAAUUUAUGUGACACGAAAUGGGAUGUGUCAUAACAGUUUGGUCUUAUAAUCGGGACCCAUGUGAUUGAAAUGAUGUGUUCUAGUUUUGAAACUGAGUUAUACCAUUGCUUUGAAAAAUUCUAUUGAUUUGAUGCAUACUUAUUCAUUUGAUAUUGUGAUUUGUGAAUUUUACAUGAAAUUUGAUGAUGAUGGUUCCGCAUAGCAUAGUUUAGUAGAUCUUUUGUUGCUGGGUGGUUGUACUCACCCCUUUUGGAGACUAACAUUUCAGACUAAGCACAAUGUCUCAGCUGCCCGCACCUCCCAGUACAUUCUAUGGAGUUCCGAUCAAUUUACAAUGGGAGCAUUCAGAAUAUCACAACCCUGAGGUACGAGGACUAAUGUUCAUACGGGUGAGAGUGAUUAUGAUGUUCGAUACUGGUCUUCCCACCGGCCCUAUACCUCGGGAGUAUGUCGUCAUAUUCGCCCGUCCAUAUGGACAAAUGCUGGGGCCACUGCCACCGCCACCAGCAAAUAGCAACGGGGGAUCGAGUGGUUGGGUGUGACUGUGAGAUGGGGUAAGCAGAGGAAGAAAAUUUUGGAUGCGGACAUUAAACGAUGGACUUUAUGUUUGUAACUGUUGAAAAUGUCUGGUAUCUUUUGAAGUAUAGCCGAGUAUAGAAAACUACGGUAUUUUGAUGUAUCGACUAAUAAUUGUCCAUCUAGUUUUAUGUAAAUAAAAGUGUCCGGCUAUUAUCUAUAAAAGUGUUUAGUUGGUGUGCAUCGUUGGGAGUUGUUGGAUACGCUUUCGCCAUAUUUUUGCGCAGGGACCAAUGGAAAGGAUAUAGACCCCCAUAACUCAUGGAUUUAUCGAAAUCCUAUGGUAUUAUAGUAAUAGACUUUCAAGUUGAGAGAAAGGCAGUGAUGUGUGGUGACCCUAACGGAUCGGGGGCCAUCGGGGGUGCCACAUCACACUACUUCCAAAGCUUUGCUUCUCCAAGUUGUUUCUACUAAUUUCCAGUACUUUGCUGAACUUCCCUUAUAUAAGGAGUGCUUGCCACUCCAAGUGCCAACAUGGCAUGGGUAGAUACUUAAGAGCCAAAAUAUCCAAAAAAAAAAUACUCUUAAGUGGCAAAAUCGGAGAAGAAAUGAACACUUAAAUGCCAAUGGUGAGAAUUUCCAGCCAAACUACUAACGUGACAUUUUCCAGCGACAUUUUUUUACUGAUAGGGCAAUUAUUUUUAAAAAAAAUUAUCCACGUGGCACUGACAUAUCAAAAUAAGCCCAAACCGAUGUCAUUUUACCUCCAAAUUUGAUUUUUAAAUUAAAUAUUAGUUAAAUUAAAUUAAACGAUGUGGCAUUUUUUUAAAAUUAUCCAUGUGAGGUUGAUGUGGCUAAUUAGCCCAAAACAAUGUCGUUUUGCCUUGAAAUUUGAUUUUUAAAUUAAAUUUUAGUUAAAUUAAAUUAAAUGAUGUGGCGUUUCUUUGAAAAACAAUUUAUCCACAGGGCACUGUCAUGGCUAGUUAGCCCAAAAUUACAUUGUUUUAAUCCAAAUUUGAUUUAAUGAAUAUAAAUAUUAAUUAAAUUAAAUUUUAAAAAAAAAAGAAUAGGGGAGGCCCCUAUUGCCUUCGCCCCACCAUAAAUGGAAAGGGCUAGUGAUGUCGGCAUGAGGGUUAGCCGGGGUUACCGAGCCCUGACUAACGGUCGACAACCUUGGCCAAUUGAAGGUAAGGGUCGCACCCCACCAUCGUGGCACUUUCCAGCGAUGAUGGGGUGGCAGUGAUGAGGGCCUCCCCUAUUCCCUCUCUCUCUCUGUCUCUCUCUCUCUCCGUCUCUCUCUGUCUCUCUCUGUCUCUCUCUGUCUCUCUCUCUCUUUUUAAUUUUAGUUUUUAAAUUAAAUUAAAUUUAUAUUUAUAUUAAAAAUCAAAUUUAGAGAAAAAAACAACAUUGUUUUGGGACAAGCAUUGCCGAGUAAAUAUUUCAGCAAGUCACGUGGACCAGUUUUAUUAUUAAAAUAAUGUCACGACAUAUUCCUACAAAUCUCGUCGGAGUUGGCACUUAAGUGUCCAAUUUUUAAAAUAAGUUAUAUUUAAGCAUACCUUUUGGAAGUUUUGGCAUUUAAGUGUCCACCCAUACUAACUUUUGAUACUUAAGUUGUACUUUUGCCCCUAUAUAAAUGUAGAACCCAGCUUCCAUUGGUUGUUGCUAUAAAAGUAGCUAUGUCAUAAUUACUAAGCCAACCAUAUGAUAUCUUAGCACUACUCCAAGAACUAGGGGUGAGCAUGGUCCGAGUUGGGUCAAACCACCCCCUUACCUUUGGAUCAACCCGUACAGUGUUGGUCCUUAAUUUUUGGGACAAAGGACUAGACCGACCCAAUAGGUUCGGUCUGAUUUCAGGGUCAACUCAAAACCAACUGAUAAUUUUUCUAUUUCAUUUUUUGUACUCCUUGAAAAUGUGACUGAUGAUCGGACUAGCCCAAUGGGUUCGGUGACGAGUGAGGUCAGCUAAGAGAGGCUAGUGAUGAGUGUCAAGUGGGGCGAGCAUUGAGUAUGGGAUGAGUGUGGGGUGAGUGUUGAGUAGGGCAAGCAGAGAGCAAUAAGCAAGGUGAGCAUCGAGUGGCAAGCAGCAUGAGUAACCAAAAGAGAGCGAGGCGAAUGUCAAGUGGCGAGCGGAGAAAUUGUUUCUUUUGAUUUUGGCAAAUUAAGGACUAAGAUGACAAAUAAGAUAAAACAUAAUGAAUACUAGAAGAGGAUGCCGCGAGGAGCUAUUUAUAAUUUUUUGGAUGCUAUGAUGACUCCUCACAAAAAUAUUUUCCUUCUUUGUAAAUUAUGGCUCUUGUGUCGAACGUACUAAUACCCUAUCACAUCCAUCUAGAAAUCUUAGUUCAAACCCUUCGCUAAUGGGUGAACAAUGCCUCUACUUUAAAAGACAUUAAAAAUCUAACUUUUUAAAGAACAAAAUAAAAUUACUUGGACUCCGCACUAAUAAGUUAUUUAAUAUUGUUGACGCCAUUUGUUUUAGGGUUUUCUCUAUAUAAAAAAAUUAUAAAUAAUACCACCCACGGCGGUGGCUCCGCUGGAUAAGGCCCUGUUGAUCCUUGCCCUCAAGGUGAGGGGUUCGAAACCCAGUGGAAGCGCUUGGUGCCUUAACCACUUGCGCAGGGUGGUGGUUCCCUCGUGCGGCCCUAGGGUUUGCCCACCAGCUACCGGUUGUAUGGGGUUCCUUGGGUCAUAAAAAAAAUUAUAAAUAAAAUAUAGACACACACAUAUAUAUACAGUUAGGAUUGCUCUAGGUUGGAUUUACCCUAAAUUCUUAGGAUCAAGAACCAACAAGUACAGUGUUGGUACAGGAAUCCCAAGACCAAGGAUCGACCCAGUCUCCCUAAGAACUAGUCCAGGACUGGCAGGAUUGGGCUAGUCCAGGGUUGACCCUAGAUUGAUGUCACCCCUACCAAGAACUUACUACGAUCACACAUUUUUGGGUAACCAUGUGCAUCCUCCACCUAAUUGAUUUGGUACUAUUGUUCCAAAGAGGUAUGGGACGCGUGCUUUAAUCUUUGAUGGAUACAAGACAAUAAGAUUUGACAAUUAUGUGUUAUGUUUAAGGAAAAGUACCAAAAAAGUCUCAAGUCUACUGCAUUAGUAACAAUUUAGUCCUAAACUUUUCACUUGAACUAAUUUAGUCCAAGAACUUUUUAAAUUUUUACUAAUUCAGUCCAUUUAGCCAAUUUAGAUAAGAAAUUGUUGACGUAGAUGCUGGCUAUCCUAUAUGGUAUAGACGAUGUUGAAGUGGACUUUUUUUUAAUAAUUUUUUAUUUUUUAAUAGUUGUUUGAUCUUUUUUCCUAUCCCUUUUCUUUUUGCUGGUUUUGGUGGUUGGUCCCUCAUGGCCAGCGAGGGUCAGCCUUGCUAGCUGAUUCCUGGUUGAGGGCGAGUGUCAGCGAGGUUGACCUUUGCCCAAGCCAAGAUAGCUUUACCACGCCUCAUCUUCAACUUGAGUGACGCAUUAGCUUUGUCUUCUUCAUCUUCUUCACCAUUCAUAAAACCCUAGAAUCUAACGAGCUUUUUGUCUCACUACCAUUUUAGGUUCACUAUCACCUAUCCCUGAGUGGAGACAUGCCUUGCAACGACAACAUCCACUUCACCUCGCCAUCCAUCAAAAUUUGGCCCCUCUUCUCACCUCUGUUGCUUUUGAAUUUCCUUUCUAGUUCCCAUGGUCCAACAUUGCCAUCGUCAAAAUAAGUCACAUGCUCGCUCAGUUCAUCAGCUCCUUCAAACAUUGGGAGUGCAAGCAUCGACUUGGGCCGAAGUUGCCACUUCCGAGCUCGCUGUUGCUGUCAUUAUAUCUAGCUUUAUAAGGCAUGGCAAGGCCGUCCUAACUUGGGUGAGGGUUAGCCUCACCAUAUGUAGCGAGGGAAGCCUCUCUGGUGCUCCCCUUGCUAGCCAUGGCUUGUGGCCUUCAACUAGCCAUUGACACUAGCAAAAAUAAAAGGGAAAAGAAAAAAAGAAAAAAAAAUCAAAAACAAAUUAUUUUAAAACAAAAUAAAAUUUAAACAAUUAUUAAAAAUUAUUAAAAAUAAAAUAUAAUUCAAAAAUAUUAUUAAAAAUAUCUACGUCAGCGCCGGCUGUGCCAUGUAAAAUGACUAAAUCCACAUCAACGAUUUCCAGCUUAAUUAGCUGAAUCGACUGACUUUGUAUUAAUGUAAAAAUGUUUAGGACUAAAUUGGUUCAAUUGGUUCUCAAAAGUAUAAAAAUUAGUUGAUGUUACCAAAUGAAGUCCUAUUCUUUUUAUAUUUCGAGGAACAAAAGAACAAAAAUAGCCAAGAAUUGGCUGGUUAUCAAACAUGCUAUUAUUGUUCUGUCAUUUUGACUUAGGCACCUAUCAUUUCGCUUCGUCAACUCCACAAAAUGAUGUCAAGUCCUUUUCUUUCUAAUCUUGAUGUCAGUCCCAUCUUCUUUCCACAGUAGGGAAUUCCUCACAAUUUCCACAAAGAGCAACACCAUAUAAACAUAAAGUCAUAAAAACUACGCAAAAUUAUCCAAAAUUCUAAAUUAUGCUCACUAUAAUUUUUUUACCAUAAACUUUGUUCCAGAGAAUAGAUUUGGAACAAAAUCAAAAAGUGGAACAAAGUAACUUUCUUGUUCUUAGGAACAAUUCUAGGAAUCGUCAUUUUCUUUUCUCUUUUCUUUUCUCUUUCUUUUCUUCUUCUUCCUCCUCUAAUCAGUCACAAGGCUCGGUGAUGGUUGGCAAGUGGCGAAAAAUGAGGUUCAACAACCUCACCUAAUCCUUGCUAGCCCUUGGCGAGGUCAACCUUGCUUAGCCACCACGAGGUCGGCCUCACCAUGGCCGAGCGAGGCUCAAGUCACCGACUAUAAGAGGAAGAAGAAGAGAGAAAAAAAAUAAAAGAAAAAUAUCAUAAAAUUAUAAAAGAAUUAAAAGAAAUUUUUAGUCACAAAAAAAUUUAAGGGUUAUACUAAAUGCAUUUAUGUUCUUUUCCUAUUUCAUGAUUAGAGAUUUUGUGCAGUUCCAAAAUGCAUUCGAAUGUUCAGAAAUUUGUCCAAAGAACAGGAUAAGAAAAAUUAUUUAUGAGCAAAAAUUAUUUCCAUAACAGAAUAAUUACCAAACAGGUCUUAAAGGACCUCGCUUCAAGAAUGACACCUUUACUUUUUACAAGUAGUUGUGCAAUUCGGGCCGAUCAUUUUGUUUGGUGUAUAAUAGGCAACCGGACCACAGAUAUGCUGUAGAAAACCAUUUCUUUUACAUGUGUGUAGUAUCUAAAGAAAAAAAUGUAUUGAUAUUGAAGAAAAAGAAAUUCAUGGAGUUAUUGACUACCCAGUAUCUCGUUGAAGAUACUGGAGCAGGCAUUGCCAUUUAGGCUGACGGACUGGAGGUUAGGGACAGUGCCACAGAUGGAGUUGUCCUUUAUGCUGAGGAUGCGAAGCUAGUCAAGCCUGUUCAAGGUCUUCCUGUCCAACGUCCUGAUCAAGUUCAAGGAUGAGCUUGGCGACACGAUUAUUCAUGAAAAGAGCCUUCAUUUUGACGUGGAGAUAGAGAAGAUCCGCCAAUUCGGGUCAUUUCAGAGAAGUUUGUGCUUUCUUCUUCUCUCUAUGGACUGGACUGCUAAACCACAAGGCCUUGGAAGGAGGGAUAGUAAAGAAAGGGCAUCUACUAACAUCGAAGUACCAACGAACUUCUAAUGCUCUUUGCCACCACUCGCUCACGGUCGCGGAUGGGGAAAUUGGAAAAGUAUACACCCGAAAGUUGUGGCUGCAGAGACGGCAUUUAAGGGGUGAGAGAAACGGGAGAGGGGGGGGGGGGGCGGGGGGAAGCUCCAAUGGUGGGAAUGGGACUAGACAACCCCCAAUGAUACGUAGCACGAAAGAAAAAUAAAAAGAUAGAAGGGAUGUGCGGUUUAACAAGAAAAUAGAAUGAGAUUUCAAUUUCCUUGGAAAACCGGACAAGCAAGUUAUGGGAACACGUGGCGUCAGACUGCACCGUCGGCUUCACAUUCCCAACAAAUAUAUGACCACUGGACGUACAUGGCGAAGAUGGACGACACCGUGCAUAAUCAGGCUGAGAGAGAGAGAGUGAGAGAAUGGUGAACACUGUCAAGAUUUACAAGCCCUUGUUGCGAGCGAUCAUGAAGCUCGCCGGCGUGAGACCUCAAAAGAUCGAGGUCGAACCGGGGACUGUCAUGAACAUCUGGGCUCCGAGCCGACUCAAGAAGAAUGCCAACAACGGUAAAAAACCUGCCGUCGUCUUCCUCCACGGCUUCGUUGGCGACGGCAUCCUGACGUGGCAGUUCCAAGUCCUCGCCCUUGCGAGGGACUAUGCAGUCUACGUGCCGGACCUCCUCUUCUUCGGUGGUUCCUCCACCGGCGACGGCUGCCGGACUGUGGGAUUCCAGGCGGAGUGCCUGGCAAGGGGGCUGGCAAAGCUGGGAGUGCAGAAGUGCACAGUGGUCGGGUUCAGCUACGGCGCAAUGGUGGCGUUCAGGUUGGCCGAGUUGCAGCCUGAGCUGGUCGAGUCAGUGGUGGCGACGUGCUCUGGCCCGGUGGUGACGGAGUCGCUGAGCCGAGAGCGCUUAGAGAGGUUGGGGUUUCCGGCGUGGUCGGAAUUUCUGUUGCCUGAUUCGGCGAGUGCACUGAAGAAGUUGCUUGAAAUUGGCAGCUUCCACUUCCCUAGACUCCCCAAAUGUGUUUUCAAGCACGGUUUAGAGGUACGUCCCAAAGCGAACUUUUCUAUGAUCAUGCACAAAAACCUUUGCUUUAUCUAGAGGUUCUUAGUCCGUUAUCUAAAUAAUCAAUCAAUUCUCUAAUAUCGGCUUUUAAAUUUUCAUAAUGUUAAUGAUGUGAUGAUGUGAAUGAAAUGCAUUUGUCAAUUAUGUGUAAUCGAAACUAUCAAAUCAAAAUAAAAUUAUCAAUUCACUGAUGAGUUGUCGAUUUAUUACCUAGCUAAUUGGAAUUUAUCGUUUUUACUUUUCAAAUUAUAUCUUUUAUCCAUAUCUAGCAUGAGUAUCCUAUUUGAUUGUUUUAGAACAAUUUAACGUAAUUUUUGUUCUUUACAAUCCGAUGACAUAUAAAUAUCUGUUAUUUUCGAAAAGAUUCUCUUAACAAAACGAGGAAAGUUGCAGGCGUGGCUUUCUUGGAAAUUUCGAUAGCUUUUGUCUCUGUUUUUCCCUUUUAGACAAGGUGGGUGAGAAUUUCAACAGUUAUAUGUUUUCAUUUCUAACUCCGAAAAUGCAUUCUCUUAAAUUUAUGUAGGACCAAGCACUAGAGUUGAUGGAUGGUGGUUGACAAUAUCAAUCGAUUACACAAAUUUUUGCUUUUCCUGUCACAUAUCCAUGGAAGUCUUGAUUUUAAUGUGCUUUUCGAAGCAACCUUUGCACUUGUGGCCUUACGUUGCUAGCAUGUCAAGAUUGCAUUAUGAGCGACGAUAUUAAAUUGACAAAAUAUGUGCGGCUUCACUUAAUAUAAUGGAAAAAAUUAUCAUAAGAAAGUGGAUUUUAACAUAACAUGUUGCGCUAAUCAUCAAUUUAUUGUAGCAAUGCGAUAUAGUUUAGUUGAUUUAUGUUUAAAUUUGAAUCACCAAGAUAUCUAUUAUUGAUUGUUUAAUCAAAUUUACUUUUUGAUUUCGAUUUUAUAGCAUAAUUUUAAUGUUAUCUCUUUUUAUUUCUCUCCCACCAAAAGCAUUUUCAACUAUAGUUGACCCUAGGUAUAAGAUUGGUGAAAUGUUUCAUUGUUUUUAACUUUUGUAAUAUUUUGUUUUGGAUAGUUUAAUGCAAUUUUAGCGUAAGUAUAUAAUAUUUCUAAUUUUGGUGCUAAUGACUAAUUGCUUGGUUAUGCUUUUAUUAUAUUGAGUAAAUGAUUAUGUUUCUUAACUUUUCCAAUAAGAUGCUAUUUUAUGUAAAUGAUUGCGGCACCUGUAAUUUGUGCGGCAAAGUCCUCUAAAUUAGAUGACUCUAAUUGAUUCUUUUCAUCAUCAAUACCCUUAAUCAUUUUGAAUCUGUUGUUGAAUUAAUCAAUUUUAAUUUACGAACAUAACUAGAAAAUUAAAAUUCUGAAAUUUCAGCUUUAUAUGUUUUGACCAAUGUAAAAUUUAGAGUAAUAAAGAAGAAAAUCGAUAAGAAGAGAGAAAAUUGGAGAAGAGAGAGUAACCAUGUGUCGUCACCCUCUACGUCUACCCUAGCCUUAGUCGUUGGCACCUAUACUGUCCUGUAGUCACCUCCAUCAUCACAAAUGUUCCUUCUUUCCACACAUUCGAAUUUAGUCGAUCAAUUAUUGUUAUAAUAAUAUUUAUUACUAUUUCUUUUUGCUCAAGAGCUUAUCAAAGUUAUGAAGAAAUACUCGUGAUUAUUCAAAUAAUUGUUUGUUUUCUCUAUAAUAUUAAAUUUUUUAAAUUCCUAUGGGGACCGCAUUACAACUAAGUGUGUUCAUGACAAAAGGAUUUGAUUGCAUGAACCAUUGUAAUUAGAGUAUUCAUCAGUAUUAAAAGUUUCUGAACUUUAUAUAAGAAGUACACACAUUAGAGGAUCGAUAAUAGUAUUAAGGGAAAAUUCUAAAUAAAGGCAUAAAGUGCUUUCAUUUUUUAAAUAAGAGUCUGAAGUGUCCUUAUUUUUUCAAAUGAAUUUGAAAUAAAUCUUAUUUCAAAAAAUGGCCUAAGUGACCGGUUGACAAAGGCAUUUUUGUCCUUUACAUUUUUUAUUUUUUUCCCUUUUUUUCUUUUUCGUAUUAGAUAAAAAAUAAAUUAAAAAAAAAAGGAACGGAAAAAAAUCAGGUUAGCCCUCGUCGCUGCCGUCCCACCAUUGCCGGGAAGGGCUAGCAAUGGUAGGGGAUGGUCGGCCAAGGGUCGACGAGGGUCGCCACUAGCAAGGGUCGGUUGCGAGUGGUGGCCCUUGACCAGUUCUAGGCUAGGGCUAGUAGCCCUCGCUAGAUUUGGGUGAGAGCUGUGACCCUUGCCCAAGGCGCAAGCCCUUGCCUACAAUUGGCAACGGUCAUUGGCCACUAGUUAGGGCUUGGCGACCUUUGGCAACCCUUGAUUGGCCAUUCCCCACCAUCAUUGGCCCAUUUUUUUAAAUAUAAUUUAAAUAAUAUUUAAAAUAAAAAAUUAUAUUAGACAAAAAUGCUCUUAGCUAGUCAGCGAGUCAGGUCCUUAGUUGAAACUUUUAUGGCUACUUCAGGCCUCUAUUUUAAAUAAUAUCCAUUUCAGGUCUUUAUUUUGAGAAAAUAAGAGCAUUUUAAGCUUUUAUUUGGAAAUUUCUCUAGUAUUAGUUUAGAAACUUUACAAUUGAUAAAUUCUCAAAGGAAAUCUUUUAUAUAGGUCCUUGGGGGCUAGUAUCGGAUCAUAGUUUGAAAAAUGCUAUUCACAAAAACACAGGGACAUGUAGGGCUUGGAUUGGACUACGAUAUUUUUCUUAAGGUGAAUUUAUUUGAAUUUUUCAACACGUACCAUCAUUUUGGAAUAUUAUGGUACGCAUGCCUCUCAAAUAAAUUUUUGACUGACAAUUUUCUUUUACGAAUGAAGUUGAUUGUACUUAUUUUAAAUAUGUGGUCCUUAGUCUUAACUAUGGGAAGGUCCAUUACUCAUCAAUUCAUCACUUGUUUCAUUCAUUCAUCUCAAACAAUAUAUUCGAUGAGUUAAAUUUUGAGAAACUUUAGAUUUAAUAAGUGUGGGCCCCACGAGAAUUUUAUCAAAUCUAAUGAUCCAGAUACAUUUUACUAUAUAUAGGACUUGGAGAAUCUCUCUAUUACAAAGUGAGGACUUGACUUUGCUUCAAAUUGAUGAAGACAUUUAUUAUUGUAAUAUCGGUAGAAGGAAGAAUUUUCACGAGUCUUAACAUGUUGAUGUCAUAUUGGACUAAGUGCUUUUCAUAUGUGCACAUUAUAUUGAUCCAUUAUGUAAUACGAGUUUUUCUACUAAUUUUAUUUUUAGUAGAAUGUUAAAGUAUCCCAUAUGAUGUAUCUAUGAGAUUUAUAUAUUCUCUAUAUAUAUGUGAUCUACUUUCACUUAUUAGUUUAGGCUUUUGAGUUGACAAUUUUAACAAAGUAUUAGAAUGUUGCCCCAAUUUACUUUUACAUGCGGACCCUCAUUUGUCAAAUUUCAUGUGUUAUUCGUAAUCCCACUUGCACAUAAGAGUUGGACAUGCUUAUACAGAAUGCUAAAAAAUUUCAUGGGAUAGACUAACAAUGAAGAUGGCAAGUAGUUACCAACUCUCUAAUGUACAUCCAUCACAAACGUACUAUCAAUACAAGAUCUCUAUGAUUCAAUAACUUGUGGUCUCUGUCACUCGCCUGUGUCUAUCGAGCUACCGCAUCAUUCAUUGUCAUCCUACUAGCCAGCACGGAUAUAUCAAUAUUAUUAAAUAUAAAAAUGCACAAACUGAUAUGUUAAGAAUCUCUUAUAAUUCACUAGUUAAUUUUAAUUUUAGCAACUAAAUAACUAAUUACCUCAACAAUCAUAGUGCUGGAAUAUAUAUAUAUAUAUAUAUAUAUAUAUAUAUAUAUAUAAAGGUUAUACAAUUUGUGUACCUAAUAUUUCCCAAUAAGCAAAAUCCAAAUACUUUGUGUGUGUUUUAGCAACCAAAUAACUAAUUACGUCGACAGUGAUGAUCGUAGAUCAUGUGGAAAUUUGGUUACACAAUCCGUGCAUCUAAUAUCACCCAAUAAAUAAAUAAAUAAAAAACCCUAAUCCUCUAAGCGUGAGUGCGCGCGUUUGUGUGCGGAUGCACAUGGACGCGUGCACGCGUGCAUCACGUGCGGUUGUUGAUAACAUUCGCAUAAGGGAAGCCGGUGUUUUAGCCAUGACAAUUAGUAGAACCUAUGAUUAUUUACAUCUUCUUUGAAAAUAGUAAAUGCUACAUGAGUUUUUACCUUUGGAACGGAUAUGCGCCUCCACAUUGAUUAUUCUUGUGUCUAUUAUUAUUGUGUCUUUAUCUACAACAUACCAUUUUCUUUACAAAAGUACUCUUGGUAAAAUCCUGAAUUCUCACACCCAUCCAAAAUAAUUAAAACCAAUUAAAAGCCAAACCCCUCAAAUUUUAAGCAUGAUGUUAAAAUGAGUUUGUAAGUAGGGGCAAUUUGAUCUUCUUAAUAUGAGAUUUGCUUAGAGGUAUGUGAAUGAUACUUGCAAAAAUAGAGGUACGCAGGUAAUUACUAAGUGAAAAUUGAGAUAUGUAUUUGAUAUUUUCUUUCAAGAAUAAUUAUUUCCUUGCAAAAUAAGUGAUACCCGCAUAAGAUAUGUAAAACAUAUAACAGAAAGAAAAAAAUCUCAGCCUCCCCCCCACCCCCAAAAAAAAAAACAAUUAAAUGCAGGAUCUUCAACUGUUUUGUGUACCUCUUUUAGAAAAAUCAUAAGUUAUCUAAAUAUUUUCAUGGAUAAUGAUAAUAUUUCUCGUUCGUUCAUUCAUUUUUAUAAACGAUGCAAGUAAUUAUUUUUAGAAAAACACUUUUCAAAUCAUCAAUUUUUCAUGAAAUAAAUGGAGCUAAAAUUCUAACAAACAAUUGCAUAGGUUUUGAUCAUAUGCUUUUAUCUGUCAAUUUUAUCCCUCAUCCUUGGCACAUUGACCGUCAUCCCCGUCCCACCACCACUACUACCACCAUCCCUUAGAGAGAGAGAGAGAGAGAGAGAGAGAGAAAGAGAUGCUGCAUCAAGCUUAUUGCUGGAAUGGGGGUGACGCUGAUUGUAACGUCGCAGGAGGUCUCUAGUAGUCGUGGUGGUCGGAAAGUACCGCGGCCAGCAUUGAUGGUGUGGUUGGGGCAGAACAAAACGAAGUAGAUCUAGUCUCCUUUGUUUUUGGGAGACAAUCAGAUGUCAUCUCCUCCGUGGUGAAUGAUCAUCAUCAAGAUAUUUGUGCCUAGAUGACGGGGGCAGAGAGAGAGAGAUCUAUCAAAUCAAGUCUUGUCGUCAAAGUGGAGCCACCUACGGUGGUGCUGGGACUGGAGGUGGCGGUCUCCAUCGAUGGUGGCUGUCACAAGUUCGGUGCUGGCAUUGAUGGUGCGCUAGGGCGUUUAGAAGCAGGAGAGAGAGAGAGAGAGAGAGAGAGAGAUUUUUCUAGUGAUAUCUAUGAACAUGUGCAAAAAUCAUAAUGGACUCUCCGUUUUUUUUUUUGGAACUAUAAUGGACUCUCCUUGUAAAGAUGAGAUGUUUACCUCAUUUUUCCCUUUCUUGUCGUUGGAUGGUAGGUCUUGUUUGACUGCAGAAAAGAGAGAGCCGAAUUGCUGGAGGCUUUGGUCAUUCCAGACAAGGAUUUCGCUUUCCCGCAGUACUCUCAGGUUUGAUGAAUCUUCUCCUUCGGUGGUUGUUUAUUUUUUAACCCUACACAGAAUCCUUUGUUACAAAAUAAAUAAAUAAAAAUUUCAUUAAAAAAAUGAUUAUAAGUUGAAAAAUUCUGAUUUAUACUCAUUUUAUGGGUGAAAUACUGAACCAAGCUGGCACUUAAUUGAGAAAAUUUUUCUUGGUGGCUGCAAUAUGAGAUGAGAUCCAUUAUUUCUUUCAUUCUUUGUUGAUUUUCUCUAACAUUAAGAUCCUAGGCAUAAUAUUUGGAUUGUGUAAAUCUGCAUGUCACUCUAGUAUAAGUUUUGUUCUGACAAUGCAAGACUUGUUUGUAACCUGCUCAAGUAUACAAAAGGGAAAGAUAGAGCAAAACCGCCUAUAUCAAGAAAAGUAUACACAAACGAUCUCAUUCACCUUUUUGGAGGACCAUAACCAGCUAAUCUUCUCGAUUGAUAGUGUAUAAAUAUGCUCGUGUAAAACUUUUCACAGUGGUGAUGUAUGCUACAAUUUCUCUGUCAAAAGCUAGUCCUAAGAACACUUAUCCUCGCAACUUGUAAAAUUACUUUCCAUGGUUCUCACCAAAUCCAAUGGUAGAUUAUAUGUAUUAAGUUCAUAACAUGUCUAUGCAAGAUAUGCAUAAUUGACUUGAUGUCAACCCUUUCAUCUCGUUAGAUGAUGUGUGGCUUUUGCAUCUGACAACUAAGAUAAUUCAUGAAAAUUACCAUAAAAGUUUCAAAUUUAUUGCACUUAUAUCAAUUUAAUUCUAAACAUUUUCACGUUUUACCAAUUGAGUUCAUUUAAUCAAUUUUUACCAAAUAUUGCUGGCUUGGAUGUUGGUCAUGCUACGUGGCAUGACCGGGGCUAACAUGGAUAAUUUUUAAAUUUUUAAUAUUUUUUUCAAUUUUUCAUUAAUUUUUGUUCCUUUUUCUUCUUCUUCUUCUUCUUCUUCUUCUUCUUCUUCUUCUUCUCAUGGCUGGGGGAGGGUCAUUACAGCUCGUUGGCCACUGGGAGAGGGUCAUGAAGCCCUCACCGACUGCAUGCGAGGGCCAUGGAGCCUUUGCCGGCCACAAGCGAAGGUGGCUUUGUCCUUGGCUGGCGAGGUUGGCCUUGCCUAGAAAUGGUGAAGGCAGCUUCACCUACAACCACAAUGGUCUUGCCUACUAGCGAGCUUCGACGACUCUCGUCGGACACAAUGAAAAAAAAAGGAAAGAAGGAAAAGAGAAAAAAUGAAAAAAGAAGAAGUUAAAACAUUAAAAAAAAGAUUCCACAUUAGUAUCGACCAUGCCACAUAGGAUGCUCAGUAUCUACAUCAGUGAUUUUUAGCCAAAAUUGGUUGGAUGGAUUUAAUUAAAAAACAAUUAAAAUGUAUAUAACUAAAUUGAAACUAAUGUAAUAUAUUUACGACUUUUUUUAUAAUUAUCCUAAGAUAAUUAUAUAUAUAGUCUAGGCUGGAAUACCAUAUGUAAUUGCAUGUGCAUGCCUUUAAAUACAUAUGUAUAAUUGAAAUUGAUAUUUUUUGUACCCUAGUGGAAAUGCUAGGUAUAUUUACCUUGAUAUAAAUUUGCUAUAUUUCUUAUCGAGACUCAGACCCUUGGAGUGCCAAAACUUAGCACGGAAGAGCACGGAAGAGCACUUAAGUGCAAAAAUCGGAGCAAAAUGGAUUAGUUAAGUCCCAACAACGAGAAAAUCUAACCAAAAUACUAACUUCAAUGAGACAAGUGCAAAACGAAGUCGUUUUGCCUUGAAUUUGAAUUUUAAUAUAAAUCAAAUUAAAUUAAAUUUAAAACUAAAUUAUUACUAUUAUUAAAAGAAGAAGAUAAACAUUGCAGAAGGCGAGGGCUUAGCCCUCGUUGCUGCCUCCCCACCAUCGCCAGGAAGGGUUAGGGCAGUGGGGGAGGGUCAAUUGGGGUCACCGAGCCCUGGCCAAGGGCCAGCGACCUUGGCUGACUGGCGGUGACGGCCUACAAGCUAUGUAACACUGACACGAAUACGCGACAUGCGCACAACACGACACAACACACCAACAUGUCAUUCCUCAAAAAGUAGGGAAUUUCAACACGAUCCAAUAUGUUAUAUAUUAAAUGAAUAUUUUUAUUUUUAAUUAAUUUGAUUCAAAUUCAUAAUUAAAUAAAUAAUAAUAAAAAAGCAAACAAUGCACUUACACUAACAAUAUUAAUAAAUCUAUUCAUAGGAAAUUUGAAAGACAUAUUCAUAGUUAAUGCGUAAUUAUGUUUGAGAACAUAUUUCUAACUCUAAAAAAAAGUAUUAAUGAAACUAAUGACUAAAAAGAAAUUAGAAUUAACUUGUUUAAAUAAAUCUAUAAUCUUUUACAAUAACCAAAAUUUAUUAUUAUUCAACAUUCAACACUUUUAUUUUCUGAAAUCACUUUAUAGCUUUUCUUAUUUAUUUUUCUAAUAAAAAAAGCCCUUGUGGUCCACCCCAACUCUCACCCUCACAUUUAUUUCACUCUCUUUCCAUCGUUUCUUCUCCCCACUUUAUAGUCUCCCUUAUUUACUAUUCUAAUAAAAAAAAUAAAAGUCCUUGGGGUCCACGCCAACCCCCACCCACCCCCUUUAUCCUGCCCCUCAACAAACUUAUUUCACUCCUCUUUCCCUCGCAUCUCCCACGCCGUCUCAACAAACUUAUUUUACUCCCCUUUCCCUCGCACCUCCCACGCCGCCGCCGCCACCCCCCGGGGCUGCGUCACUUCUUUCUUGAAAUUGAACACUCAUAUUCUCCUCUCUCCAGAAAGAAGAAAUCACGGCAAGUCCCAUCAAAAUCUUAUUUUUAAUUUUUUGAGUUCCCCCGCCCCCAAACCCUAGCCCUGGCCUUCUCCUCCUCCUCUCAAUCUCUUCUCUCUCUCGGUCGCCUCAUCACAAUUGUUCGCCGCCUUGCCUCCGGCCCUCCAUCGCAGUUGCGGUCCUCUCUCUAGGUUGCCUCGGUCUCUGCUCUUCCUUUAGCCUUUUCUCACCAUCGCAGCCUCACGGUCACUCCCUUGCCGUCGACUCUGCACCCUUGCCAUUAUUUUCUUCAAUGAUCAUCUCUCUUGGACAUGCGUGUUGAAACUUGUCAAGAAGAUUUGACCACAUGUCGGAAAAUUUGACACAUGUUGACCGCGUGUUCGAGCGUGUCCGACACGUCGACACGACAUGGAGGCUACAGAAAUGUGUCCAUGCUUCAUAGCAUGCAAGUUCUCGCCUAGAUCUGAGGCUAAGGUCGUGGCCCUCCCCAAGAUCCAGCAAGAGACAUCAACCCUUGCCCAGUCAAACCAAGGGCAGUCUCUAGCUAGGGGGUAGGCCUUUACCAUAGGUCAACCAGGGUUAUCGACCCUUGGCCAGGGCUCGUUGACCUUGGCUAACCUUUCCCCCAUCAUUGCCGGUCCUUCCUGGUGACCGUGGGAGGCAACGGCAAGGGUUGAUCCCUCGACUUCUGUAAUCUUUAUCUUCUUCCUCUUUUUUUUAAAUGAGUUAUUUUUAAAUUUAAUUUAAUUUAAUUUAUAUUAAAAUUCAAAAAAGAGUCAAAGCAAUGUCGUUUUGACUCUUCUUUGUUGACUCGGCUCUUUAAUGAGUCAUAUAGUGAGUUAUAUUAUUAAAAAUUGACACGUAGGAUUUAUGGCCAAGAACGCUGGAUUUGGCACUAAGGUAUGCCAAUUUUUUUUUUUAAAUGACACUUAAGUGUAACUUUUGUAACUUUUGACACUUAAGUGUCAUUUUGGCACUUAAGUGUUCUCUCGUGUCAAGUUUUGGCACUUGUAUAGUUCUUUUGCCAUUUCUUAACUGAUGUUCGAACACUAUCUAGCUGAUAAAUGCUCAUUCAAGUUCUCUCACAUCACUUAUUAUACUAACGGUAAAACAAACCUAUAGAUCUCCAAAAUAAACAAAAAAACCAAAAAUCAAGGCUCAAUUGAGCAUGAUUGACAAAGAUCAUCACAAGCUUAUCCUUCAAGAGUAUAUCUAUACUGGCAGAGAUUAUCACAAGCUCGUCCUUCAAGGUCAGAUCUAUAACUAGAUUCAAGUGGGAGGAUUAGUGGCCAAAACUUACGUGAUGCAAAAACCUACAUAUUCUAGUAAGAACCUGUAUAGAGUUUGGGACAGAAAUGGAAAAAGCAAAAGAAAGUAAGGGUUAGAACCUAAGUAAAUGACUACACGCAAAAUUGUAACAUGCACUCGGUGCAUGUGAAGUGCAUGUGAACCCACUUAAUGCUACUGCCAACUAGAAUGCAUGUGAACCCACUUAAUGCUAUUGCCAGCCAUGAGAUCCUGUGGCGCCACAUGGAAGCAAUACGUAGAACAUUGUUUGGUUGUAAUAGUGUCUAUUAUAUUACAUAUUGAAUGCCCAUUACAGUUUUUGUAUGCAGCAAUAUUUGUUAUAGCAUAAUUCGUAGUACAGCCAAAACUACAUUAAAUAUCCACGUCUUUCUCUUGCACUCACUCUAUCUAUGUUAGAUUAUUAUUCCAAAUUAUGACUAAAUUUGUUGAAUUAUUUAUAUAUAGUAAUAACAUUAAUUAUAUUUUUUUGACAUAAACAUAUGUUAUGUCGUCAAUAAAUAAAAUACUAGAUAUAAUCUGUAAACAGUGGAUGUUAUAAUAAUUAUGUUAUCUAGGACACAAAUAUUGGUUUAUAUUAAAUUUAUAACAAUAACUAGCAUCAUAUUAGUUGCCUCCUAUCAGGUGCAGUUAUCUAAAUUUCUAUAAUCAAAUAGUUUAUUAUCUAUAUAUAAUGAAUAAUCAUUACUGAUUAUAUUAAUCAAUGCUAAAAAAAUUAUAAUUGUUAUUUCAAUCAUAUUUUUAACUAUGUAAUACAUAAUAUUCUUUUAAUUGGACAUGUUAAAUGAUCAAAUUGGAGUCAUAAUAAAUGAAAAAAAAAACUAUUUACCCCUUAUUUUAUAUGUGAUUCAUACAACAAAUAGGAUAAUAGAUACUAUAAUACUUAAAUCAAACAAUGUACUAAUUAAUGCAAUAGCCAUUACGCUACAACUUAUUCCAUUGCUACAUAUGGUUGAUACGAAAUAGAUUUAGAUUAUUCGGGUUUACGGACGCAAGACUUUCUCAAACUACCUUCCUUCUAGUUAUAUUUGUAGAAUGUUGUGGAAAUGGGCUGAUGAUUGAUGGGAUCUUUUUGCAGAAGGUGCAUCUGGUUUGGGGCGAGAAUGACAGGAUCUUCCCUGUUGAAGUAGCCAAAUCACUGAAAGAGUAUGUUUACAGAUUUCCAAUUAAUAGUUCGUCAAUCAAUUUAUAUUUAUUUAUUUAUUAAUACUAAAGUUUUAAUGCCGAAACCAUAUUGUGAUAUCAGCAUGUCUUUGCUGCUUCCUUUUGCUUGAUUAUCUUCCAUCGUGAAGAAUAGAAGCCAUGUCUUGGCAUAAACUUUAACCACAGUUUUUAUUUUGUCCAAUUUUAUUUUGCAAUUAAGACAACUCGUUAGAUUGCAUAUGUUUGUAUCAGAAUUUUAAGAAAUUAAUUUAGACAUAUAAAAUCAACUUACGACAAGGACAGUGUAACUUUUCUUUUGCACGGUUUGCAGACCUAAUAAAGCUAUUAUAUGUUCUAUGUGAAAUUGCAUGAAGCUAAUUGGGAAGUAUUGAUACACUUGUAACGAUUUAUUUAUCUUAUUGGUACUUGGUUCACUGAUAAUUUCCCGUUAAAUACGUCUCUCUCUCUCUGUCUCUGUUCCGACCCGAUAUCUAUUAUUGUAAAUAGACAUUCUUAAAAGAUGUUUGCUCCACUGGGUUUCCGUUCAAUUAUUUUCGGCAGAAAUUUGACUCGUUCGGUUAUGUUCUUUUGGACAGAAAUUUGGGAGAUAAUGCGACACUGGUAUGCAUUGAGAAAGCAGGCCAUUUGGUUGCAUUGGAGAGACCUUUCGUCUACAAUAAAUGUUUGAAGAAAAUUCUGGCCUCUAUUUACAAAGCUGGACAUACAAAAUAAUUGGGUCGUAUUCUGAUGACUGUUAUAACAAUUAGUAGAAUCAUUUGUUAAAAAGAUUACAAAUAUCGUCAAUUUGGUGUGCAUCUUGAUGAAUUUUUUUUUGUUUUUGUUUUUUUUAAGACAUGUGCACUUAAUUAUCGUAAUAAAUAACAAUUCUAUUUGGUUGCAAUCUUGCUUUCGAAGCAAAUCUCAGCCACAUUGCUUCCUUGGUUGCUUCUGUUGCUGCAACGUACUCUAACCCUGGUGUUCGAUGUCGAAAUUAUGUUAUGAAUUUGCUUUACUAUAUAAAAGGAAUAUAGAGAGAGACAGAGGAAUAGUGGUGGCAGAUGACUGUUUAUUGUCACUGUCCGCCGCGAGGCCGAGGUCACGGGAGAGAGGGGGCUUUGGAGGCGGAGGUAGCUUGGCUGUGGAGUUGGCUAGGUGAUUAUCACAGGCGGAGUCGGACCAGACCUAUGGUGUUGCAGGGGAGAGGCUGCACACUGGUCGGGAUUGAGGGGCUAAGGAGGGAGAGGCUGAUUUGGAUUUUCUAGACAAAACCUCGUUUUUCUUGGAUUAGUAUCAUGAUGAUAUUAUUAUUUUUAAAUCCACAUUAGUUUGUUGACGUGAUAAUGUUAUAUUAAAUGAUUAACAGUGACUUGGAACAAAAGGUUAACCGAGAAUUUAUGAGAUUUGAGUGAAAUUCGGUGAUUUUUUUUAUAUAAAAAGAAACAUAAUUUGAACUGAACAUAAAAUUGAAGAAUAUUUAGGAUUUAAGGUGAAACAAACUACGUUGUUUCCAGCAAAAAUCUUGUGAUAUAAAUUGGUUCUUUAAAAAUUGAUGGCAGUGCAAUUUUUUUUUUCUUUUAAGUAAAUGGACAUCCCAGGUAAAUACACGUACUAACAAAGAUGGCGGGACAAUGGGGAGAAAGGUAGUAGAGUACGGGUUAGACGGUAGCGAGCACGCAGCAAGAGAGGUUUCUGAGAAAAUUUUAGAUGAGUCAUUCUCCACGUGGGCUAUAUGAAAAACCACAAAAAAAUUGACAUGUGUCGUUCACAUAUAAUCCAGGCCCCACACUGAGAUAAUUUAAAAUUAGGAAAAUAUCACAAAUGGUCCAUGAACUUUCAUCUAAUGUUCAAUUUCAUCCAUAGGUUUUCGAUUUGCUCAAUUUGGUCCCUGAACUAUUAACAAAUGUUCCAUCUAGUCAUUCCGUUUGUUCAAACCGUUAAGUGAUGAUGUGGAGCAUUAAUUGAUGACGUGAAACUAAGUUGGAUUACUAGAAUUAUGAGUCAAUAUAUAUCCUUAAAAAUGAAAGGAAAUUAGGGGUCAACUAGAGAUGAGAGCAUUGAUUACAAAAGCAUAGAGAAUAAGUGGUUUUGUAUCUCUUUUUUGGAUGGUGGCCACAAUUUGACAUGUUUUACAGGUAAUUUUCAUGUGGAUAUUCCACGCGUCUUUUUUUAAAUUUUAUAUUUAAAAGCCUAAAAGUCAUGUAAAUCAAUUUCGUUAACUUUAACUAAAGGAAUGACAAAAUUGGUCAAUUUUCAAAUAGUCAGGGACUAGAUGAAACAUUUAUUAAUAGUUCAGGGAUCAAAUUGAGCAAAUCGAAAGCUCAGGGAUGAAAUUGAACAUUAAAUGAAAGUUUAGGGACCAAAUUAAACAAAUAGAAAGUUCAUGGAUGAAUUGAACAUUAGAUGAAAGUUCAAGGAUUUUGUGACAUUUUCCCUUUUUAAAAUUUUAUGCUUCCCUCUCUUCUGUCUCUCUAACCUUCUCUCUCCUUGUAGACCAUCUCUUUCAUCUCUUUUCUCUCUCUCCCCCCAUUCUCUGUUCCAAUAUAGGAGAAGAACAAUAUCACAAGGGGUUAAAAAAUAGUUCUGUGCUUUUUCUCUCGUCAUUGCACCUCUCUUCCAGCGAACCGUGACACCAACGCCCUUCCGCCUCCACCGGUUGCCUCCGUUGGUCCCAACCUUGACGUCAACACCGAUGCCACCGACACCUCCAUCAUCACCUCCUAAGCCCCGUCGUCACUUUUUUACCUCACUCUCACGACCUCUGCUCUCUCUCUCUCCCCUCCGCGAAGCGCCUUUGCUUGCCGACACUGAUGACCCUCUGCUCGCAUUUUUGCCUCCCUUUCCGUGAGCGGAGGGCACUCUCUCUCUCUCUCUCUCUCUCUCUCUCUCUCUCUCUCUCUCUCUCUCUCUCUCAUUCCUCCUCGAAGCGUCCUCGAAACGCCACUUGCUCUUGAACACGGACGCCGCCGUCGCCACCACCUCCCCGAGCCCCACCUCCCCGAGCCCCGCCGUCACCUGUCGCAACCCCAUUGGUGGCUCCCAUACUAGGCAGGCACACUUUUUGAUGCUAGACCAAUUGAUAAAUGGAAAUUGGGAUUUGAAUGAAUUUUUUGAAAAGCAGUUUGGCUUUUUAGUAGUUGGUCAUUGUUGUUUUGAAUGAUUGUUGAUGAUAAGCAAAGGUUCUCUUCUCUGAGUGGAAUGGGUCUUCCAUUGACUAAAGUUUGAAAGUUGCUUUGGUAUUGGAUAGAGGUGGCAAAUGGGUGGGUCGAGUCAAGUAUGGGUCGGGUCAAAAAUGGGUCGACCUAUAUUUGACACAUUUAACCCAUUUUGACCCAUAUUCUUGUAGUGUAAAUUUAGUGACCCAUACCCAACCUAUACCCGACCCGACUCAUAUUGCUAAAACCCACUAAUAUUCUUAAAAAAAAAAAAAAACCCCACGCUCACAGCUAUAUGCUAAUUGGAUAAAAACCUCAAAUUAAAUUAAAAAAUAGUAAAUAAAAUAAAAAAAUGUUAAAAAAACCUAUAAAUUGAAAUAUUUAUGAAAAAUUAGACUAUGCACAUGCUUUUCUUAUUUAAAGUGAGCAUACUAUUGAGUAACUGAAAAUUGUAAUGUGAAUAUAAGUAUUAGCUAUUUGAACACUAUCUAAUGAAACAUCCACGAAGGCAAGAAUGAAAAUGGUCUUUCGCAAGUCGGAUUUAUGUGAGCUUCAUCAAAUCUAGAAUUGAAAGUAAAUGCUUCUCUUAAUAAGAAUCUCAUUUGCUCGUUCAAGAAAAUAAUUCUAUAGCUACAUUUGUAAUUCAAACAAAACUGUCCACUCUCCUGAAAAUCCUAGAAAGACAGACAAAAAGAUGUAAUGCUCAAACCUUACCAAAAGAAGAAGAAGAUGUAAUGCUCAGAAACUUCUUCACAUAGAGUUAUCACCCUUCCCUCUUUCCAGACUAAGUCAACUUCAUACAGGUUAACCAAGUGCAGAACAUGACCAAGUCCCAAAUAUGAUGAUAUCUUCAAUUCUAGAGGUAGAAAAUUUAAACUCAAUACCAAUUACAGUUCAUCUUUUUUUCUUUUUUUUGGGACUGGAGGAACCACUGCCAGUCGACAGCCACGACGUAAACACCUAGGUGACGCUAGUAUAGGACCCACCACCAUGGCGUCACGCUUAAAAAUCCCUAACGACAACGCUGGGGUUCGAACUUCUCCCCUUCGUGAGGGGGAGAGAGCCCAAAGCCAGCGCUGCCGCUACGGGCGGUGGUAUUACAGUUCAUCUUUCAAUAAUGAAACAAUGUAAAAAUGUUCACACGGACUAAUUAAGCAUAGUACAACUUGUUUAUGGUUGGCCACCCCUAAUCAGCUUCCCUAAACUAUGAAAGCUUCUACAGAUAUCUGCAAUUUACCAAGAAGUCAACUACCAUAUCAGAGGAAAAACAUGGUACAAGUACAGAGAAGGUACCUUAUAACCAAAAAGCUCACAACAUGCCUGUCGAAACAUUGAAAUUUGGUCUACAAAGACAGUCUUGUACCUAUGCUAUAUUGUAUCAUCCAUGAGACAAUGAAUAUGGAAUAUUAAGAACAAACGUAUCAUGUAACACAAACCUUUCUUUACGCUUCUCAAGUGUUGCAAUUUGUUCUUUCAGCUGAGUUAUCUUUUCAUAUAUUGGCAAUCAACAUAUUUUGCACCAUUGCCUACAAUUUACAUGUGCAGCAACACAACAAGAACAAAAGAGCAAUUAGUUAUGCACCACCAAGCUAUAGCUUUUCAAAUAACGUAAAAUCAUUUACAACCCCAAAUCAAAACUUCAUCAUAUGGAAUGCAAUAGGCACAUGAAUUUCAUUAUUAUGUUGCAUCAACAUUUAAUGUUUGUAUAUAUAUAUAUCCGUGCGCGCGCGCGCGUGCAUACACACACAUAUUAGCACAUUGUUAAGAACCUACAAUAUUGCAAGAACAAGACAAAACCCAUUUUAACAUGCUAGUCUGAAUCUGGAGACAAAAGAGAUAAUUUAAUAGUGAACUUUACAAAUAAAAGAAAGUAAUUAAUGCAAAUAGUCUUGGAAGUCGACAAUGAGAGAUUCGUCCUCAAGAUCUUCCUCAGGUGGAACUCCAAACAACCAAUCUCUAAUGCAUAGCUCAACCUCCACAUUUUUAGGCGACAGUUACUACGAUAUUUGUUGACACCUAAAUUUUUGCGUAAAAAUUGAGUUAAUUUUACCCCAAAAAAUAAAAAUUUUACAUAAUAUAUAGUUUAGAAACAUUUUAUUUUAUUCCAUUUUUUGCAUUGGACCGAUGGUGAGCAUUGAUUCAGGUGAGAUUUUUCAUAUAUUCAGAUAAUAUACACCGAGGGGUAUAUUCUUGAGUAGAAAGGAAAUUUUUAGAUGGAAUAUUCGAAAAAUAUAAAAGAGAAUAUCGCACGGGGUGCAAUGAUAUAUUUAACGUAUUAUGCACAAGCUAAAUUGGAAACAAAAUAUGCCAUAACAAUUUAAAUUUUCCCCUAUAAAAGGUGUGGUGCGUGUACAGAUACAGGAGGAGAAUUCGAAAAAAAAAAUUGAGAGAAAAUAUGUGGAGAGGUUGAUUUUUUUAGUGGAAUUUCGAAAAAGGAGAAGGGGAAAGAGUGUACAGUGUCGAGAAAAAAAAAAAGAGAAACCCUAACCGACUGUUCAUCUUCUUCGGAGGCCUCCGACCGUGCCGACACCGCAAUGCCGGAACCACCGUGCCUUGCCACCUUGCCGGUCCGCUCGCCUUUGCCACGUCGCGCCGUCUGCUCGCAACCCAGCUUCGACUUUUCCUGAUCCAAUUGAGCCCCGCUCGCCGUCUCCAAGUCGCUCCCCUUCUCCGACGCCACUGCUGCUCCCCCCGAUCUCGCGACUCAGUAGGCCGACGCCAGUCUUCGCCGUGCUCCACCUCGCCUCCUACCAUGCCUCGGCCCUCGCCGAUCGAGAUCCCCCGUGACCCAGCGCUCGACGUUCCCCCCUUUAACCGUGACCUGACGCCGGUAGAUCUGAGAUCCCUUACUGCAGCCGCAAUCCAACGUCGGCAGAUCUGAGAUCCCCUGUAGCAGCUGUGACCCGAGUGCCCCUGCUCACCUUCGCCCGACGCUCAGCCGCUGCCGUGCCACUGUCCUUGCCGCGACCCAACGCCACCGAAGCCAACACCACUACUGCUCGCCUUCCCCCCGGUGCCCAACAGCAAGCCUCGCGGCCCACGACACCCCCUCGUCGGUGCCCUACUUCGCCGGAGCCCCUCACCGUCGUCCACCCUCGCUGCCCCGCGCCGGAUGUGCUACUUGCCAUGUCUUCGCCGGAAACCCUCACCGGCGACUCCCCUCAUUGGAGCUCCGAACCGGCCAAGAUUCCUUUUUUUUUUUUUUAUAAAAGACAAAAAUCAAUUUAGGUAGAUUUUAUUUGUUUUAUUAUGCAAGUUUGUCUUUUUUUAUCAUUUUAUUUCUUGUUUUCUUAUUUGAAAUAUUUCCCUAUGCAUAAUUGGAAAUUCUAACAUACCACCUGAUUCGCAAUCGCGGUUGGGUUUUUUAUUUCAUUUAUAAGGCUUUAGAUGAAAUAAUUAAUCAAGCAGGAGUAAAAUUGAUAUUUUGAUCUUUAAGGCUUAAGAUCAAUUUAUCAAUUUUAUUAGCGAGAUAUUAUCCCUUGAUCUGAACAGUGUAUGAUACUUUGGUGAUUUUGAAUGGUUUGUCUUGAUGUGAUUGCUUUAUUUAUCUUGAAAUAUGUUUGGGUUAGAAUAUUGCAUGCUUUAGGGUUAUUUGCAUAUUUGGGUUAAGCAUUUUAUUUAUCAUGAAUUGUUGAAAAAACAAAAAAAUUUAGCAUGUUAGAUUUUUGUUUCAUUAGCUUAAAUUGCAUGUUUAAAUAUUUGACUUUUUUUUCGAAAUUAAUAAUAAUAAUAAUAAUAAUCAUUAUACAUAUGUCAUGCAGAAUUAGGGCAUCAUUUGUAUGUCAUUACACAUUAGAAAAAUUGCAUAUUUCAUUGUAAAUUUAGAUUGAUCUAGAUAGACUAUAUCUUAGGUUAGAGAUUGCCAAGUUAAGAUAAUAUCUUAGUUUAAAUUAGGGUUUAGCUUGACCUAAUUCUUAAUAGAAGUUGGAUAGAAUGUUAAUUUAGUUAGAUAAUUUUCACAGUUUUCUAAUUUCCAAUUUCAUAAAAAAAUACAAAAAAAUGUCUUAGAAUAAAUUAGUUUCGAUCUCUAGGAUAGAUUGCAUUUCUUUUAAAAAAAUUAAAAAAAUUAAAAAAUUUCAUUGCAUGUCAUUUAGAUUCAUGAAAUGCAUGCCAUUUAAUGAUUGUUGUUAGGUCCAUUUAAUUAAAAAUUGCCUAUCAUUAGAAUUAGGUCAUUUAGUUAUAUUACAUUGCAUAAAGCAUGAUUUUCAUUAAUUAAAUGAAAACAAAAAAAAAAUCCGUGUUAAUUAGAAAUCAUAUAUAGGGUUAAUCAUGUGAAUUCUGAUUUAACAAUGCAGAUGCUUUCGUUGGUACGAGGUAAGUCUUGUAUUUUUAUUUAUUUGCUUUCUUGAGUGUUAAAUUGAUGGAUUGCGCACCCGCAUGAUUACCUCACAUGUUAGGGAAAUAGAUUUAAAAUCAAUCCAAGCUGCAUUCAAAAACAUUUUUUUAAAAUAAAAGAAAUGGUACCGAAUGGGCAUUAGAGAAGUCUAGUGUAACCAAGUCCCUAUACCUAAAGUCUCUGGUUCGUAGAAGCAAAAUAAUUAUCUUAUUAUUUUACUUAGGUGUCUAAUCGGCCUACCAUAAACUAAUUAGUGGCGACUCCUAGAUGAAAUCUACUUGCUUGUUAAGAAAUUUCAACUUAAGUCGCGAAUUGGUAUGGGCUUGGGAGAGCCCGAAUUAAGUCUAGGCUUAACAAUUCAUUAGCUAAAUCUUAGGUAGAUCACCCAAAAAUUUGGUCGCAACAAUAUUUAUUUAGGAUGCGUCCUAUAAUGCUAAAGACUAACUCUGAGGCAACAGUAGUGAUAGGAAUACUCAAUAUAUCACGUGCCAUGAGAGAUAACUCGGGAUAUCUAUGUGAAUUAGCUUUCCAAUAAUCAAGGACAUUGAGAUCAGGGAAUUUUUUCUAUCCACCCUGGGCUCCUCUAAAUACAAAUCCAAUUGUGAAUUAGUAGAUUGCGAGCCAAAGUGUUCACUCUCAAAUGCAUCAUACUCAUCAAGAUUGUCCCCAAUGUUUUCGACAAUGUCCUCAACUGAAAUGUUACCUUGACUAAUUGAAGAUGCAAAGCGAUCAUCUCUCGAUGUAGAGGUUACAUAUUCAUCAAAAAGCAUAUAAAGCUUUUCUCGAAUGCUCCGUACAAAUUCCACAUAUUUUUCAAACUUCUUUAGCAUUGCCAUAGCCAUAGAUCUAAUAGCUACAUCCUCACUAUUCCUUGCAUUUGUCAAACGAAGCUGAAUUUGCCAUACUCCAUAGAAAUAUAAAUUUGCCAUGGGAUAUCUAACUCCAGAGAAGAGAGUAGAAAUAUCAUAGAAAGGUUGCAACAAGAAUGCAAUUUUCUUGGCUCUAACCCAAUCCUCAGGUGAUGGACAUGUAAGAAAGUUAGAAUCAAUUAGCUUCAAAUGGGAAAAUGCAUGUUCAAAGACCAAAGCACCUUCAAGCAUUAAGUACGUAGAGUUUCAUCUAGUAGUCACAUCUUGAUGUACUUUUUUACUCGUCUUCAAGCAAGACUGUGUUAUACACUCAACAAAUUUUGCUCUCCUCCCUUGGGUAGCUCUCACAUAUUUGACAAAUUCUCUAAUAUUUUGCAAUAAUCCAUCAAUUAUCUUUAGACUUUCUUGGACAAUAAGAGAAUGUGUGCACCACAAUGUACAUGAAAAAACUUCCCAUUACACAACAAAGAGGAUUACACAACAAAGAGGAUCUCAUAGAAGGUGUACUUUUCCAAAUAUUAGCCAUACGGUCAUUGUAUGAUGCAUUACCCAAUGUGAUAUUGAAAAUUUUCCUCUCAAUGCCCCACUCUCUCAACAAAGUUAGCAAUUUUUCCAAUAAAAUGGCACCAUUGUAUGGAGGUGGCACAUAGGAGAAGCACAAAACCUUUGCAUGCAAUUCCCAAUUCUCAUCAAUGUAAUGGGCAGUGACAGUCAUAUAAUGAUCAGUUGUCACAGAAGUCCACAAGUCAGAAAUUAAAUAUAUUCUGCUAGAAAGUGACAUAAUAUAUGAUUUUAAAUAUCUCUUCUCAUUCUCAUAAACUUUUACCACAUCACUUUUUGUUGUAUUCCUCGAUAUGUGCUUCACAUUUGGACUAAGACAACUAAGCAAUUCUCUGGUAGCCUCAUGCUCUACAAAAGAGUAUGUGUAAUUGUGUUUGACUAUUGUUUUUGCUAACUUGCUUCUAAACAUAGUUUGAUCAAAUUGUUCCAUGGAAUCGUCAACGUUGGCCUCUUGAUUGGGACAAGUAUGUAAAUGAUGCAACAAUUUUUUUGUCCCAUGGAUAACUAUGUAAGUUGAUUCGCAUCAUUUACACUUGGCCUUUCUUUUGCCAUCCUCAUUUGUGAAUUUUUCGAAUUCAGAACAUAUAGUAGAAGUGCAUUUUUUCGAUUGUUUAGAGCAAGUAGAGUUAUCUUCCUCAUCCUCAUCCUCAUGAAAUAAGGAUGUAGCUCUAUGCCUCUUAGACCCUUCUAUUGUUGAAUAUUCUUCUUGAUCAUCAUUAGAUCUUGACAUGUCAACUAAUUAGUUAAAGAAAACAUGAAUUAGAACAAGUUAUUUACUCAAAGAGAAAAUGACAUGUUAUAUUUUUGUUUAACACUAAAAGAAAACAUCUCCAACUUUCAUUCUCCGUAGAGUACAAAAGAGAAAACAUGCAACCAAACAAGCAAUAACAAUCAAGUGAUUGUGAAACUGACUAAGAACAGAGACAAGGAAAGAAUCACAUGCAUCAAUAGCAAAAAUUGAGGAACUCAAUGUGUCAAAAAUUUAUAAAGACACUUCUCUAAGAACAAGCAUUGCUGUCCCAACCAGUCCGAACCUUAGACCCGACUAAUCAACUAGAAGAAUAAGAUAUAAGCCAAGAACUCAUUCAGCUGGAACAAAGUUGUGAUUGUACCCCAUUUAAGCCACAAAACGGUAGAACCCAACCCUAAUCAAACAAUCUCUACUGCUAAAAACCCCUCAGUAGAAGUGGCAAAAUGGGUCAUGGACCCAUUUUCGGACCCAUAUUUUUCACUAAUGGGGUCGUACAUGGGUUAUGAAGAUGUAAUGGCCCAGCUAAAAUGGGUCAAAGUGUUUUAAGUUCAAUUCAUAUGAGUCGAAAAUGGGUCACACGUUCUGACCCAUUUUCGACCCAUUUUCGAAACCUAAAAAACAUAGAAUUUCCUCAAUGACAAUUGCCCUUCAUCACCCACCUCAGCAACUCGCAUCCAAGCUGCCUCCACAACUUGCCACCGCUCCCCUUCGAGUCGCCUCUGUUGUCUACCUCUGAGGCUCGCCUCCGCUGCUCCCUCAAAGGUUGACGAGCUUCGUCACCCACCUCCGCCGCUCACCUCCGCGGCUCGCCUCCGCCACUCUCCACCGCAGCUCGCCUCUGAGUCGCCUCCACCGCCCACCUUUGAGGCUCACCUCCACCACUCCCUCGAAGGUCAACGAGCUUUGUCACCCACCUUCGCCGCUUGCCUCCGCCACUCGCUUCCAAGGCUCGCCUCCGACUCGCCUCCGCCACUCGCCACUGUGGCUCGCCUCCGCCACUCCCUCAAAGGUCAACGAGCUUCAGCCUCACGCUGUGAAAAUCCAGCUCGUGGGUGUCGAGUUUUUCUUCAAUAGCACAACUUGAGCCAUUUUAGGCCUUUCGAUCCCUCCAACCCUUCCAUGAAUUCCCCGUCUUUCUCUUUGCCCGUUGCCUUGUCCUUUUUAUAUCUGUUGGGUGGCGCGUGCUUCAUUUAGUUUCCUCAAUUUUUGCUGCUGCUAUCGAUGCGUGUGAUUCUUUUUCUUAUCUCUGUUCUUAGUCUAUUUGCUGGUGGUGAAAGAUGAUUUGUACCACUUCUAGAGAGCAUCUUUGCAACUUUCAUGCGUCUGAAUCUGCUUUCAGUCCUAACCGGGAUGNNNNNNNNNNNNNNNNNNNNNNNNNNNNNNNNNNNNNNNNNNNNNNNNNNNNNNNNNNNNNNNNNNNNNNNNNNNNNNNNNNNNNNNNNNNNNNNNNNNNGGUUCUAUACUAUUACAAAUAUGCAAAUUCUUCAUCAUCUUUCACCACCAACAAGUAGACUAAGAAUAGAGAUAAGAAAAAGAAUCACACGCAUUGAUAGCAGCAGUAGAAAUUUAGGAAACUAAAUGAAGCACGCGCCACCCAACAGAUAUAAAAAGGACAAGGCGAUGGGCCAAGAGAAAGACGAGGAAAUCAUGGAAGGGUUGGAGGGAUUGAGAGGCUUAAAAUGGCUCAAGUUGUGCUAUUGAGGCAAAAAUCAACACCCGCGAGCUGGAUUUUCAUGGCGUGAGGCUGAAACUCGUCGACCUUCGAGGGAGCGGCAUAGGCGAGCCUCAGAGGUGGGUGGCAAAGGCGACUUGAAGGCGAGCCCCGGCAGCAAGUGGCGGAGGUGAGUUGGGGAGGCGAUUGGCGGAGGUGAGCAGCGGAGGUGGGUGAUGAAGCUCGUUGACCUUUGAGGGAGCAGUGGAGGCGAGCCUUAGAGGCAGGCGGUAGAGGCGACUCGGAGGUGAGCUGCGGCGGCGAGUGGUGGAGGCAACUCGGAGGCAAGCCGUGGAGGUGGGUGAUGAAGCUCGUCGACCUUCAAGGGAGCGGCAGAGGCGAGUGGUAGAGGCAACUUGGAGGCGAGCCGCAACGGCGAGUGGUGGAGGUGAGUGGCAGAGGUGGCUCAUAGGCAAGCAGCAGAGGUGAGUGAGGAAGGGCAAUGGUCGUUGAUGAAAUUUUAUGCUUUUUUAGGUUUUUGAAAGUGGGUCGAAAAUGGGUCAGAACGUAUGACCCAUUUUCGACCCAUAUGAAUUGAACUUAAAACACUUUGACCCAUUUUAGCUGGGCUAUUACAUCUUCAUAACCCAUAUACGAUCCAUUAGUAAAGAAUAUAGGUCCAAAAAUGGGUCCAUGACCCAUUUUGCCACCUCUAGUAUUGGAGUGUCCCUACUGACGCCAUCUAGUAAGUAAUUUAAAAGGUACAGAAUUUAAACUUGUUGGGCAAAUGAUUGCUGGAAUGUGGCUCGUGAUUAUGUAGUCUGUGGCUGCAUUUGUCGGGCCUGAGCACAACAAAAAACCGUUUUGUGGUUGGAGAUAAAGAAUGACUCUUUGGCCAGUUACAUAUUGUGGCUCUAGAGAAGGAACCCAUGGCCCUUACGUAUAUAGGUUUCACGAGUUAUGAGGAACUAUUAUACCUCGUUAAGCUCUUAAGAAGAUGCAAGGUAGUUGAAGAAAAAUUUAUGCAGUCCGACUUUCCUUGUUCGAUACUAGAAGGGCAAAAGUUGGGAGGAUGUCACCUCUCAUCCGAUUGAAAGCUGGUCUCUUCAGAUAUCUUGCCUUUUCACCCUUGCGACUAGGACUUUUGUUUCUUCUUGGUUACUUCUGAAUCCUUUUUGUAUGUUUUUGUACUAAUUUCUUUCAGCAUAACGCCAUCAUCUGCUGAAAAGGGAUAGAUGACUCAUGCUUGAACGAAGAAUGUAAGUUCACAAAGCAUCCUCAGUUGUUGUUGUGGCUAGACGUGAUACUACAGUUAUGGAAUGUGUGGAGAGUUGUUUAUACUCUGUUGGAUCUUUGGUCUUUCUACUUUAUUGUUGUACCUAGAAAUGAAUGAGCAUAUGAAUUUUGUCUUAGUUAUAAUGCUCUUGGCUAAACCAAGAUCAUGGUGCCCAUAUUAAUGAUUUUGUUAGUCUCUCUUUUUGGUUGGUGCAAGAUCAGCACCAGGGCCAUUUUUCACGGUCAUUCAUCACGAAUAGUUACAAUCAAAGAGAACACUACUUGUCUGAAGUGAAUUGAUUCCCCUAGAACUCGAUCGGUACCUAACAAUUCUGUCGGUGUUCUUUUGUAUGAGCACAGGUUGCUUAUGUCCAGACAGCAUUUACUUCUGCUAGGACAUUCCCACCCUGCACAGCUCUCUUAGUGCUUCUUGCAACUCGUUAGGUCUAGCAUGCGGUUUUUCUGUUUGGAAGUUACUUUCCCUGUGCAUAGCUAGCUGGAUUUGAUGCCAAGUGAAAACAAAUUAUCGCAGUCAAGAUCUAAAAACUGAAGAAAUAAUUGCCACACUAAACUACGCUGACGGAGACUCUUUUGAAUAUAACACAGUGGUCUGUCCAUCAUUAUCUCUUGAUUGCAUCAGAAAUGCAGGCAUCGUAAGCACUGUUAACUCAGUUUAGAGAACCUUACAAAAGCUCAAUCACAAUUUAGUUAGUAGAGUGUUAAGCUACACAUUUACACUCUCACGUUUUCGACAAAAUAUCAGGAUGCAAAGUACUACAACUCAACGGAAAAAACUUGAAAUAGGAUUGUCUUAAGUGACAUGAAUCAAAAGCACAACCAUAAUAAAGAUACAUGUCAUCUCGUCCUUGAUGGAUACGAGGCACUGUACAUCAUCAGAUUUAAUAUCUAAUAGAUAUAUGUUUCCAUGCUCUCUUCCAAUAAAGGACUGCUUAUCAUCUCGACUUGUUCCUGAGCAAUUGUCUUCUUGAAAACAAAUUCUAAAUCUAGUGUCACAUAAUUGACUGAUGAUAAUCAAAUUAUAAUCGAGUCAUUUGACUAAAGACACAUCAUUUAUCGUGAGAUUUCCGGUAAUGACUGUUCCCCUACCAAUGAUCCUUCCUUUGUUGUUCCCACCAAAGAUACUCUUCCUCCAUUAUACUUUGAGAUCUUAAUAAGUUUGGUUGUAUGUGUCUUGAGCAUCUACUAUCUAAGUACUAUUUAUUUGCCUUUAUCUUUGGUACUUGCAAUUAUCAAGACAAAUUCCAGGUUUCUUUGGUACCAUAUUUGUCUGGGUCAUUUUCAGUUAGACAGCUCAGCUAUAUUUAGAAAGUUUCUCUGAAUUGGUUUUCAAUCUUUUGAGCAAUCAUUUUCAAAAUAAUCCGGAUGCCCGUAGAUUGAACAUUUAAGGAAAUUUCAACCAAUAGGUUUUACAAAUUGCUUUUGAAAAUGAUGUUUGCAAACAGUUUUUGAAGGUCUUUGUUUUUCUCUCUCUUUGUAUCUCGAAAAAUUGUUUUAAAGAUCAUCUUUGUUCUUACAACCAAGACCGAAUUUAUCUAAGGUUUUCAAACAAAUGGAAACUCUUUUAAUAACAUUUGAAAUUUCCUUUUUCGAGAGAUCGGUUUAUUUUGAAACUAAAUCUCGAUUCUCUUGAUUUUUGGAAAGAUCUUUCUCAAGAUAUUCGAUUUUUUUUUCUUUUUGAAGAAGAUCAUUUGUUUUAGUUUUGAAUUUUCCAUCUUCAAUUUGGAUAUCUUGCUAAGUGUAGCUUUAUAAUUAGAACAUUUUUGUCACAUUCCGUAUCAUUCCAAGUUUCGAGCGUGGGUUGCGACUCCCACGCCCUGCAAGAGGCAGGGCACAAGUCUGCGAGUGAGUGUAGAGUAGGAAUAGCGUAGGACUGACAAAAAAAAAAAAGUCUCAGCCUUCAGUGCUUUCUUACUUUUUUCAUGUUUUUUUUUUUUUUUCAAAAGAGGACAAUUCAACUUGAUAUGUUCUCGCUUCUUGCACUCAAAAUAGAUUACAUCCUUGUUGUCUUCUCUUUCACUAAAAUAUUUCUUCUAAUAAGAUGAUUAGAAAGGUCCUUUCCUUUUAAAUUUUCUUCAUUUCCUGGUCACCUUGCAAAAUUUCUUUACCAUGAGAGCUAUUUCUUCAUCGUCUUCUUCAUCAUCUUCAAAAUUUAAGACAUCAUAAACAAAAUUAGAUUUUAAAGUAAUCAUUUUCUUACCUCUUGAGUCUCCUUCUUCAUUCAGAUAUUUUUCUUCAUAUGAUUGAAGUGUUCCCAUGAGUUCAUCUAUGGACAAUGGUGUGAUCCUCUGAGUUUCACAAAUAGAUGUUUUGAUAUUGUUCCAUUACUUGGACAACCCACGAAAGAUUUUGUUCACUUUCAUGGAAUCUGGUACUAAUUGACAAUAUUUGUGAAUCUACCGAACAUGUCAGUCAUUGAUUCGCUUGGCUUCAUUGAAGGAUUCGUACUACCCGAAGAGAAUAUUUAUUUUUGUCUCUUUAACUUGGUCAGUUCUGUGAUGUGUAACUUGUUCCAAAUUUCCUUCGUUGUUUCACAUGAAGAAAGUCUGUAAUAGUCUAUUGGAGAUAAAACAUUGUAUAAUGAGUAAAUUAUUUUAGCAUCUAAUGCUUCUCUUUUAAUUAUAUCUGCAUAAGACAAAGCUUCGAUUUCUGGUUUUUGCUGUCUCCUUCCAUUUUGGAUGAUGAGGCUUUAGGCCUUAUUCCUCUCAAAACUACGUCCCACUCCAAGGGAUACAUGGAUCUGAUGAAUACUUUCAUCUUGAUAUUCCAAAUGUUGAAUCCUUUCCAUCGAAAUAUGAAGCCUUGUAUCACUUAGUCCUUCCAUAAAUCCUAGUGCAAUAUUGAUAGCCAUAGCAAAUCGUUAACUUUGAAGUAAUUUAACACUUCAAUAAGUAGCAACAGAGCUUUGAUACCAAUUGUUAGGGCUAGAACUAUACCUAGAGGGGGUUAAUAUGUGAAUAUGCAGAAUUUAAAGAAAAUUGAAACUAACAUUACAGUAGGACAACGUCUGGUGUUAAAUCUUGCAAAGCACAGAUCUUAUUGAUAUACACUAAUUUAUCACAAGAAGUAAAAGCAGUUUAACAGAUAGAAAAAUGCACACAACAAAUUUAUAAUGGUUCAAUUUUGACAAGCAUACGUCCACUCUCCCGCGUUGAUAAACAGUUGGUUGGAUUCUGCUAGAUGAAUCUAUUACAGGUUACAAAAGCUGAGUACUUUUGACUCAAGUAAGUGUGAUCAAGUCUCCCAAUCUCACACUCUAACAACUUCUAAUAUAUUAUAGCUUUGAGCUCACAAAGAUGAAUUGUAAGAACGGGGAUUUCUCUAGCACUUUGGAAUUAAGAACUUUGGAUGAUUCUCUUAGUCUCUUUGGCUUCAUGACCUCCUUUUAAACUCCUCAAUAUCCAAGCUAACCAUUGGAUUUUCCCUUUGAGGACUGUUCAUUCAAUCAUCCCAUGCUGGAAGAUUCGAUUACAUCGAGACUUGCCAAGAAUGUAGUCUCCUUAUUUUGUUGCCCAUAUAGCAGAUCGAGUUUUCAUUAGUUGAGUCCCUUGUAUAGAAAGAAUAUUCCAUCUUCUAAUUGCUUUAUUCAGGGUUUGGGAUAAUCCAUCUUGAAGAGAUUAUGAUCAUCAAUCUUUCCUUCUAGAUCAAUCAAUAUAUAAGGCAAGGAAUCUGCCCCAAUCCACUAUCUUUUGCACAAGGAUUCUGUGAUCGAAAGAUAUCCUUAUAUGAUAUAUUAUGAAUAUUAAGGAUAUACUCUUCACAUAGACUAUCCGACUAUGGAUAUGAUAAAUAACAUAUGAUUAUGAAUCCCAAAACUUCUUCCUGGAAAAGCUAUUAUCAGAAACAUAAGUCAAUUAUAAAUUUUUUGUCAAUUUUCAAAAUAUUCAGGAGUGUUUCCACAAUAGAAUAAUUACUUUCUUUUUCAUAAUUAAGAGCCUCAUACCUUUAUCAGUGUGGCUUAUUGAUCAUCUUUAUUUGGAAUUGGAUAAUAGAAUCUUGAAAAGACAUUCUGGGAAGGCCUUUCUAGGCCAUGCUAUUCCGCAUAUACUAAUCCCCAAAAGUUUGGUAGUACGGGAGAGAGAAUCAACCUCGAGUUGUUAUUUGUGCAUAAAAAUGCUAUUGCUUAGCCUUGACCUAAAGCUCCAAUUUUUACUCAACUUCACUACAAUUUGUCGACUUAGGUAUCAUUGUACCUUAUUGUGUUUGUUUUGUUUUUUUGUUUUUUAUGGUAAAUGUAAGAUAUAUAUUGACUUUUAACUAAGAAGCUAUACAAUAGGAGACUCGGCACCAAAAACUUGCACUCAGGAAGACAAACACGUUAAACCGAGUGGAAGGGUGCCGAGGAAAAAGGAAGAGAGGGGAGAACCAAACAACGGCAACCCUCGAAAGGAAACACAAGGGAAACUUGACAACCAAAAUGCAGCAAGUCUUCCAAGAGAACUGGGGGAGGCAAAGCGGUAGCAUCCAACUCAAAAUUAUAGGGUCUCAUCCGACGAGCCAGGAGAGAAAAUGGACAGGUCCAAACCCUAGCUGCAUUGUACCCUCCCAUUUCUUGUAGUGUCCGCAACGUUACAAAAGAUCAGCACCUUGUCCUUGAUAACUCUGACAAGGUGGUUCUUCAAGGUUGGUAAAAACAGAGUUUGUUCUCGAAAAAGAAUUCUCUCCGCAUCUUUUAGAUCACACGGCAAAUGGCUCUAAAGGAGAAUCGAGCAAUGCAUUAAUAGAAUUCAUUACCUGAGAGAAACUUCAAAGCCCACUAGAGAUGAUCCUGCCAAGACCUAUUCUACUAAGGAAGGUUGCAUCUAGCAGCUCAAAAAGACGCAAGUUCAGAGGUAAUGCGACAACUAAAAAAUAAGGACAUGCGGACCCCUGGAGUGCCAUAAGUUGGUACAAAGGGACACUUAAGUGCCAAAAGUUACGAAAGUGACACUUAACUGCCAAAAUCGGAGCAAAAUGAAUCAUUUGAGUGCCAAUCCGGCCAAAAUCAUGCCAAAUUGCAUACAUGGCAUUUUUCCGGCGAAGCGAGCUCAAAAUGAUGCCGUUUUGCAUGUUGACGUGGCCAAAAAAUGCAAAAACGGCGUCGUUUUGGGCUGACGUGAUAAAAAAAUACUAUAAAAAUUAAAAUAAUAAUUUUAAAAUUAAAUUUAGUUAAAAUAUUAAAAAAUAAUAAUUUUUACAUUUUAAAAAAAGGGGGUGGUAGUUGAGGGCUUAGCCCUCAACCACCAUUGCCGCCUCCGCGUCGUCGUCGGAAGGGGCUGGCAAUGGAGUGGGGAGAGUCAGCCAGGGUCGCCGAGCUUUGGCUAGGGGUCAGCAACCCCGGCCGACCGGUAGCAAUGACUCGCAAGCCCUCACCCCUAUUUGGGGCAAGGGUUGCAGACCUCACCCAGAUCUGGUGAGGGUCAGCAACCCUCGCCCGGUCGGGCUAAGAGCUGCUGCCCGUUGGGGUGACCCUCACUAGAUUUGGGCGAGGGUCGCGACCCCUCGCCACUCGCCAUAGAUCUAGGUGAGGGUUGGCGGCCCUUGCUUGGCUGAGCCAAGGGCCGCCGCUUGCUGGGGGUCGCCCUGGCGGGCGGCGGCCCUUGGCCCAGCUGGGCGAGGGCCGCAACUCUUGCCCCGAUUUGUGGCAAGGGCUCGUGAGCCCUCGCCACCGAUUGGCCGGGGUUGCCAACCGUUGGCCAGGGACCGCCAACCCCAGCCGACCUCCCCCCUCCGUCGCUGGCCCUUCCCGGCGAUGGCACGAAGGCGGCAGCGGUAGCUGAGGGUUGAGCCCUCAGCCACCGCCCCCUUUUUCUUUUUCUUUUUUAAUUUUAAAGUUAUUAUUUUUAAUAUUUUAACUAAAUUUAAUUUUAAAAUUAUUAUUUUUAAUAUUUUAACUAAUUUUAUUUAAUUAAUUUUUAUAUUAUUUUUUAUCGCGUCCGCCAAAAACGAUGUCAUUUUUGCAUUAUUUAGCCACGUUAGCAUGCAAAACGGCGUUGUUUUGGGCUCGCUUCGCCAAAAAAAUGACAUGUAUACAAUUUGGCCAGAUUUUGGCUGGAUUGGCACUCAAGUGAUCCAUUUUUCUUCGAAUGUGACACUUAAGUGUACAUUUCAUAACUUUUGGAAUUUAAGUGUCCAUUUGUGCCAAGUUAUGACACUUGAGGUAUACUUUUGCCAAAAAAUAGGUGAGAAAUAUAAUCCAGCCUAGAAUUGCAAAAGGCACACGAGACGUCCCUAAUUCUCCCAUAGGAAAAUAGAAGAACCUGGGUAGGGAGCUAGUUCUUGACAAUGAGCCACAGGUUGAAUUGAUACCGUGGUGUGAGGGAGUUGCUCCAAAUGAAAGAGAACCAAGGGACUAAGGUUUUCCUUGAUCGAAUAGUUUCCCAUGUAAACGCAACCAAGAAAGUGCACGAGGUACUAUUAGUCCAACAAAAACGAUCCGAGGUUUGCGAAAGGACGGGGAGGGGAAUCUCCCAUGACUCCAAGAUGGCUUUGAUCUCCUAGUCCUCUACAGAGAAAAGGUCUGCAAUCGAGGCCAGCCUGGGUAAUCCCACUUGAUAGAUGAACAUGUCUAAGAAUAGCAGAUUAUGGGGGCCUCUGGGAUGCUAAUGAUUGAACCAGAGGGACACGAAACGGCCGUCCCCAAUACUCCAUUGGAAGCAUAGGCUGAAAUCUCUCUUAAGCCGGAGUUUCUUCCAAGCCCAAGAACAUACAGUUGGCUUGUUUGCAACCCACAAAUUUUUCCUCUUCAAAAAAGUGGAGUGAAUCCACUUACACCACAAGAAUUCCUUAUUAGUAAAAAUGAUCCAUAUGUGUUUAAGCAUGGCUGCUAAGUUACAAUCUCGCAACUUGCGUAUGCCAAGUCCCCCUUCUUCCUUUGGAAGGCAAAUGUUUUCCUAAGAGACUUUCGCACCUCCUCUACCAAAGACCGAGCCUUUCCAUAGGAACUGUUUAAGAAUUUGCUCAAUGCAAUCCAAGACAGCUCUAGGAAGCAUAAAAACACUAGCCCAAAAAGCUUAUAUUGCGUGGAAGAAAGAAAACAAUGAGCCCAAGAUUAAACCCUUGCAGUUAUCCAGUUGACAAGGGUGUUGCAAUCAGCCUUGCCAAGUCUCAUGGUGAUAAUGGGGACCCCUAAGUACCGAACAGGUAGAGAUAUUUCUUGGAACCCAAAAGUCUGAAGUAUUUAGGUCCGAAUAAAGACUGUUCCUCCAAUAAGGUAUACUUCACUCUAAGAAGAAAAGGUUUCAAGGCCUUCUUGAUGAGAGAAACCGAGGCCAUGUUUGCUUCACAGAAGAGGAAGACAUCAUCUGCAAAGAAUAAGUGAGAUAAACAAGUUGUCUUACACCUAGAGAAGAAUUUGAAACCUAGUUGCCUGGAACGAAGGUAAAGGAUCUCAAAGAAGAUUUCCAUGGCCAAAGUAAAUAAGUAGGCAACAAGGGAUCUCCUUGGCGAAGUCCCUGCCCACUUAAAAAGAAAUCGUGCAUCUCCCCAUUUAUAGAAUAGGAGAAUUUAGGUGUGCGGACACAAAUCAUGAUAAGCUUGAUCAAAUGAUCAGGAAAACCAAAAGGUUGGAGAGUAAGCUCUAAGAAGUCUCAAUCAAGAGUAUUAUAGGCUUUCUAGAAAUCCACUUUGACAACACACUUUGGCAAGUAAGUGCUAAGGUGGAACCCACUAAAGAGCUCUUGGGCGAGGAGGAUAUUGUCCUUGAUUCACCGGCCCUUGAUGAAGGCAUUUUGGGGAGCUGAUUAUAUCUUGAAGUGCAAUAGCCACUAGAUUCGCCAAGAGCUUGGUGAUGCAUUAUAAAUUGUAUUGUAGUACGCUAUAGGUCUAUAGUCAGAGACCGUAGAAGCAUUAGGAACUUUCGGUACCAAGACUAAAAUGGUGUUUUUUUAUCUCACAUAAUAAUCUCCCAGAAAUCCUUAACCGCUACAAUAAUCGACAAUCCUAUAGCCUCCCAAUUAAGUUUGAAGAAUUCAGCAUUAAAACCAUCUGGCCCGGGAGCCUUACCGCAAGCAAGGGAGAAGAUGAUAUCCUUCAUCUCUAAAUUAGAAAUAGGGCGAGAUAGAGAUCUAACCUGUUCAUCAUUGAUGGGGCAAUGAAUAACAGCUCGAAUGUCCCAAACAACAGGCCUCCUUGGAAGAUCCCAAGGCGCCAGAAGAUCUUGGAAAUGGUUAACAAAGCGUUGCGGUACUAAGCCUGGAUCAGUGAUUAGAAUACCAUAGGUGUCUUUUUCUGAAAGGAUUCUAUUCGUCAAAUGCCUUUUGUUGACCGAAUGAUGAAAGAACUUAGUGUUCCGGUCUCCUUCUUUGAGCCACCUAACCCUGGAUUUCUACCUAUAGAAUGACUCCUCUUGAAUCCAAAGAUUCGAGAAAGUCCACAGCUAGUUCUUUUCUAGCUCAGCAAGCAAAAUGUUGGACGGGUCAAGCUGGAGGGCAUCUUGGGUGACCCACAAAGUGUUCCUUGCUUGUGCUGUCCUGGCCGAGAUGUUGGAGAACGAGACCCUGUUGAGCUGCUUAAGGCAGCUUUUGAGGGUCUUUAGCUUGCAAACCAACUUGUACAUGGGAACACCUUCACUUAAGUUCUGCCAAACCUGAGUAACGAUUACACGAAAAGCUGGGUGCUUCAUUCAAAAGUUGAAAAUCUUAAAGGGUUUUCUCUAAAGAGAAGGGGCCAAGACUCUGACGACCAUAGGAGUAUGAUCGAAGAUGCCUGGGGCAAGGAAUGAGGCUUCCGAGAAGGAGAAAUCUUGGCACCAUUUGGAAUUGACCAGGACUAUCAAUCUUCCUUUACUUGUAGUUGGCACCAGAAGAUGAAGCCCAAGUGAACCGAUAACCAACGUGCCUUAAAUCAUCUAGCUCUGCCUAGGCUAAGCAUUGCCCAAACUCAUCAAAAGAAGGAAUCUAGGUAUCCAAGUUGCCUACCCGGUCCAAAGGAUCCCUGAUGGCAUUGAAAUCCCCUACCACUAACCACACUGAAUUUAGCAUUGUGACACUUGAACUAAUGAGCUCCUCCCACAACGGUUGCUGAGAUAUGUAUGUAUGCUUCGCAUAAAUAACCGAGAUUGCAUAAUCCGAGCCAGAAUUUAGAUACUUCAGCGUGCCAUGAAUCGCUUGAGCAUUGGCCGAGAAAACAUCAAAAUUAAUGAGAAAAGGUUCCAUCCCACCCAUAUUCUCCCUCUAGGGGAGUAGUCAUAAUUAUUCCACCAAUUCCAACCUGUUAGAAGACUAGAAGAAAUGGACAGGAACAACGACACUAGAACUUUGAUUUCCAACAACCCAACAAAACAAAAAUUAUAUGUGGAGAAGAAGUUCUAGACUUUAGCCUAUCUAAGGAGAUUCACUAGCCCCUUAAUAUUCCUUAUACCUAUGUACAUAUAUAAAUAGAUACAAGGUAGGAAGACGGUUACCUCCGCUUGCCCAAAUGUCGCCGGCUAGUCCCUAGUUUAAGUGAGUAGUAGAGUUGGGGGAGGGUUUUGUGCCUUGUCCUGCUGUGACACUAGCUUCGCCCCAGCAUGAUUAGAUUUCGGAGCUCAAGAGCAUUCUGGGACUUGAUCAUCUUUACUUAUGUCACACCCCGAACUUCGAGUGCACACACAUCCCUCGGUAGUCAAUAAAAAUGCGACGUCCUAAGAUGCAUCGUCGACCCAUUUCAUUUUACUGCACAUGCGGAAGCAUGACAAAAAUCAAUCCCCAGACAACACAAAUAUGGGAUAAAAAAGUAGGACCACAAUUUCACAAAACUCUUUUUAUAAACCAACUAGUUUAUACAUAGAUGCCAACACUAAGGUUUAUGUACAUGAGGUCUAUCUCCAAAAAAAAACUACUAAGCCACUUAUGCUCCUGACCUUUCUGCCUUAAGCUCCGAGUUCUUCACACUAGGGACUUGAAAAUGGUAACCCACGACGGGGUGAAAUAUAAAUCUCAGUAAGGUCACGCCCUAAACUCCAAUUAGGAAGAUAAUAUACCUAGGGCGUCCUAAUCACACAGCCACAUAGCCACACAAUCAAUGAGACUCGCCUCGCCUCAGUCCUUUAUUGCACGUCAGCAUAAUUCAUAUCACAAAUGCAUAUAAUAAAUGCACACAUCAAUUGAAAUGUCUUACACAAUUCAAUUAAUCACAGGAGUCUCGAUUAUAAGGCCAAAUCGUUACGACACGUCCAUUCUAUGCCAUACAAUUUCAUCCCAUAAUCAGGCAUGGCUAAAUCAUUCAUUCAUGUGUUCUAAUUGAUUACGGCCACAUAGGCACGAUCUACCCGACACAUAGCGGUCUUCCGGUGCAACCAGGCGUCGUCUUGCACCAUCAAGAAUGGAAAUGUCUACCUCAAGACGGCAUUCCACAUAGGAGCAUCGACCUAACCUUUACUAUGACUGGUAUUCGUUGUCAAUGGCUUUUCAUAUAAGAGCAUUGUCCACCUGACGCACAUUGGGUGAUGGGUUCUCAAAACCAGCACACGACCAUCCAACCCCGACCAAGAACAUUGUGCAUUGCACUCAAACGCCUCAAUUAAAAUGAUGUGCUUGGCUUAUUUUCUUCAUAUUAAAAACACUUAGUGAAAAUAGUUGUGUAUGGGUACACGAUCAAAUCAAACCGGAAAAAUCGAUAUCAUUCCUUUUAAAAAUCUCACUAUUUAAUAUAGUACCUAAAAAUAUUUUCGGUGUCAAAACUUGACACCCAGUAUUUUCUGAUUAAAUACCGAAAUCUCAUAGUUUUGGAAUAAUAAUUUGAAAAUUAACACUCAGCACCAAAUUGCGCAAAGCAACACUCAAUUGCAUAAUUCAAUAACACCACGACAAUCAGCAUGAAAUUCCGGUCACCGACUAUCCCGGUAUAAUUUCUAGAAAAAUAUUAAAUAAUUAAAUAAUUUACCUAUAAUUAAAUAAAUUACAAAAUAAAUAAAUUAAAGCAUUUAAUUAAAUCAACCUAAACUAAUCAGGCUAAUUAAUCAAACCAACAAAUAAAUCUAACCAUUCUAUCUAAUUUAAUCUAAUUACACUAAUUAUAAAAUCUAACUAAUUCCUAACUAAAUCCAUCUAACCAUCCUAAGCAUCUAACUAAACCUACUAACUAACAAUUACACUAACUAACUAACAUUUAUCUUACUUAGGCAUAACUAAUCCACCUUAAGUGUAAUUAGUCCUCCUAAUUAGAGUUUAGGAUAUAAACAUACCGGUUCAGCACAAAAACUAGUUCACGGCGACGAUGGCGCAACAACGGCCGAAACUUGGGUUUAUGGCGGCUCCAAAAGAGGCUUGAACCAGGCUGAAAAGGCCUUGCAAGCCCAUAGCGAACUGCUGGGCUCGGUUGACGGGGCUGAAAUGUGCGGGCUGCUGGGCUCGUGAAAAUUUGCUAGUGAUAGGAGGGGAAGAGGGGCACUACUAGUGAGAGGGGAAACAAAUGAAGGAGCAGCUUCGGGCGAGGCUUUGCUACUAGGAGUUGGCUCAGUGGAAGGAGAAGCCAUGGACAUGUGGCAACUAAAUGAGGGAAGUGGAACUUCAAGGUAACAAAAUAAAAGAAAAGAGUAGGAGCAGUUCAUGGAUAGAGAUGGGGAGUGUUUGGUGCAGCUGGGUGGUGAAAGGGAGAUGGCAUGCGGCAAAGCAGAGAAAGAACGAGCUGGCGGUCUUCGAGGCAGCUAGAGUCUUUGAAGAAAAAUUGAAAGAGAAGCAAAGACAGAAGGAAAAAAAUGAAAUGAAGAAGCAAGACUCGGCUAGUGAGAGAGAGAGAGAGUUUGUCGCACGAAGGAGAGAGGGAAGCAGCUUGGUGUGCUAGAGAAGGCACGGAUGGGGGGGGGGGGAAGUCAAAGUAAAAUGUCUAAUUAAUCAAUACUUAAUCCCCCAAAAAUCAACAUGUUCAUCCCUUUUGUCCCCCAUAAUACUUUAUAGCAUAAAAUCCCAUAAAUAACAAAUUUUGGUGCCAAAUAUUGUAGCCCCCAUACUAGCCCACAAAUUUCCUUCAAUUGGACUUCAAUUUCUUCACAAACUUCCCCAAUUUGGUGACCAAAUUUGCUGUGGAGGAAGUCUACACGGUUUCCACAAUUUCCCUUCACUAAAUAGCUCACUACAGAGGCCAAACAUCCACUCAACUUAGCCCCUCCGAAUUUCCUUUCUUUUUCGAAUCGUCCAUAUUGAUUUUCUGUAAAAAUCCUGAGCUAGCCAAAAAUUCUUCGGAGAAUGAAUUGAUGUUUCUAAAAUAAAUCGUCAAAUGACCGAACUUUCAGUUUCUGAAAUCGAGUUCAAUUUCGCGGUUAAUUUCAAUUGAACAUGAUUUUAGCGUGACUUAACCUACAUUGUAGCUUUUAGGAAUUUUUAGCACAUUUAACUUGUGGUCGAUUAUUUUCGAACCACACUGUACAUUUUCGACACAUUGGCGACUCUCGGUUGUUGUGAAAAUCUCAAGAUUUCAAAUACGAAUAUAAGGUACCAAAACGACAAAAAAAUUAGUCUAAUAUUGUUCGAUAAAAGUUUUGAAAUUAGGUGGAAUCAUCCACACUCUAAUCACAUACCUCUGUCGAAUCAACCUAUCUCUGAUCUCUGAUCGAUUUUGGCAGUGCCAUAAUGAUCCUUGCAGAUUAGCACAGCUAAGCAGUCGAUUCCUAGUUGAAUUCUUGAGUCUAUUGCGUUUAGAUUCCUUAAUGGCAUUACCUGAUAAGCUAAUUAUCUCGUGAGUGGCCAACUCAAAGAAAAGAACUAUAGGUGUGUCGAUGAAAACCCUAACUUAUUCAAUCAAAAACAAAACCUGAAAAUCAGGAUAUUAUAACUUGAGCUACUAACCAAGCUUGCAACAUCAUCCAAAUCAUCCUCCGAGCUCAUAGACGGGGCUGUGGAGGUAGUUCCCUCUUUGUUGACUUUGCAAGUAGGGACGGAGAGGGAGUAGGGGCAUCACAAAUCUUGGGUUGCACAAUUUGUCCCUUCUGGGCCGUUCGAGAAGCAAGAGUAGACUUCCCUCUUGGAGUGGGGUCACUCACAUUUACAAUCUAGUUUGCCCCCUAGGAGUCACCACUUGAGGAUUCGCCACGUUUGACACCAAGGGUUGCUUUUUCUUUCUACCCCCAACUUGUUUCCAACCCAUCUCAGGAGACCCUAGGACUAUAGAGAGGUUUGGAGCAAAAGUGGGUGUCUGAUCAAGGUUAGGGGAGCCAUCACUAGUUGGGGGAAGCCGAGCAUGUUCUCUAUCAUCCACCGAGGCCAGGGCCAAAUUUGGGACAAGGGCAGAACUUGGGCAUUGGGUGGAGCAUCAGGGAUUACCGCAAUCAGAGGGGCUACAACUGGAGAAGGUGGCCUUGCUUGUACCACGCAUUUGUGGCCGAAAGUAGCACAAGUUGGACAGGAGAUUGGCCUCCAUUCGUACUCAACCGCCACCGAAUGAGAUUCUCCAUUUAGGAUAACUUCCACCAAAUCACAGUGAAGGGUGUUUGGCAAAAAUCUCCAUGCAAACUCUUGCAAAAGAGAUCAUUUUUCAUUUGUUAUGUUCUAAGAUCCACAUAGAGAGGAUUCCCGAUGGCGCUUGCCAUCGCGCUAAUCCCUGGGGCUGACCACAUGGCAAACGGGAAAUUCUUCAGCCUGACCCAGACUAAGAUAGAGGCUUGGAGAUCCUUCUUCAACCCAAGUAGCGGGUGCCAUUGUUGCAAAACUAACAAGACCUUGGCCACUGUCAAUGGCCCAUCAUCCAGUAUUUUCCUGCGAAAAAUUGGGUCCGGGACGUGGAAGAAAUAGAAUCCUUCAUCAUUCGCCAAGACUUCAGCAAGCUUAGUUCCCCAAACAUGUUUCAAGGUAGCUUCAAUAAGCUUAAAGGGAAGCUUUUUACCCAUAUAAUACCCGACCAGGCAUUCAUGCCAUUUCGAGUCUAUAGCCUCUAGGAUUUCCUCGAACAAAGUCACCAUAGCUUUGCUAUCAACAAUGGUAGGAGGUAUAUAGGUGAAAUUAUAACCUUUCAUAGCUGAUUUGGCGACAUUCACCCAAGAUAUAAUCAGGGGAGGGGGUUUCAAGGCUGCCAUGUGACGGUCUUGGGUCUGGGGUUUGUUGGUGGGGAGCCUAGCCCGACUUCUCCCUCGUCGACCAUCUGCAAUUGUACUUGGCUAUGGCCCGCCUGGCCUUCCUUGUUAGCAGAAGGAGAGGCCCAAGGAAGCAGACAAAUGCCUGAUAUGGCUUCAACCCCAUCUCCCUUCAACAGCUAGUUGGGCCUUGCCCUUCUAGCCUUCACUUACAACAACCGAAGGAACUUGACUGGCAGUAGGUUGAUGGUUCUUAGCUGGGCCUGAAUGGCACUCAUUUGUUGUGGGCGUAUCCAUGGUUCAGAAUUGCUACAAUACAGUCGAACUAGAGAAGAAGGAGACCUACAAAACCCUAACAAGAAUUGAGCAUAAUUACCCGAGGAGGCCGAUCCAAAGAAAAUGCUACGGUGGAGAUGAAGUGGGAGGAAAGCCCAAGCUAUCCUCCAAAAAUCAGCUCCAAUGACUGGCUAGACUGCCCAAGAUCGCACGAAGACUGACUGGUAGCAUAGUUACUCGAUUGCCUAGCUAUAGAGGAAGAGUGAAUAGUACCCGCGAAAGUGCAAAUGGCUGUACCUUAUUAUGUUGUUAACUUAUUGAAUGUGAAGUCUUUACUAAUUAGGAAUUUGGGUGACUGAUUAACAAUCUAAAUAUUAUAAUUUAUAACUUUUUCACUCUUAUUAAGUAGUCAAGGAAUACACAAUUCUUUUCCCUCAUUUUCAAUUAUUCUCAUGCCUCCAUCAUUGUGGCUUAUUGGACACCGUACAAUUGGACUUGGAUAAUAGAGCCUUGAAAAGACACUCUUGGAAGGAAGGACCUUACAUUCUAUGGAUACCAAUUCCCACCAAUUUGGUAGUGCAAGUGAGAAUAUAUGAGUUGGUACCUAUGCUUGCAAUGUGAUUGUUAAGCCUUGAUCUAAAGCUCCACCUUUUACUCGGCUUCAAGAUAAUUUGUCUGUUUGAGCAUCUCAAUGCCUUAUAGUGUUGUCAAAUCGGUGCAUCCAAAAUAUCAGUUAAUUAGGAAUUUGGGUGACUAACUGCCAACAUGAACACUGUAUUUUAUUGCAUUUCCAUUCCUGUUGCAAUGCACUCUAUUCCCUUGCUACAAAAACCUUUAUGCCUCGAUCGUUAUCGUUGUGGCUUAUCGGAUGCUGUUCGAUUGGAAUUGGGAAAAAAAAAAGGCCUCAAAAAGACACUCUUGGAGGGCCCUUCUAUUCCUCAAAUCAAUCAUUACAAUUCAAUUGGAAUUGGAUAAUAGAGUGUCGCGCCAGGCACUUCUAUUCCUUAUAUAACAAUCCCUACAAGUCUAGUUGUGCAGGCGAGAUAAUACCCACCGUUAAUUGUUACCUGUGCUUGCAAAUGUGAUUGUUGAGUCUCGAUCUAAAGCUCGACCUUAACUUUUAUCUUAGCAUCUUGUAGCAUUUUCAACACGUUGAAUUUGAAAUCUUUGCUCAAAGGGAAUUUGGGUGACUGAUUGCCAAUGUAAACACUACAGUUUACAAAUUUGCACUCCUAUUACUUAGCCCAGAAAUAUGCACUAAAUUUUCUCACAACUCUAGGAUAUAAUCUCUUAAAUGAGUAUGUGCAAGACAUCUAGAUACUCGCAUGCUCAAGCAAUUAGUAGAUUCCUUCUCCGCAACUCCUUUGGAAUAUGAUAUAAUUUAUAUCAUUAACUAAUCUAUUCUCGACGGUUAGUGAUAUGACUGGCCAUCCGUCUAGAAGUCCCACGUCUCCCGUCACAAACCUAAAAGCAGAAAUAUUUAUUAAGACUCAACAAAUGAAGUUGACCUACAGGGAAAUAAUUAAAGAAGUGAAUUUCCAUACGGAUUUGUGGCGUACCAACAACAGACAGAGAUGUCAUUAUACAGCAAGAAAUGCGCAAGAAGGAUUAAUUUAAGAGUAACAGUAACACUAUUCUAAAUAGCAAGAGAUCCAUGCGUUCUUUACUUGCUGGGGGAAUUUGACUUUGACCUAAAAUAAAGCAAAGAAAUAAUCUUAACAUUGACGUGGAUUUCCAUAAAGAUGUAAAGAAAUAAAUAGAUGGAUGACGAAGAGUCACGAAGUAACGUGGGGCUUAGAUUAUCAAAAAGUGGAAAAAGAAUGAAGAAAUAGAAUCCCGUGUCCUUGGUUUUUAGCAUGCCCCCACCGCUAUAACCCGAGCGCACAAAAACAAAUAUUGAGAGAGAGAGAGAGAGAGAGAGAGAGAGAGAAUGGUGAACGCAAUCAAGCUCUCCCAGCCCUUUUUGCGAGCGGCAAUGAAGCUCGCCGGCAUGAGACCUUGAAAAAUCGAGGUCGAACCCGGUACCAUCAUGAACUUCUGGGCUCCAACCCGAAUUCCAAACAAAAACAAGAAUGCGGUCGUCUUCCUUCACGGCUUUGUCGGUGACGGCAUGAUCACAUGGCAAUUCCGGGUCCUUGCACUUUCGAGGAAGUACGCCAUCUACGUGCCGGACCUCCUCUUCUUUGGUGGCUCUGCCACUGGCGACAGCCGCCGGACGGUGGACUUCCAGGCAGAAUGUGUGGCGAAGGGGCUGGCGGCGCUUGGGUUGCAGCGGUGCACUCUGGUGGGGUUCAGCUACGGUGGGAUGGUGGCGUUCAAGUUGGCCAAGUUGCGACCCGAGCUGGUGGAGUCGGUGGUGGCCACGUGCUCCAUACCGGCACUGACUGAGUCGAUAAGCAAGGAGUGCUUGCAGAGAGUGGGGUUUCCGAGAUGGUCAGAGCUUUUGUUGCCUAAUUCUGUAGAUGGGGUGAAGAAAUUGUUUGAAAUUGGGAGUCACGAGUUGCCCAGAAUCCCCUCAUAUUUUCUCCCCUGCUCGUGUUUUCAAGGACGGUUUAGAAGUACGAGCUCCAUAGACUUUUCUAACUAACUCAGGCACAUGAACACCUUGAAACUCAUUGGUUCGUACCACGCACUCAAUUGAAUAUUCUCGCUUUCAUACUAAUCUGACCAAGUUACUAUUGGAAGCCAAUCCUCCUAUACAUAUAGUCUCCUUUAGCUUGUGUAGACAUCUUACAUGACCAAGUUUCAAUAUGAGAUUUAUAUCUAGCAACUAGCAUUGCUAAAGAAAAAAGGAGGUGGAUACAUAAUAAAAAUUUUGGGGGAAAAUUACACAAAACUUACCCGAAGGUUACAGCAUAAUAUAUUUACUCCGACAAAAGAACACUGCAAGUGCCACAACUUUGGCCAAAGGGACACUUAAGUGCCAUAGGUACAUUUAAGUGCCAUAUUCGAAGAAAAACGAAGAAAAACGGAUUACUUGAGUGCCACUCCGGCCAAAACGCCAACGUGGCGUUUUUCCGGUGAAGCGCACCCAAAACGACGUCGUUUUGCACGCUGACGUGGCCAAAACGAUGUCGUUUUGGGCUAACCUGGUAAAAAAAUUUUAAAAAUUAAUUAAAUUAAAUUUAAAUUUAAAUUUAGUUAAAAUAUUUAAAAAUAAUAAUUUUAAAAUUAAAUUUAGUUAAAAUAUUUUUUUUAAUAAUUAUAAAAACUUUAAAAAAUUUAAAAAAAUUUAUAAAAAAAAAAGGGAAUAGGGGUAGGCGGCUGAGAGCCCUCAGCCGCCACCGCCAUCGCUGACCCUUCCCGGCGACGGCGGCUGAGGGCUGAUCCCUUAGCCACCUCCCCCCGCGUUGCCUUUUUUAAAAAAUUUUUAAAAUUUUUUAAAAUUUUUUUAAAAGUUUUUAAACUUUUUUUAAAAUUUUUUAAUUAUUUUUUUAAUAUUUUGACUAAAUUUAAUUUUAAAAUUAUUAUUUUUUAAUAUUUUAACUAAAUUUAAAUUUUAAUUUAAUUUAAUUUUUUUCCACGUCAAUCCAAAACGACGCCAUUUUGGCCACGUCAGCAUGCAAAAUGGCGUCGUUUUGGGCGCGCUUCGCCGGAAAAAUGCCACGUUGGCGUUUUGGCCGGAUUUUGGUCGGAGUGACACUCAAGUGAUCCAUUUUACUCCAAUUUUGGCACUUAAGUAUACAUUUCGUAAGUUAUGGCACUUAAGUGUCCAUUUGGCCAAAGUUGUGGCACUUGAGGGGUCCGCACGUGUAUUUACUACUGAACCUUCAAUUCUUACUCAGUACCUCAUCAACUUUUAUUUUAUUUUAGUUGUUAACCUUUUGUUAUAUUUUCUGUUAGUCAUGACUUUAAAGGGAAAAUAUGUAUUUUCAUCUUCUUUCUUUUUUUAAAUAGACAUCUUUCUUUUACCCUUGAUUUCCGUAGGAGUAAAACAAAUAAUAAAGGAAAUUUAAAAGCAAACAAAUUAACUAAAUUGUUAAUAUAAAAAUAAUAAGUUAUAACAACAGUAAUACCAAAAACUAAAAAUUAUUAAGAUUUUAUGAAAAUAUUGAUAGAACUAAUAAGAAACUUAAGAAAAAAAGAAACUUAAUUAAGUAAACCUGGAAAAGUCAUGAGUGACAAAAAAGUUAAAUGACCAAAAAUCAAAUAUUAACGGUCAUAAUUUUUUAUCCAAAAAGAUUUAUCGGGUCAAUUCAAAAAGCUAGUUUACAGUCAUCUGGGCCUCAAAGUCCGUCAUUUAAUUGUGUUUCAGGGCAUCUUUAUAUUUUUAUGUCUAUUUUCCUUGUUAACUUAGGUUUUUCCUAAUUUUUUAAAGGGAUAAGUGUUCCAGAAGUCCUACAACUUGUCACGAAAAUGCAUUUUAGUCUUCAAACUUGUAAAAAGUGCAUUUAAGUCCUAAAACUUGUCAAAUUAUUUCAAACGAGUUCUAAGAUCGACGCCGUUAGCCUUUUCCGUUAAAAAUGCUGACGUGGCAUUUUAAAUAAUUUUUAUUUUUCACGUGAAUUUUUUAAAUUAUUUUUUUAAAAAUAGAUUUAAAAACUAAAAAAAUCAAAUUUAUUCAUUUUAUCUUAUUUUCACCAAAAAUUUGAAAAAAAGUUAAAAUAUUUAUUAAAAAACAUUUUAAUUAAAAAUAUUUUUUUAGUUAAAAUAUUUAUUAACAUUAUUUUUUAAAUUUAUUUUUAAAAAUUUUCUUUUUAUUUUUUGUUGAAAAUAAGAUAAGAAUGAAUUUAAUUUUUUAGUUUUAAAAUCUAAUUUUAAAAAAAUGGAUAAAAAUUAAUUAAAAAAUAAACCUGGAAAAUAAAAAAUUAUUUAAAAUGCCAAGUCAGCAUUUUUAACGGAAAAUGCUAACGGCAUCGAUAACACUCAGUUGAAACAAUUUGACAAAUUUUAGGACUUAAAUGCACUUUUUGUAAGUUUUAGGAUUGAAAUGCAUUUUCGUGACAAGUUGUAGAACUUCUGGAACACUUAUCCCUUUUUUAAAUUCUUUUAUGGUCUAAGGUUAUUUUCGGGUUUUCCAACAGUAUCUUAUAGGGUUAGUGGUAAAUUUACUUGAUCUUUUCGAUAUUUUAGAUAGCUAUCAUCAUAUUCACAAAAACAAAAGAGAUCUCUCUCCACAAUUAUGCUCGUAAGCAUGUGGACCUGAGUGCUAGUUUGUAGAUCCUUUGAAUCCUAAUUUAUCUAUGGCUUUGUUGCGCCACUAAACUUUGAUUAGUACGAGAGGUGUCAAUUUGGUGGAUGUGCACAUUCACCAACAAAUACUCCAGCAUAAUCUUGGUAAGAAAACCUAAUGCAGGUUUUUGACAUGUAUAAUUAAUAUGAAGGGUAAGUUCUCGAGCAAGUCCUCACGUUGUACUCUACAGAGCAUGGAUAGAAUAUGAGCCAUCAAAUGAUGGUCCCUUUGGCCAUCUAAUAAGAAAAUGACGUAUGCAUCCAUCUCUAACUACUCCUCAAACUCACCUAACUAUAAUUACCAUCCUCUCUUCUACCUAAUGUAAGAGUUUUUCUAAUUGUGGACUACAUUAAUUGAUAUUGUAAUUUACCAUUUAACGUUUACUGUUUUACGGGGUUUGGUCUAAGUGAGAUAAAAUGUUUCUUAAUUAGUCUAAUAUGGGUUGGCUAGUGUGGACCAAGUUGAGCCUAGCCCAUAAUGAGAGAGACUGAUUGGAAACUCUAUAAAUAGUGCUCAAGUCUCUCCUCUAACCCUUAUUUUCACAUGUAUCAUCACCUAAGGGGCAUUUACCUAACGCUACACGUGAGGGGGGCCGCUUCAUUGAGCCAGUGAUACAGAGAGCAAUAGAAGAGAAGGACUUGAUGCGUGGAUCCCCUUGAUAUGUGGGUAAUCCCUUUUCUGCUUCCGCUUUAUGUUCCAUGGAUCCCAAAAUAUGUGCAUUAAUCUUUCUACUCAAUUAUGCAUGAUCUUAUUCUAGUUAUGAAGAUCUUGGGGUUGCGCAAUUUGCGUCCUACAUGUGGUAUCAGAGCAACCGUAACCCUAGAACUUGAACGCAUAAAGUUUUUGUCAUAAUUUGUGAUUUUCGAGAUUUUUUGUUUAAUAAAAAUAAAAUUAAAUCACAAAUUCGGACUGGGCUCGACGAGACGAGCAAGACGGUCGGUGGCGCGUCACCGGAGGAGGCCGCACGCUCCCCCACGCGCGGCCAUGCGCCCCUGGGUGUCGAACACGCGCCGCGUGUGAGCUCCACGCACCGCGCACUCAGGCGUCGCGUGUGGGCGCAUGGAGACUCCGAUUGGCCCGUGUCUGGUAGCGUUAGAUUCGUAUGAUUUCCCUCUACGUCGUGAUGUAUUUAUUUUAUAUUUUUGAUUAUUUUAUGGAUGUGAAAAUACAUACAAAGCCCUAAAUACGUGUAUUUUUAGUGUAUUUUUGUGUAUUUUUCUUGUAUUUUCUGUGAUUUUGGAAAUACAAGUGUUGGGUUACUAGUAUGUUAUCACAUAAACAUUAUAAUGGUGUGAUUCAUUCAUAAAAAUUAAAAUUUAUUGUGAAAUAAAGCUGGCUUAAUGAGAUACAACCAUUAUGGGAUAAUAUUUGAACUAUGUAUUGAGGUCAUGAGAAAAAAGAAAAGUUAUGGAACUUUUAUUGCUCAAGCAUAGUUAUUUAUACGCAUCUUGAUGUAUUUUUGUUUCUUCUGAUAACCUUUGAAUGAUAGACGUUCUUAAGAACUCGUGACCAAACCGGUUGUACUGAUUAACAUAUCUGUUGUAUAUGGGUAAUGGAUGUCAAUUAAGUUACUGCAUAUUAUAUAUGAACUCAUCUGGUCACUUGUUAAUAUCUAUCAAGUUGAAUAUUUUUGUGAUUAAGAAGUAUGAUAGCAUUUACACAGAGCAAUAGUAUCUACUGUUAAAUUUUAGAUAUUUGGUUCUCUGGUUUGACUCAAUUAAUAGGCCAUUGGUUGAUUACAAUGAUAAUUUGUUACUUGAAAAUUGGCUAAUAAAUCAGUUGUUGGCCUUAGAGUUAUUUUUUGCCUUAUGAACUCAUGAGCAAUAGUGAAUCAGCUGCCAAGUUUUAUUUUGAUCCCAUGUACCCUGUAUUGCUAUGAUGUUAACUUGUAAUAGAUCAUCUAAAUCAGCAUUCUUUUUAUGUUGUUCUUGUACUAUGUAAUCGGGGUACAUAAAAGAUGCUUUCUUCUCUGUUAUGAGAAGUUUUUGGUGUUGUUGUGCUUGGUGAUCUCAUUGGAAUAUGUAUUUCAGGUUUGCUAUAUAUAUAUAUAUAUGAUUAAUUUUUAUUAAUGAAUAAAGUAAUGUAAUUAGCAUGAUAUGUGAUUUUGGUGAUAUGCUACCCCUAUCACUAAAGUUAAAAUCACAUAUAUAUGGAGUAUGUGAGAAGUAAAGUUUAUAUCCCUAGUAUGAGAGAAUUUCAAUGAUUUAAUUGAGUAGUCACUGCUAAAGUGGCACGCUUGAUUGGGUUUGAGAAAUUUCGGUCUCGUAUGAUGAUUGAGUUGUCUCCUGAUCUAAUGCGUAGUCAUACUCCCAAAGGAGGUGAUUGUGUAUUAGUUCAUGGAGGGAUACAUGAUAAUGUGGUGGAGGAGUGACUGAUUCUAGUGAUUCAUAUACCCAAAGGUGAUGAAUUCACAAAGAAUUGGAAUAUAUUCUCAUAACCGCUAUCAUGUGGGGAGUGUACAACUGCAUGUCAUAUAUUUUGUCCAAAGGUGAUUAUAUAAUUAUGCGUGUAACUCUCUGGAUGUGUAGUUGUACGUCAAGUUACACGGUACUCACAUGAUGCUAAUUAUAUAUAUUGCUUGGUUUUCAGUUACCUUUUCUUGUACGUCAAGUUACACGGUACUCACAUGAUGCUAAUUAUAUAUAUUGCUUGGUUUUCAGUUACCUUUUUUGUAAUUAAUAACUUCAUUAUUAUUGAGGUUUUUACUGCUUCAAAUUUUAAGUAGUGGACAUAUGAUUUGCUGCUUAAGAAAAGAGGAAUAGAAGUUGUUUACUGUCCAUGAGAACACUUGAAAAGAGGUUUGCCUGCGGAUUGCACUGCUAUAAGAUGAUGGAAGCCUUAGUAGCUUGUAAUUAUGUCUUGUCUAAUAUCGAAAUCAUGACACAUCUGCAAAGAUUGUGUUUAAGUACAUAUACAUCUUGUAUAUGGUUAAAAGGUUAUUUCCAAAAGUUUUCUAUUUAAGGAAAAUGGCCAUGAUAAAGAAUAAAAUAAUUACAAUUAAUCUUAAAAGGUUGUCAGGCUUAACAGUGGCUAUGAGUAUUUUGGCAAGUAUGACAAUGCGAAAUAGCUUAAAGGGUCAUUUGUCAAAUAUUUGGUAGAUUCUAGGGUGGUAACUUAAUUACUAUACCUGAAAAUCCUGACAAAAAUAUUUGGCUGAAAGGCAUAAAUGCACCAUAUUGAACAUGGUGAUGAGUAUGAUUAGUAAGACUAAUUUAUUUAGUCUUUUAUGAGCUGAUAUUUUGAAAGUAACAUUUUCACAUACAAAAAUAGUUUCAUAAACUUCUUUUGAGUUAUAGACUAGACAUAAAUUACUUGAAUCAUAUGAAAUUUAGAGGUGUCAUGCGAAAGUGAGGUUAUCUAAUCCAAUAUUAAGUCCGUUGGAAUUCGGAUCCACUCGGAAUUAUUUUGUAUAUUGUCUAAAUUGUUAAAUGAGUAUUGAUUUUAUGACCCUAAAGAAGGUGCAAGAAUUAUGGAAUCACAUACUUUAAAGUUUCUAAAGAUUAACGUAAUUGUAGAUGAUAACUUAUCUCAGACUAUUAAAAAUAAUAGUAUGAUGUAGGUUACUGCAUUUUUGUCCUUACCUAUACAUAUAAUUAUGGAAUCUCCUAUACCAUAAACUAAACUUAUUGAGGUUCAAGGUACUAUUCUUGAUAUAAUUUAUUAUGAAAUUUCUCAAGUGCAGAAUGAAGUGGUUGCAGCUUUAUUAAGGAGAUUUGUUAGGGAAAAACGAUCAGUUAUAUCAUCAGACUAUAUAGUCUAUUUGUGAGAGCAUGAUUACAAUAUCCACUAUAUGGUUGAUGUAAUGUCAUAUUUAUAAAUGUCGUUUUUUGUUCUCAAUCAAGUAUAUGAUUAGAUAACAUAAAAGGCGAUAUAUAAUAUGUGAAACAUCAUAAUAUUUGGAAACCAACUUACUUGCCUAAAGAUCACUAGUUGCAAAUUGGCGUACAAAAUUAAAAGAUUUCAAAGGAAAAUUGUGAAGUUUAAAACUAAACUUGUAGCUAAAGCUUUCACUCUGAAAGAGGGGUGGAUAAUUUAUCGUGAAGAAAUAAUUAUUUCUUUCUACUAUUUUUAAAUAUUCUUUUAGAGUGAAUGUAUCAUUAAAAAUUUAUUUUGAUAUGGAGUUACGCCAAAUAGAUACAAAAUCUAUAUUAUGUAAUUUGAGGAUUUUGCAGCAGAUUCAAAUAAAUUUGUGUGUAAACUGAAAAGUCUUAUUCAUAGUCUUAAGAAAGUUUCCAGACAAUAUUAUUAAAGUUUCAUAAUAUUGUUAUUUUGUUCUAUUGAGAACGAGAUAAUUCAAUAUACUGCAAAGUCAGUGAGAGGAAAUUUAUUUUUCUCAUAUACUAUGUACAUGAUAUUUUGUUUACAAGUAGUGACCUUAAGAUAUCUUUUAUGUUUUGUAUUGAGGUCUGUAAAGAUUGUUUUUGCCAUAUUAUAUUAGAUUUUCUCGGAGGACAUUUGCUGAUUGUAUAUUCGAAAUAUUCAAUAUACAUCAUUGCAGGCUAGGAAUUGCUCAUGUUGUUAAAGGUGAUUGACUGAAUCUAUCACAUUGUCCUUAUUUAGAUAUUGAGAAAAUCUCAUUAAAGAGUGUAUCUUGUGUCAGUGCACUUAAAAGUAUAAUAUAUGUUCGAAUUUGCACUAAACUAAAUAUUGUCUUUGUGACGAGACUUCUAGGCAGAUAUCAGUCAAAUCCAGGACGUGAUCACUAGGUUGCUGCCAAGAAGGUUUUGAGAUACUUAAAAAGACAAGAAAUUAUAUGCUAAUUUACAGACAUGUUUAAUUUUUGCAUAUAGUGGGUAUUUAGAUGUAAAUUUGGUUGUAUGUUAUGAUGACAAGAGAUCAAUAACACAAUACAUAUUUAUGUUAGCAGGAAGUGCAGUAAAUAAAAUUCUAUGUCAUCUUCUACUAUGUAAGCAGUGCUAGUAACAUUCUUUUAGGUUGUUACUUGGGCUAUUAGGCUCCGGAACCUCAUUAAGGAGUUGACCGUUUUAAUUUUAUGAAUUAACCCCAUAUGAUUGUAUUGAGAUAAUAAAUUUGUAGUAUUAUUUAUUUACUGCAAAGGUCUCAAGGGGUCUAAAUAUAUGGUGGUCAAAAUUUUUUACCAAAAGGAAGCGGUACAGUAAGAUGACAUAAUAAUAUAAUAUAUUUUCACAGAUGAUAUGGUUGCAGAUCCACUAAUUAAAGGCCUACGCCCAUGUGUAUUUAAGUGACCUGUCAUUAGUAUAAGCCUAGAAGCAUCAUGAGAUGCUGUUGUUUAGUGGGAGUUAUUUUGGCUUUACUCUAAUAAAGAUUUCAUCUGUGUUCGUUACACUUUGUAACGGUUUGAUAUGUAUCAACUUUUGCAUUCAAUAAAAUAUUUUGGAAUGCGUUGUUAUUAUGUUGAAUACAUAUUGAUAAAGUCUCAAGGAAUUGUAUAAACCUUGAGUGAAGGUUAGGGGCAUUCGGGCAUCCGGUUAUUAGCCUUGUGCAUAUGUCUUGUGAUACAUAAAGAAAGGUUAACCGUAAGGACAAGACAUAUGUGGGUUCAUUGGAACCAUAAAGCAUUCUCUAGUGGAACAAGUUUUUGUGACACCUAAAGUUAAGAGAAUGGUGACUGACAAAUGGGAUCUCUCUAUGAAAGAUGUUAUCCAUUUGCCACACUAUCAUAUUGAAUCCAUAUCAAUAAAGUUGAGAACAUUCAUGACCAUGGAAGGCUCUGUGUGUAUACAUACAGUUACCGUCAUGAUUCGGUGUUUAAGACUUUAUGGGAUAGGAUUAACUAUUAAGAAUUAUCUCUAAACCAAAUAUGCACACAUACAGUACGAUUUCAAUUAAUAUAGUCUAAGUGGGAGAAUGUAAGAGUUUUUCUAAGUGUGGACUACAUUAAUUGAUAUUGUAAUUUACCGUUUAACAUUUACCAUUUUACGGGAUUUGGUCUAAGGUGAGAUAGAAGGUUUCUUAAUUAGUCUAAUAUGGGCUGGCUAGUGUGGGCCAAGUUGAGCCUAGCCCGUAAUGAGAGGGAUUGGUUGGAAACUCUAUAAACAGUGCUCAAGUCUCUCCUCUAACCCUAAUUCUCACAUGUAUCCUCACCUAAGGGGCAUUUACCUAACGCUACACGUGAGAGGGGCUGCUUCAUUGAGCCAGUGAUACGGAGGACAAUAGAGGAGAAGGACUUGAUGCGUAGAUCCCCUUGAUAUGUGGGUAAUCCCUUUUCUGCUUUCGCUUUAUGUUCAAUGAAUCCCAAAAUAGGUGCGUUAAUCUUUCUACUCAAUUAUGCAUGUUCUUAUUCUGGUUAUGGAGAUCUUGGGGUUGCGCAAUUUGCGUCCUACACCUAAUCCUUGUCAAUCCACCGUUGUCAUGCUCACCGCCACCUAGUUGUCACCUUUGACAGCAUCUUUGGACAGAUUAGCAGCAUCACGACUGCUUUCAUUUCUUUCAACUCUUUCCUCCUUUUUAUAUAUUUUUACUGUUGACACCUAAAUUUUGAUUAGGCUAUUAAUUAGGCCUUAAUUUCUUUUAUUUUUCAUUUUUUAGAUAGCAACUAAUAAAUAAUUAAAACCACCAAAAACCAAAUUUUGGGUAACCCAUUGGGGAAAACCCUUAAACCCUACCCCCCCUCCUUUUUCUCCCCCCCCCCCCCCGCAUGGGCCUUAAUGGCCCAACCUACUUCUGCUCCAGCCCGGCCCCCUUUCUGCCCCUUUGUCUUCUUCCCCGUCUGUCUUCUUCCCCAACCGGAUAAGCAACAUGAACCGAAGACGAGGACGCGCACAACGCCGGAGUGGAGAUGGAGACGGCAGCAUACGAUGGAGUGGACGUGUCUUCAAUAUGAGGCGGCCUAGCUAGAGCCACCUCGAUGGAUAGGACACCGGUUAGGUCGGCGGAGGCUGUUUGGCGUGUGAAGACCGACAGUCAAAGCUCCAUCGACCGACCGACCCCUCGCCUAUAAAUAAGCCUCUCUCGACGACGGCAAGACACAGAGAAGUGGAGAAGGAUCGAGGGCUAUAGAUCUUCGAAACCUCCCAUUGAGAGACUUCAAAAAGGGGGACCGAGAACGUGCAAGUCAAGAUCCAGGGACAACUGACAUCUGAGCGCUCACGGCCAACGAAGGAGAGGGUCGCGUCUGAGUGAGAGGAGCCAGAGAGAGGAGGACCAAAUCUGAGAAGCUGAGGACCCGCUGUCGCAACCGUCCCUGCCCCGUCGCGUCUGUCACUCUAGGCAGCCACCUCCACCACCAACGACGCCGUCUCACCAACCAACAAUGCCGUCGUGCCAUACCCUCUCCAUAGACAGGUAUCAACCCUGCUUGGCCAUCACCAUUUCCGCUAGAAACCCUCAUUGCUGCCUUAAGCCACCGCGGGAUCUAGUCCUCGGUUGCGCUUUGUCCGCCGUUCCCCUCUACAUCUCCACCUAUCACUGUCGCCGUGCCGCCACACCGCAUCCUCCUAACGCUAAUGUCCUUUGUAUCGCCGCCGUUGUUGACCCCGUUCCGUUGUCCUAGCCCCUCCGUCAGUGCCGCGUCCAAGCGAAAAAGGGAGGAGGCGUCGCGUUAGGUCAUGACCUGGGUCGGACCCGGGUCGGUGACGGGGUAGGGUUUCCACUUAGGGUUGAUUUCAUUCAUGUGGGUCGGGUGGUUAUUGGGCUGAAGUUCUUUUAACGAAAAUGGGUCAAAUCGUUUGGGUUUUUUUUUUUUUUUGGUAAAUCAAAUCGUUUGGGUUUUUGUGUUUUUUUUUUAUAAAAAAACCAAAAAAGGGCCAUUUGCGGGCUCGUCCAGGCUAUGGGCAGACGACCCCGAGUCAGUCCCAACCUGGGAACCCGACCCAGGUCGUUUUUUUUAUAAAUAUAUUAAUAUUUUAAUAAAUAAAAUCCAAAAAUCCAAAAUAUUCCAUAUUUUUCCAAAAAAGUCAAAAAAGUUAGAAAAGGCCAAAAAAAUGAUUUAAAAUUAAAAAAAAUGCUUUUUAUGUCCAAAAAAUGAGAAAAAUACCCAAAAANNNNNNNNNNNNNNNNNNNNNNNNNNNNNNNNNNNNNNNNNNNNNNNNNNNNNNNNNNNNNNNNNNNNNNNNNNNNNNNNNNNNNNNNNNNNNNNNNNNNGAUUUAAAUUAAGAUUAGGUCACCGAAAGGGUAUUAGUAAUUAACUAGUGUAAUCAAGUCCUGAUCCUAAUUUCUCUGGUUGCGCAAGAGCAAGUAUUUCUCCUAAUACUUCGCUUGAGUUUAUAACCGACCCACCCCAAACCAAUUAGUGGCGACUCCGUUUUAAAAUUGACUUAUAGGUUAAAAAUUUGAACAAUUAAGUCAUGAAUUGAUGGACUUGGGAGAGUCUGGGCUAAAAUAGACUUAACCGAACCAUUAGCCUCUGCAAGGUGCCCGCCCUGAUCGGGCGCUAAAAAAAAGAGAGGUCACGAUAGCUUGGCGACUCCACUAGGAACAUUUGAGGAUUUAUGCCGUUUUAUCUUGUUUAAGCACUUUACUGACUUGUUUUGUUUUUUUUUCUUUAUGCAGGUCAAUAGCUUAAAUGUUUAUUUUAAUUUUGGUUAAAAUAGAUUUUUUUGUGAUUAUAAACUAUUGUUUAUGCUUUACUGUUUUAGCACUACAUAUGACAAAUACAACCCGGCUGUCGGACCUGGGCCGCCAUAGGAUAUUUAGGGUUGUGUUAAGAAAGAUACGGCUUCGAACGCGAGACUACGUUAUGAAGUUGCCUUUCUUUUCCUUGAAUUUCUCUGUCCAAGGUUAAGAGGGUACGCUGCUAACGUGAGACUACGACGGGCGGAUACCUUUUUAAUUUCAACAAACCUUCUUAGUUAUAAAUCAAGCCGCACAUAUCAUGCACAUGUCUAUGUGAUUGUCAUCAAUUUUCUCGCGUGAUGUAAGCUUUUUUCGUGUACUUUACAAUUUACUUACCUUCCUACAUAUAUUGAGCGGUCGAUGAUUAGUCUAGGAUUUAAUAUCACGGUCAUUUAAAUUCGGAAGUAAUUGUCAUAAAGUUUGAAAAAAAAAACUUUUGCAAAAGAAAUUACUUUCAGUUGAUGUUUUUAUUCUCAAGCAUGUUACAAAGUCCCUUUCUGCAAGAAUUUUCGUUUGCUUCAAAAUCGUUUGCUUCAAAGGGGAUAGAAGUUUUUUUCAAAAUUUGUUGCAAUUCAUACUUUCUUUGCCUUUCAAAUUGAGUAUCUUUCUAGUCCAUGCAAACAUGUCACAUGCCUUUUUUCAAUCAUGCUUAGGAAAUCUUCUACAUGUACAAACUUUUCAUAAACAAACAAAAGGGUAGGAUUAGGUCUUCAUCAUGGAUUGACUCCCUAUUUACGCCUUGUAUUCACACACGCUUGUUUAUUCAUGACUAGGUAAUCACGGACAACGUUCACCGAUCCAGACUCGUUCAAAAGCAAGAGCAAGAAUGGUCGAAGAAAAUGUACCAAGCCGUAUUGCCGUCAUGAAAAGUGAAAUGAAGCAAGUCUUCAAUAUGCUUCAACAACUUUCAAAGCAGAUGGACUCCAUCUAGGGCAAACUCACUCCCGCCCCGUCCUCAAUUGAGGUAUUGUUGCCACAAUCAUCUACUAGGGGUGAUCAAGGUGGAGAUACCGACGAUAAUAUGCCUGAAUUAGAGGAUGAUUCGCACUAAACCGCGAUUGAGAAAGUGAAGCCAGGCAAUUUGUCUAAAAUUGAGCACAAACGCCUCGAGAAGCUUGAGGAGAGGCUGAAACAUUUGUAAGGCCUCCAAGAUCCUACUUUGAUAGACCUCUCCAUUUAUUCCAAUGUCAAAAUGCCGGAAAAAUUCAAAAUUCCUAAGUUUGAGAAGUACGAUGGCAAUACUUGCCUUAGGGCUCAUUUGCAAAUGUACUUGGUUCGAAUGACCCAAUACGUUAAUAAUGCACCAUUAAUGAUCCAGUUGUUCCAAUCAAGUCUAAUAGGCCUUACCCUGAGGUGGUACAUUACAAAGAACAUGAAUCUCCUCGAAACAUGGAGCGAAGUGAGUGAGGCAUUCCUCAGGCAGUAUAAGUUCAUAAUGGACAUUACCCAUUCUCGUGAGGAUCUUGAGCGUACCGAAAAGAAAAAGCACGAAUUGUUCAAAGAAUAUACUAUUAGAUGGAGGAAUCUGGCCACCCAAAUCAGUCCUGAACCAACCGAUUUCGAGUUGAGAAAGAUGUUUAUCAAAACCCUCCCUUAUGAGCAUCGCAAUUAAAUGGUAACCACGAUUGCCAAAUAAUUUAAUCAACUCAUUCCAGUAGGGGAGCAAAUCGAGAUAGGGUCGAGGGAUGGUUGGUUCACUAAACCUGCAUCCACAGGCAGGUUCAGCAUGAAGAAAGAUAAAGAACCCCUGGUAGAUGUCAAUGCGACCUACAAUCAUUCUCCAACAAUUCAGACAAGUGCAAGACAACAACAAACCACCAGCCGUCAGCCAUCCCAGCGUUACAGCAACAAGAGACAAUUUACUCCUCUUCCUGGAUCUCUGUCACAGGUACUGGCAAUCCUCUGAAAGAAGAACCUCCUUUCGAUUGAGCUAAAACGACUCAAUGCUAAAAUUUUUUCCAACUAUGACUCGUCAAAAAUAUGCGACUAUCACAUGGAAGAAGUGGGCCAUUCGACUGAUGAGUGCUUCACCCUCAAGAGUCAAAUCCAGAACCUGUUAGACACUAAAGCUUUCUCAUUCUAGAGCAAUUCGCUCCCUGAUCACACCAACAAAGUAAACGUGGUAUUCAGUUCUGAAGAUAGUCAGAGCAAAAAUGUCGAAGCACAUACCGCUGACAUCUAUCAAGGGCUAGUAGAGGCCAGGUAUUAUUCAAGCAAUGAAGUGCCACCCUUAGAAAUAGAGAAAGAAGGGCUAGAUAACAUGACCACUAUGUUGGGAGACCUUUUCAUGGACACCAUCAACGAAGGACCGUAAGGGGAAAUGGGUGCAAGCCCGUUCAAGUAGAUCCCCAACGUGGGAACCUGUACAUCUUUCUUAAGUCUGGCUUGUUUUAUUUUCAACAUCAGUUCCGCUUGAGGAACUAACUUUUGAAAUCACUCUUCCAAAAUGCAAAUCCACCUAUUAAAUAAAGUUGAAAAUAUUUCGAGAGCAUGAGGCGGUAUCCCAAACUGGCCCAGUGAUGCUAUCCAACCAUGAAAAGAAAAUGCCAUCCAAGGAGAAUACUAAGUGCUGGGCUUCCUCAUGCUUUCUUCCUCCCAAGGAUAUAUACUUUUGAAAACAAAAAAUAUUUCAUUACCAAAAGCUUUCUUCGAAACAAGAUGUUAAAUUUAAUCACGUUUGUCUUUCUGACUCAUUCACUUCGUGUCUUAGAAUAUCAUCCCCUUUAAGUGUGAUAUGGGGCAUUUGAAGCUGGCGCAUCAUGUGAACUCGCUAAAUUCGAAGACACCCUGCCAAGAAAACAAGGGCAAAUAGAAAAGAUCAUCCCACUUCAAAGAAGGUAAGUUUUAUUCUCUGAAUGUAAUUUUGGAAAUGAUGUCCUCUCUAUUCUAUUUACAGGAAACGAAAAAUAGGACGUAAUAGGUACAAACAUACGGUUGAAAUCAAGCCGUCCCCAAGAGCCCUGUGCACUCCACCUCACUCUUGCCUAACUCAUUCUCAAGCCGGAGCAAUAUCUUUUCCCCACAACGUGCCUGAGCAACUAGAUGUUGUGGUUUCAUCAACGGGACUUCUAGCUUCGACAAGCCCAGAAGCACAAGGAAGGGAUCUAUUCUCUUUCUUUGAAUUGGCUACUGUCAAUAGAGAGGAAAUCUAGACAGUUGAGGCAUUCUCUAGCCCCUUAUUUCAGACGAUGACUUAAGGCCUAGAAACCUCACUUCAUGCUCCAGAAGCAUGCUUUCCUAAGAAGUGAUUGCCAUCAGAGAAUUGGAAGUUUUGAUUGUCCAUCUCAAAUUCCAUAGAAGCUUGAAGUACAUGACUUUGCCCAAUGCUGCUAAUGGUCAUAUAGUCAAAGACAGAAGAAAAUUCCACAAAAGGAAGAUGUUGAAAAUGAUUCAACAACCAUCAAUCAUGCAUACAUGGCCACAAAUGAGGAAGACCAAUCGAAAGAAAUGUCAAAUUGUGUCAAGACGAAAAGGUUGUCAUCGACAUUUAAAUAUCCCUAGGAGUCAACAAAUACAAACUCUAAGGAAGCAUUGGGAUUCAAGAACCAAGCUUAAUGGUUAAUUAGGCAAAUCAAGUGACUCGUAUUGAAUUCACCUGACUUCAUGUAAAAGAACGUGUCAUCCAGAAGCCAAUUCAGUUAAAUGAAAAAAGGAGCAAUGGACACCAUUAACGCUUUAGCUGAGUGGUGACCUAACGGAGUGAAAAGUGCCAGACUUCCCCUGAUGUCUUAGGUCUAUCCAAUCAAUUGCAAACCAAUGGAGGGUAAUGUUGUAUCGUUCCCAAUUGUUCAACUCCUGAGAGAAUUCGUGAUUGACAUGUUCUUUCCUAUCUUUUGUAGGAUCACCUAAUUGUCAAAAACAAGAAUAACAAAUCAAUGAGAGGCAUGACAAACUCUCCUAAGCAAAAUAGCGUCCUGAGUAAUCACCAAAGCAAAUGACAAAGAUCCUUCAGACCUUAAUUCAACUUUAAUUUUGGCCCUGUUGAUUGAUCAGUUUACAUCUUCUCUUCUGCAGGGGCAAAAAUAGAAAGGCCCGUCAAAUCAAUGAUCAGAUCCCCAACCUUGGUUGAUCCUUCUUGUGUCAUUUCCCUACUUAAUAAAAGCAAUCCAUCGACACCUAUUUGUGAAUAACCCUUUUGAUAUUCAAAAUUUAAAAACACUGUUCUGUCAACCUUAAAGCUACCAACAAGGUCUUUUUGAGCCAAAAUCAUUCAUUUGUUCUGAGAGUACAAACUCAACCACAUUUAAAAUGGUGCAUGCCUUUUCCAAAUGGAUUUUGCAUGAUGAUUUUGUCUAUCUAAGUUACUGAUUCCACUGAGGAUUAUUAGAAUAGACAACUAAAUGAAGAAUACAAGAUUAAUUGAGCAUACUGGAUGAGGCGCGUUAGAAUGAUGAAAGGCAAGCCAUAUCCUACACAUAGUUCCCCCAUCUAUACACUUGUGAGAUAAGUGCAGAAGAUUCCAUGGCCGCAGGGUAAAGAGUUCUCUCGUAAAUGGUACGAUAACCAAAAUAGUGACAAGCAUUUCAUUGUUCACCCCCUUCUUGAGCCCCAUACACGGGUGAAGCUUCUCUCAUACCCCCCGUCAAGAACCACCCCACACUAGGGCAGAUCGGAGGCGAAGCAUCAUCACAAGGUGAGAAGAGAGAUAGAAAUUUUCUUAUUCACACUCGCAUCAAUCUUCGAGUGUCUUUAUUGCAUAUGAACACUCACGUUAAUUUAAGUGCCCUAGAAUGACAAAAGAGCAAUUCUUUAUCUAUGCACUUGUAUUCAUUGUACAACCUAAGUGAGUCUAUAAUUUUACCCUCACAUUGAGACAAAUCAGAAGUCAUUGCCAUAGCCUAGAGUGCCAGCUGAAGAUGAAGACUCAAGAGUCUAAUAACGGUGCUUUGUUUGAACUUGCCUAGGCUAGUUCCUCCAACGACAAGAAAAAGCAGGACAUAAAAAAGUAGUGUACCUAACAAAAACAAGGUUAAUGCCCAUAAAUGAAUAACUGGAAUAAAAAUAAGGGCAUGAAAAAUCAGUGUACUUGGUAAAAGUAAGGCCAAUGCCCCCAGUAAAAAUAUAGCCAACAAAAAGUUAUUGUUGUGGUCCAUAAACCUCCAUCUGACAAGAAAGACCAGUGACAAAUGCCGAGACGAUCACCAACUCUCACCCUUUUACAUGUGAGCCAAGUCUACAUUACAUUCCCAUUGUAAAAGUCUCUUUAGACUAGGGCACUUCAAUUAACGUAGGAUUUCAUAUGUACAUAAGCAUCACUCGAAGAAGUACGAGCAAGAUUACUCCAUCUCUUUUCGCAGGGUUCUUGACUUGUAAACCCGAAGAUGAUCGUGCAACAUUUUUGUCCAUCGGUUUCGACCUUGAUGGUCCCUUUUGAUGAGUUGCUGACCAAGACUUCAUCACAGUUUCGACAAAGACCUCUCACAUUGGUGAAGUCGUACCGUUUGUGAGAAUAGUCGAACCCCUGCUGACAUGAUGACAGUGAGAUAGUGUGGUCCUUAUAAAUCCUGCAUCAAUGGUCAAGAUAGCAUUUUCCAUGAGAGUGAUCAGAAAGUCCUUUCAGACUGAGAGUCUCUCAUCUAGCAUUCUCAAGAUGUCUACAUUCUAAAUGAAUGAUGUCUUUCAAAAUCUUCUCAAGUGAAAAUCAGAUGAUGCAAAAUUGACAAAAUUAUCAUGCAUGAAUCUCAUUUGAACUCAUGAAUUUACAACACAUAUAAUCAUGUGUGCAUACUAUGCAAAUAGUAGACAUACUCUUAGAGGUCAUAGAUAUUGCCAUGUAAGCAUAUCCCUAUCCCCAUUUGUCUUAAAGUACCUACCACUGACCAGGUACUAUUUUCUUGUCACUUGACCUAUUCGAGUCAUCCCUUGAGUUUGGGUGCUUGCAACUAUCUAAUUAUCCCCUUGUCUUUGAGUACCCACCACUUGCUAGGUACUCCCUCUUAACGAUACUCGACUUGUCCAAGUUGCCCUCAGAGUAUUAAUACUUGCGACUAUUCAGGUAUCCCUUUGUCUUUAGGUACCUCCCACUGUCUAGGUACCCUCCUAUCGACACUCGACCUGUUCGAGUCGUCUUCGGAAUUUAGAUGCUUGAGACUAACCAAGUAUCCCAUCGUUCAUGAGUGCUUAUCAUCAUCUGGGUACUCUCCCUUAUCAUCAUCUGGGUAGCUACUCAAGUAUCCUGUUGUUUUCAAGCACCUAACGCCCUCCGGGUACUCCCUUCCCAUGACACUCAACCUGCCCAAGUUGUCCCCAAAUAAUAUUAGUAGAUGUUCAAGCAUUCCACUGCGUUGUGCACUUACGGUUACCCAAGUAUGCUCUCUUAUCAUCAUGACACUUGGACUUGCCUGAGUGGUCCCAUAGCAUAUCAUUAAAUACUUGUGUUCAUCCGAGUAUUCCAGUACUUUGUACACCUGCGGCUACCCAGGUGUUCUAGCCCUUUUGAGUGCAUCCAAGUAAGCCUCGUGCUACAUUUAAGUUUAUGUUGCCAAGAGGUGGGAGACCUUCACGAAUAUGCAAGGCACAUCCUCGAUAUUCCCCUUUACCAGGAGGUGAGAGACCUUCACGAAUAUGCGGGGCACGUCCUCAAUAUUCCCAUUACUAGGAGGUGAGAUACCUUCAUGAAUAUGCAGUGCACGUCCUCGAUAUUCCCCUUUACCAGGAGGUGAGAGACCUUCACAAAUAUACGGGGCACAUCCUUGAUAUUCCCAUUACCAUGAGGUGAAAGACCUUCAUGAAUAUGCGAGGCACGUCCUCGAUAUUCCCAAUUACCAGGAGGUGGGAGACCUUCACGAAUAUCCCAGGUAUGUCCUCGAUAUUCCCAAUUACUAGGAGGUGAGAGACCUUUAUGAAUAUCCAAGGUACGUCUUCGAUAUUCCCUAAUUACCAGGAGGUGAGAGACCUUUAUGAAUAUCCAAGGUAUGUCCUCGAUGUUCCCAAUUACAAGGAGGUGAGAGACUUUCAUGAAUAUGCAAGGCACGUCCUCGAUAUUCCCCACACCAGGAGGUGAGAGACCUUCAUGAAUAUCCAAGGUACGUCUUCAAUAUUUCCAAUUACCAAGAGGUGAGAGACAUUCACAAAUAUCUCAGGUACGUCCUCGAUAUUCCCCAAUUAGUAGGAGGUGAGAGACCUUCAUGAAUAUUCAAGGUCCUCGAUAUUCCCAUUACUAGGAGGUGAGAGACCUUCAUGAAUAUGCGGGGCACGUCCUCAAUAUUCCCCAUACUAGGAGGUGAGAGACUUUCAUGAAUAUCUAAGGUACGUCUUCGAUAUUCCAAAUUACCAGGAGGUGAGAAACCUUCAUGAAUAUCUAAGGUACGUCUUCGAUAUUUCCACUAACUAGGAGUUGAGAGACCUUCAUGAAUAUGCAAGGCACGUCCUCGAUAUUCCCAAUUACUAGAAUGUGAGAGAUCUUUACGAAUAUGCGAAACUCAUCCUCGAUAUUUCCACAUAUCAGGAGGUGAGAGACCUUCACAAAUAUCUCAAAUACCCCUUUGAUACUUGUGAUCAUCCAGGUAUCCUCCAAGAGUUUGUACUUGUGAUCAUCCAAGUACCCCUUCGAUACUUGUGAUCAUCCAAGUAUCCUCUAAGAGUUUGUACUUGUGAUCAUCCAGGUAUCUCUUUGAUACUUGUGAUCAUCCAGGCAUCCUCCAAGAGUUUAUACUUGUGAUCAUCCAAGUACUAUCUCCCAACAAACAGAUGCCCUGAGAAAGGUCGACGCAUCUUCCGUCAAUGCGACCGAAGAAAGAUUCGGGUCCUAGAUAUACAACUUAUUGCUCUAAUAGGUGACCGAAGAAAGGUUCGGGUCCUAGGAAGGCAAUUCCCCGACAAGGUGACCGAAGAAAGGUUCGGGUCCUAAACAAACAACUUAUUGCUUUAACAAGCAACCAAAGAACGGUUCGGGUCUUGGAAAAGUAAUUCCUCGUUAAGGCAACCGAAGAAAGGUUCGAGUCCUAGACAAACCACUUAUUGCUCCAAUAGGCGACCGAAGAAUGGCUCAGGUCCUGGAGAAGCAAUCUUCUCAUGCAGUAGGUAAGAUGACACCUGGAUACUUGCCAAAACUCGGGAUUCACACCCUAUCUCAUUCAUUCCCGGUAAGUAACUAUAGGUAUCUUCUUAUAUGUCUUAGUAUGUGUAAUGUUAUAUUACUCAUUUUCUACAUAGGACACUAGGUCCUAAAUAAGAUAUAAUCUACUACAUAUGAACGGACAAAAUUUAGGUAUCAGUUUAUCUUUGAAUGCAAUCUUUGCGAACUCACCUUAAAAAAGGGGCAGCUGUUGAUAUCUAAAUUUUGAUUAGGUUAUUAAUUAGGCCUUAAUUUCUUUUAUUUUUCUUUUUUUAGAUAAUAAUAAUAAAUAACAAAAACAACAACAAAAAUUGGCAGCCUAUCGGGGCUGGGCUAUUUUCUCCCCCCCCCCCCCGGCAUGGGCCCCUAUGGCCCGACCUACUUCUCCUCUAGCCCGCCCCCCUUUCUGCCCCUUUAUCUUCUUCCUCAUUUGUCUUCUUCCCCAAUCUGAUAAGCAGCACGCGCCGGAGACGAGGUCGCGCGCGACGCCGAAGUGGAGAUGGAGACGGCAGCAAAAGAUGGAGUGGGCGUGUCUUCAAUGCGAGACGGCCUAGCUAGAGCCACCUCGACUGAUGGGACGCCAGUUCGGCCGACGGAGGCCGUUCAGUGUGCGAAGAUUGGCGGUCGAAGCUCCAUCGACUGGCCAGCCCCUCGCUUAUAAAUAGGCCUCUCCCGACUACGGCAAGACACAGAGAAGUGGCGGAGGAUCGAGGGCUGCAGAUCUUCGAAACCUCCCAUUGAGAGACUUCAGAAAGGGGAGCCGAGGACAAGUAGGCUGAGAUCCAGGGACAGCCGAGAUCUGAGAGCUCACGGCCGGAGAGGGAGAGGGUCGGGUCUGAGCGAGAGGAGUCGGAGAGAGGAGGACCAGAUCUGAGAAGCCAAGGACCCGUUGUUGCGACCGUCGCUGCCCGUCGCGUUUGUCGCUCUAGGCAGCUGCCUCCACCACCAACGACGCCGUCACACUGACCAGCAAUGCCGCCGUGCCAUACCUUCUCCAUAGACAGGUAUCAACCCCACUUGGCCGUCGCCAUAACCGCACGAAACCCUCCUCGCCACCCCGAGCCACCGCGGGAUCUAGUCCUCGAUUGCGCUUUGUUCGCCAUUCCCCUCUACAUCUCCACUCGUCACUGUUGCUGUGCCGCCACACCGCAUCCUCUUACCGCUGCUAUCCUCUGUAUCGCUGCCGCCGUCGACGCCAAUUCACUGUCCUAGCCCCUCCAUCAGUGCCGCGUCCAAGCGAAAAAGGGAGGAGGCGUCGCGUUGAGUCACGACCUGGGUCGGACCCGAGUCGGUGACCGGGUAGGGUUUCCACUUAGGGUUGAUUUCAUUAGCGUGGGCUGGGUGGCUGUUGGGCUGAAGUUCUUUUAACGAAAACGGGCCAAAUCAUUUGGGCUUUUGUGUUUAAAAAAAAAAAAACCAAAAAAGGGUCCGAGUCGAGCCUGCAAACAGUCUGGGCUAUGGGCAGACAACCGCGGGUUGGUCCCAACCCAGGAACCCGACUCGAGUCGUUUUUUUUUUUUUAAUAAAUAUAUUAAUAUAUUAAUAUAAAUAAUAUUUUAAUAAAUAAAAUAAAAAAAUAAAAAAAUAUUCCAUAUUUUCCCAAAAAAGUAAAAAAAAUGAUUUUUUUGGUAAAGAAAAAAAUGAUUUAAAAUCCAAAAAAUGCUUUUUAUGUCCAAAAAAUGAGAAAAAUACCCAAAAAAUGUUUUUCCUCCACAAGUGCAUGAAAAAUCCCUCAAAUAUCUAAAAAGCCUCAGGGUUUAAACAAGAUUAGGUACCGAAAUGGCAUUAGUGAUUAACUAGUGUAAUCAAGUCCCCGAUCCUAAUUUCUCUAGUUGCACAAGAGCAAGUAUUUCUCCCGAUACUUCGCUUAGGUUUCUAAUCGACCCACCCCAAACCGAUCAGUGGCGACUCCAUUUUAAAAUUGACUUACAGGUUAAAAAUUUGAGCCAUUAAGUCGCGAAUUGGUGGACUUGGGAGAGUCCGGGCUAAAAUAGACAUAGCCGAACCAUUAGCCUCUGCAAGGCGCCCGCCCCAAACAGGCGCCAAAAAAAAAAAGAGGUCGCGACAUUUACAAUUUUACUUCUUUUUUCAAUAUCACAGACUCAUAAUGCUUGAAAUAUUGAUAUUUACAGAAUUGUUUUGCUGGAAAUAUGGAUAUUUAGAAUUUGAGAAAAAGAAAACAUAUAGACAUGAGUGAACUCGCAUACUCAUAAAGCGCAUAGAGAGAAAUCUCUCAAUUUUUUAUAAGUUUGAAAAGACACAAAAAAGGAGUUUUCUAAUGUUGAAAAAAAUAAAUAGAGUCUCAAUCCUGAUCCUUGGAAAUUAAACAUUUUCGAGUAACAUAAAGAAAUAACACGAAAAUAACAAAAUCCUAGGAAUGACUGCACAUUGAAGUAACACAAAUGACUACUCUAUAAUUAACGGAGAUAAUAAUCAGGCCGUUUUGAGGCGCUCUGUGCAUAUUCUUGUAUUGACCUUCCUACUAAAUUUUUACCUGUCCAAAUGCUUUGAAAAGUCUUCGGAAGUAGCAAUCCCUUUUACAAUUUUUCUUUUAUGAUUUCUUAAAGUUCAAGUAAUGCCUUUCGAAAAAGUCAAAAGAAGUAUCUGUUUACUUAUAUAGCCAAAAUAAAUAAUCCUUAGGUCUACACUCUAAACAAGAACUAUUUAGGUUAUGAUAACUUAAAAUUUCACGUGAAGAAAAUUGUUGAAGUGGGAUAAGGUACGUAUCUUUAAAAAUUCAUGAUGAAAGAGACAUUAUUUUUAUUUUUAAAAUUUUGGAUAAUUGUAAGUUAUUUAUUUAUUUAUUGGAUUGUAGGUCAUGUUUGAUUACGGAAAGGAGGCUUAGGUCCUUCCAGACAUGGACUUCACUUUGCCGGACUACUCCCAGGUUUAAUAGAAUCUUGAAGAAGUUUCCUCCUCCUUUUCUUAAAGCAAAAAAGGGUAUUCAUAUGCGUACAUCUUACCCUGUAUAGAUGAAAGUCAACAAGGCUGUGAGAUGGUUCCCGUGUUUUUAGCUCAGAUGCUAGUAUUGCUUCUUGUCAAGAGAGGGGGGGAACAUGGGGGACCUACUCUGAUGACAGCUACAUUUGAAAAGAAAAUUAGAAAUUUAUGCUCUGUUUAUUUCGUAAAAAAAUGAAUUACUUGAAAAAUAUUUUUCAAAAAAUUAUCGCUUAUUAUAUUUGAAAUAAUUAGUUAAUAAUUUUUCAUUAUCAAUCACAAUUUAUCUCUAAAUUUUUUGUCGAUAAUGAAACUAUUUUUCUUUUAUUUAUUAUUAUUAUUUUUAAGUGAUAGGAAUGAUUGUUUUUAAAAAAUAAUUGUUUUUAGAAAAAUAUUCUUUAAAUCAUUCAUAUUUUGCCAAAUAAACGCAUUCUUAUAGAAUAAGAAAAUACUCACAAGAAGAUUAUAUAACCUUAUUCCUAUUCAAUGUCGCUUAGUCACUAUAAUAGUUUAACCCAACUGUUCGACAAACGAUACACAUUGGUGCACGCAAUCACGUGACAUCGUGGAAUAAAUUCAUGUCACUUCAGCUUCCUUUAUAAUGAUAAAAACAGUCUUCAUUUAAUACGUAAAAUUCAAUUUCAUGUUUAUUUUCAUUUCUGGAUUAAUCUAAAAAAAGGUAUUCUUUGAUACUAUACAUAUUUGAGAAAUAUGAUGAUGAUAAUUGAUCUUUGCAGAAGGUCCAUCUAGUCUGUGGUGUGGACGAUAAGAUCUUCAAUGUAGACUUAGUGAAAGAUAUCAAAGAGUAACAUCCAUCUUUUUUUCUUCUUCUUUUUUCUCACCAAGUAGAUUAUAACUCUUUUUUUUUUUUAUUGUGUAGCGUGUAGCUUUACUACUGUUAUUUAUAUGUACUUAUACAGAAAGAUCUAUAUCUACUUCGUAGCUAUUGUACGGAGUCAAUUUUGUUGCAUAUAUAAAAAUACUUAUGUUGCCGUUUUAAUGCACACUGAAUUAGAAAAUAUUUUCUUUAAUCACUUUCUUGUUGAAAAUCUUCAAACUUUAUUUCAAGAAUACUUGAUUUUCUCUCACCAUUCAGUGGAAUAAUAGCUAGUAGUGUAGAAUUUCGUGAAAUAUUGGCGAACUGCUCCAUAAAUUGUAUUAGAGGGUGACAAGAUCUACGUUUCAAAUUGAUGAUUUUAUAGAAAACAAAAGUAGGUUGCCCAUAAAUCAAUGACAGAUGAGUAUGGAAAAUCAAACUUGAGAUCUCUCCCUUGAUGGAUGUGGAUAAUUUAUUUGUGUCUCAAUUUCCUGUGCCAUUUACCUUAUGUUGACAUGUCUCUACUAUCUGGACAUGUUCUCCCUCCGGCCCUCCCUACGAUGAGACGUCAGAUACGAGUGAACCAUGUUUAUAUGCAAAUCUAAUUAUAUGUUUUGAAUGUCCAGAAAACAAAAAUAAAAUACUUGGAUCAUUCUAUUGCCCCCAAAAUUUGCCAAAUGGAUGCUAGCCGUCAGGGAAUAAUCUCCCCUGAAGGCCAACCUCCUAUUGGCAAAUAUAAAAAAACAUUUGUUCUUUGUACGAUUGAUCAAAAGAUUUACAGAUUAGAAAGGAACAAAAAUUAACCUUAGGCGACUCAGAUAAAAUAGAUAAAAUCUUGCGAUUUGGUUGAGUAUGUGUCCUUAACACUUAAAGAUAUUAUUUUUAUAGUCAUGAUCCUCUAGGAAACUUUCACGUUCUAAAACUUAUUCUCCAAGUUUUGGACAUGUUCUCUAAAUUGUGGACAUACUCCCAAGUUUUAGACACGGCCCCCAUAGGUUGGUAUCGGUUUUGGACUUGUUCUUAUAAUCAUGAACUUGUGGAAUUUCAAUUUCACGUUCUAAGAAUGUUGUGGAUGUGCUCUGCACGUUCUGGACGUGCCCCGGCGAUUUGGACAUGUUUCUCAUGCCUUGGACGCGGCUAGUAUCAAUUUGUAAUACCGGGUUUAGUAUUCAUGCCAACCGGUUUGCCAUGUGUAUGUCAACUACUUGUGCCACGUGGAUGUCAACUACUUAUAAUGUACCAGUCUUCAUCCUGUGCUUCGAUACCAAUCAGUCAUGCUAGACAUGUCAAAUUUUGGUGCCAACAUUGACGAAUACCAAUUUUGAUGCAUGUUAAUCCUGGUGUUGGCCAAACCUAUGCCAAUCACAACCUGACCAACAUAAUUUGCAUGAUAUCUUAUAAUUAUAAAGUUCAUAUCAAUGCCUCACAAAUCAAAUAUCUCGUUCCUACUGAAGAAUACCUGUUUGUGUCAUUUUUAGGCACCAACACAUUCUCAAGAGCUACGUGAGAUUGUGCACGUGAUAAAAGGUUGGUAUCUCCAUGGGAGAGUUUGAUCUAUCACAUGAAAUGACUUAUCUAUAAUUUAGAAAAUGAGAAUGGCUACGCAUAUGGCGUGAUGACUCAGCCAAUUCCUGAUGAUUCAAGACCUUCAAAAGAUGCAAAAGUAACAUAUAAGGUGGUGUUCAAUGUUGGUAUAUGUCGCCUAGUAAUACUCCCCAUGUUCUAUACUUGGAUCGGUCCAUUCUCGUCAUGCUAGAAGCAUGCCAGGAUGUGCACCUUAGUUGAGCUCUCUCAUUUCAGUGAUCAAUCCCCACCUUGUCAAAUUAGGUAUAGGUCUAGUCUAUCCAAGAACUGCGCAUCUCUACUUGAAAUGGUCUCGCGCGGAUGCCAUUUAUGAUGACCCUGCCCAUUCAAGUGGCUAACCCUCCAAAAGGAAUACUCAAAGCAACCAAAUAAGAAUGUGCCCAGGUGAGUUUCUACUUAUAAAUCAUUUACUAAUACCUUUCUUAUUUGACAUGAGAUUUCGAAAUGCCAUAUAUGAAAUAUUGUAUGCAAGAUUUGCUUGUUCCAAUAGUAUUGAGUUAAUGGCCUUCAAGGAAUGUAGACACCCUCCAUAAGUGAAGUGAUUGAAGUAGACUCGGAACCAAUAAUUGUCUUGUCGAUUGACAUCUAGGUUGCUGGUCAAUAAUUAAUGUGAUCAAUGAAUUGCCCACCAAGUCGAUAGCUCCAUUCUAGAAUUGAUGACUUCUAGAAAUGCUCCAUCAUCAAAAUCAAAAUGUUCCAUGCUGAAGAAGGGCCACAUGUGUCAUAACAGUUGAAAGAAAAUUUCCCUGUGUAGAAUUAUUUUGUGGACAGCAUCAACAUCAUCAUCAACAUGCUAAAAUUUCCCGCUGUACACAUUCUUCAUCAAUACAAUAGUCGGCAAACGGCGGAAAUAAUUUCUCUUUCCAUAAACAAUUUAAAUUUCAAAAUAGAAUUUAGAAUGUCAUUUGGGAAAGUUUUACUAGCUACAAGAUCUCUUCGAAUUAAUUGAGACAUUCCAAGUACAUGCAAGGCCAUUUUUCUUACCCAUGAAGUCCUUAUAAUAAAUCUCAUGUCUUUCGGAUUCAUGCGGGUGAUGAUCUUUCUGCGAUUCAUGCUGCUCAUUGGGAUGAGAACAUGUAGUACAAAUCUACAAGGGUGGUCCCAUGUCUGCACUGAAUUGGUUUUUCUUGUAAACAAAACUAAUUUUGCAGAACCAACUCCUUGGUUAAAUCCUGCUUCUACGAGCAAGUGAACUAGUAAAUGAAGUGCACAAAAUAAAGAGUUUAGGUAGGAGAAACUACAAGCCUGAUUUACAUAUGGUCGGCUUGAUAAGCAUACAUCCUCUCUUCCAGCUCCAAUAGUUUAAUUAGACUGUAAUUCAUAUUUUAGCUAGGAGCACAUACACCGCUUUGUUACAUGUAUAGAACGAUCUACGACGCCAAACUUCGUCUAUAGCUACCUGCUAUCAAAAGCAACCACUAUUACACCCCCUCCAAUGGCUUCUCGCUCACCCUAAUAAAUAGCAUAAUACCCACACUCCCCAAAUCAUAAACUACACCGGUAAUUAUUUAUAAAGGGUCCCUCGUGCUCUUUGUUUACUCUUAAGGCAAUGUCUUUUAUUUAAGUACAAGGACUUCUCUAGUAAAUCUACAAAUGGGUUUGUACACUUCCACUAACAUUAGGAUCAGCUCUUAAUUGGCUAUAAGGAAACAGCAAAGAGACGGGCUCAAGAAUGGCGGAAAAUGCCUCAAUUCCUCUUGUUCUCAAGCACUCGCAAUCAGCUUUGCUCUACUCGAGGUUUGGUCUUCUUACAAGCCUCUUUUAUCUUGCUAGUCAAUCGGCUUUUCUAUAUAAGGCGGGUUUUGUUAUAUCUUUUCGUCAAUCUCCUUUGGCAGCGUCAGUACGCUACUUCCAAGCUUUGCUACCCCAAGUUGGUUCUACUAAUUCCAGUACUUUGCAGAACUUCCCUUACAUAACUUUGCAGAACUUCCAUUUGUUGCUGCUAUUAAAGUAGCUGUGUUAUAAUUACUAGGCCCACCAUCCGACAUCUUAGCACUACUUCAAGGACCAACUACGAUUGCAUGAUUUUUGGGUACCCGUGCGCGUCGGUGACCAAAUUAAUUUGGUACUAUCGUUCCAAAGAGGUGUGGGUCGCGUGCUUUUAUCUUUGAUGAAUACAAGGCAAUAGGAUUUGAUAAUUAUGUGUUAUGUUUUGGGAAAAGUAUUAAAAAAGUCUUAAACCUAUUAUAUUAGUAACGACUUGGUCCUAAACUUUUUAGUCGAGUUAAUUUAUUCCAAAACCUUUUUAAAUUGGUUAUAAUUUAGUCCAUCUAGCUAAUUUAGGUCAAAAAUCGCUAAUAUAAUUGUCGGUCAUACCAAUGUAGACACUGACCAUCCUAUAUGAUACAAUCAGUAUUGAAGUGGUCUUUUUAAAAAAAAUAAUUGAAUUUUUUUCCUAUCCCUUUUCUUUUUGCCGGUGCUUGCCGGGCAAUGCUUGGGCAAGGGCGAGUGCCAGCGCCGUAGACCCUUGCCUUAGCCAAGAUGGCCUCGCCACGCCUCGUCUUCAACUUCAGCGACGCAUUAGCUUUGUCUUCAUCUUCUUUGCCAUUCGUAAAACCCUAGAACCUGAAGGGCUUUUUAUCUCACUGCCAUUUUGAGUCCACCGUCACCUGUCACUGAGCGGAGACAUGCCUCGCAGUGACAGCACCUCGUCGUCCAUCAAAAUUUGACACCUCUCGUCCCCUCCUUUGCUUUUGGAUUUCCCUUGUAGUUCCCAUGGUCCAACGUCGCCACUCAUCAAAACCGGUCACAAACUCGCUUAGUUCAUCGGCUCCUUCAAACAUUGUGAGUCCGAGCAUUGGCUUGGACCGAAGUUGCUGCUUCUAAGCUCGCUGUCGCUGUCUCUAUAUCUAGCUCUAUGAGGCACAGUGAGGUCAACUAGCAAGGCCGUCCUAGCCUAGGUGAGAGUUGGCCUUGCCAAAUCGAGGGGGGGGGGGGCCUCUUCGGUGCUCCCCUUGCCCAUGUGAGGCCAACCCUCAUCGGCCAUGGCCUGUGGUCAUUGACUAGCCAUUGGCACUAGUAAAACGAAAAGGAAAAUGAAAAAGGAAAAGAAAAUAAUUGGAAAAAUUAUUUAAAAAUAGAAUAAAAUUCAAAAAUAUCAUUAAAAUAUUCACAUUAGUAUUGGCUAUAUCAUAUAGAACAAUCGGUAUCUAUGUCAAUAAUUUCUAGCCUAAUUGGUUGAAUGGACUAAUUUGGUACCAAUGUAAAAAUGAUUAAGACUAAAUUAGUCCAAUUGGAUCCCAGGAGUAGAAAAAACUAACAUUACAAAACAAUUUUCUAUUCUCUUUUUGUUCAAGGGAAGAAAAGAACAAAAAUAACCAAAAAUUGGCCGGUUAUCAAACAUGCCAUUAUUGUUCUGUUAUUUCAACUUAGGCAUCCAUCAUUUUGCUUAAUCAACGCCACAAAAAGCAGAUGUCAAGUACUUUUCUUUCUAAUCCUGAUGUCAGUCCCUAUCUUCUUUUCACACUAGAGAACUCCUUACAAUUUCUACAAAGAAAAAAAUUAUAAAUGAAAAGUCAUAAAAAAAAAAUACUCAAGAUUAUGUUAAAUAUGAUACAUUUAUCCUGAAUUUUUUUUAUAAUAUCAAAAAUUCUAAAUUAUACUCACUCUAAUAUAUUUACUCUAAACUUUGUUCUUGAGAAUAGAUUUGCAAUGGAAUAAAUAAAAUAAAAUAAAAAGAACAAAGUUACUUCCUUGUUCCCUAGAACAAUUCUAGAAUAAAGCUAGUUUCUUUUUCUUUUUUUCUUUUUUUUUCUCUUUUCUUUUCUUCUUCUUCCUCCUCUAGCUAGUCGCUAGGCUUGGUGAUGGUUGGCAAUCUCCAAUGACAAGGUCUAGCAACCUCACUGGAGCCUUGCCAACUCUCGGUGAGAUUGGCUUUGCCUUGGCUGGGUGGGGCUCGACCUCAACAAGCCACCUCGCCAUCGCUGAGUGAGGGUCAAGGUUGUCAACUAGAGAAGGAAGAAGAAGAGAAGGAAAAAAGAAAAGAGUAAAAGAACUCAUAAAAUUAUAAGAAAAAACUAAAAGAAAUUCUAAGUUACAAAAAAAUUUAACUCGUAUCAAAUAUAUUCCUAUUCUUUUUCUAUUUCAUGAAUAAUAAUUUUGUACAACUUCUAAACGCGUUCCAAUACUCAGAAACUUGUCCAUGAAACAGAAUGAGAAAAAACUAUUCCGAGCAGACAAAACAGUUACCAAAUAGGUCUUAAAGGACCUCGCUUGGAGAAUGGCACCGUUACUUUACAAGUAAGGGUACAAUUUGCCCAAUCAUUUUGUUAGGUGUAUAUCAAGCAAUCGGACCACAAAUUUGCUGUAGAAAACCAUUUAUUUUACAUGUUUGUAGUAAUUAAAGAAACAAAUCUAUUGAUAUUGAAGAAAAAGAAAUUCAUGGGGUUUUUAACUAUCCAAAAUCUCGCUGAAGAUACUGGAGCAGGCAUUGCCAUUUGGGCCGAGGGACUCAAGGUUGGGGACAUUGCUAGAGAUGGGGUUGUCCUUUAUGCUGAGCAUCUGAAGUUAGUCAAGCCAGUUCAAGGUCUUCCUUGUUGGAAGUAGUAAAAUUGAUUUAGAUCAAAGAAAAUUUUACUUGGACCUGUCAUUGUACAUGGCAUAGGCGUUUGAGUGCAAGAAUUGGACUGUGUUGGAGUGCACUCUUAAUCGACUUCAACUCUGAUGAAAAAGGAGAAAGCAACUUGCAUGAAGAUAAGUGGUGAGCCCAACAUUUAAGACAUGAGUUGUCUUAUUGACAAACUGAAGUCGGUUAGCAUGGUGAAGUUGGACUUGGCCUUGGAUAAAAUUUCGGCAACUCCCAUUCACGCUGAAGACGGCAACCAAGAGGAAAAAGUUCAACUUUACUUGUUGUAUUUUGAAGUCAAAGGCGGUGGAGUCCAGAUGAUGGAGAUGUUUAUAAUUAUAUGUACCUACGUUUGUUAUUUUGUUUUUAGAGAGAGAGAGAGAGCUUUAGGAGCAUAGAGAGAGAAACGGAGAGAGAGAGAGAAGUUUAGCAAAGCUUGUAUAGUUAAGUUUGUAAGAGUGUGAUGUGUACUCCAUAUUAAGCCUUCGCAAGGCAUUUUGAAUAAUAUAUUCUCUCUUGUGUGCUUACAUUCUCUCCUCGAAUACUUCAAAGCUCCUUUAUCCUUUUGGUUCCAACAUUUCCGUCCAAGGUGCUGAUCAAGUUCAAGGAUGAGCUUGGCAACAUGACUAUUCAUGAAGAGAGCCUUCAUUUUGAUGUGGAGAUAGAGAAGAUCCGAAAAUUUGGGUCAUUUCAGAGAAGCUAAGUUUGUGCUUUCCUCUUCUCUCUUUGGACUGGACUGCUAAACCACAAGGCCUUGGGAAGAGGGACAGUAAAGAAAGGGCAUCUACUAACAUCGAAGUACCAACGAGCUUCUAAUGCUCUUUGCCACCACUCACUUACGGUCGCGGAUGGGGAGAGCUCCAACGGUGGCAAUGGGACUAGACAACCCCCAAUGAUACGUAGCAUAAAAGAAGAAUAAAAAGAUAAUAGGGAUGUGCGGUUUAACAAGAAAAUAGAAUGAGAUUUCAAAUUCCUAGGAAAACCGGACAAGCAAGUUAUGGGAACAUGUGGGGUGGGGUCAGACUGCACCGUCGGCUUCACAUAUCCCAACAAAUAUAUGACCACUGGACGUACAUGGCGAAGAUGGACGACGCCGUGCAUAAUCAGGCUGAGAGAGAGAGUGAGAGAAUGGUGAACACUUUCAAGAUUUACAAACCCUUGUUGCGAGCGACCAUGAAGCUCGCCGGCGUGAGACCUCAAAAGAUCGAGGUCGAACCGGGGACUGUCAUGAACAUCUGGGCUCCGACCCGAUCCAAGAAGAAUGCCAACAACGGUAAAAAACCUGCCGUCGUCUUCCUCCACGGCUUCGUGGGCGACGGCAUCCUGACGUGGCAGUUCCAAGUCCUCGCUCUUGCGAGGGACUAUGCGGUCUACGUGCCGGACCUCCUCUUCUUUGGCGGUUCCUCUACCGGCGACGGCCGCCGGACUGUGGGAUUCCAGGCGGAGUGCCUGGCAAAGGGGCUAGCAAAGCUGGGAGUGCAGCAGUGCACAUUGGUCGGGUUCAGCUACGGCGCGGUGGUGGCGUUCAGGUUGGCCGAGUUGCAGCCUGAGCUGGUCGAGUCGGUGGUGGCGACGUGCUCUGUCCCGGUGCUGACGGAGUCGCUGAGCCGAGAGUGCUUAGAGAGGUUGGGAUUUCCGACGUGGUCGGAAUUGCUGUUGCCUGAUUCGGCGAGUGCACUGAAGAAGUUGCUUGAAAUUUGCAGCUUCCACUUCCCUAGACUCCCCAAAUGCGUUUUCAAGCACGCUCUAGAGGUACGUACCAAAGCGAACUUUUCUAAGAUCAUGCACAGGGACCUUUGCUCUAUCCAGAGGUUAUUAGUCCAUUAUCUAAAUAAUCGAUCAAUUCUCCGGUAUUGGCUUUUAAAUUUUCAUCGUGUCAAUGAUGUAAAUGAAAUGCAUUUGUCAACUAUGUGUAAUCUAAACUACCAAAUCAAAAUAAACUUAUCAAUUCACUAAUGAGUUUUCCAUUUAUUACGUAGCUAACCGGAACUCAUUGUUUUUACUUAUCAAAUUAUAUAACUUUAUCCAUAUUUAGCAUAUGUAUCCUGUUUUGAUUGUUUCAGAAUAAUUUAACGUGAUUUUUGUUCUUUACAAUCCAAUGACAUCAAUAUUUGUUAUUUUCGCAAAAAUGCUCUUAACAAAACAAGGGAAGUUGCAGACGUGGCUUUCUCGGAAAUUUUGAUAACUUUUGGCUUUGUUUUUCCCUUUUAGACUUCGCAAGCUAUAUAGGACAAGCAAUGGUGAUUGAGAAUUUCAACAUUUUUAUAUUUUCAUUUCUAAAUUCCGGAAUACCAUGCUCUUAAAUAUAUAUAGGACCACACUUGGUGGAUGGUGGUUGAGAAGAUCAAUCGAUUACAUAAAUUUUUGCUUUUCUUGUCACAUAUCCAUGGCAGUCUUGAUUUUAAUGUGCUUUUCGAAGCAACCUUUUCACUUGUAGCCUUACGUUGCUAGCAUGUCAAGAUUGCAUUUGGUGGAUGGUGGUUGAGAAGAUCAAUCGAUUACAUAAAUUUUUGCUUUUCUUGUCACAUACCAGUCUUGAUUUUAAUGUGCUUUUCAAAGCAACUUUUGCACUUAUAGCCUUACGUUGCUAGCAUGUCAAGAUUGCACUUGGUGGAUGGUGGUUGAGAAGAUCAAUCGAUUACAUAAAUUUUGCUUUUCUUGUCACGUAUCCAUGGCAGUCUUGAUUUUAAUGUGCUUUUUGAAGCAACCUUUGCACUUGUAGCCUUACAUUGCUAGCAUGUCAAGAUUGCAUUACGAGUGACGAUAAAAUUAGUAGAAAAACUUGUAUCACAUAAUGGAUCAAUACAAUGUGCACAUAUGAAAAACACUUAGUCCAAAAGGUUAUACAAUUUGUGUACCUAAUAUUUCCCGAUAAGCAAAAUCCAAAUACUUGGUGUGUGUUUUAGCAAAUAAAUAACUAAUUGCGUUGACAGUGAUGAUCGUAGCAUAUGUGGAAAUGUGGUUACGCAAUCCGUGCAUCUUAUAUUACCCAAUAAAAAAAAAACCCUAAUCCUCUAUGCGUGAGUGCGUGCAUAUGUGCGCAGAUGCACAUGGACGCGUGCGUCACGUGCUGUUGUUGAUAACAUUCACAUAAGGGAAGCCACUGUUUUAGCCAUGACGAUUAGUAGAACCUAUGAUUAUUUACAUCUUCUUUGAAAAUAGUAAAUGCUACAUGAGUUUUUACCUUUGGAAACGGAUCUGCGCCUCCACAUCAAUUAUUAUUGUGUCUUUAUCUACAACAUACCAUUUUCUUUACAAAAAUACUCUUCGUAAAAUCCUGAAUUCUCACACCUAUCCAAAAUAAUGAAAACCAAUUAAAAGCCAAACCACUCAAAUUUUAAGCAUGAUGUUAAAAUGAUUUUGUAAGUAGGGGCAAUUUGAUCUUCUUAAUAUGAGAUUUUGCUUAGAGGUAUGUCAAUGAUACUUGCAAAAAUAAAGGUACGCAGGUAAUUACUAAGUGAAAAUUGAGAUAUGUAUUUGAUAUUUUUCUUUCAAGAAUAAUUUUUUCCUCCCAAAAUAAGUCAUUUGCGUUUACCCGCAUAGGAUAUGUAAAACAUAUAACAGAGAGAAAAAAAAUCUCAGCCUCCCCCCCCCCCCCCCCCCCCCCCCCCGCCCAAAAAUAAUAAUAAUUAAAUGCAGGAUCUUCAACUGUUUUGUGUAGCUCUUUUAGAAAAAUCAUAUAUACUCGACUCUUUUGUUUCGACAAAAAUGUGUAAUUUAUAAAAUAUUUUUAUAAAAAUGAUUGCUUGUAUUAAUUAAAAUAAUUAAUCAAUGAAAAAUAUUUUUAUUGUCAACAACCAUUUAUAUUUAAAUAUUUUCAUGGAUAAUGAUAAUAUUUCUCUUUCAUUCGUUCAUUUUUGUAAGCGAUGCAAGUAAUUAUUUUUAGAAAAAUAUUUUUCAAAUCAUUAAUUUUUUAUGAAAUAAAUGGAACUAAAAUGCUAACAAACAAUUGCGUAGGUUUUGAUCAUAUGCUUCUAUCUGUCAAAAUUUAUCCCUCAUCCUUGGCACAUUGACCGUCGUCCCCGUCCCACCACCACUACUACAACCAUCCAUCAGCCUCCCUUAGAGAGAGAGAGAGAGAGAGAGAUGCUGCAUCAAGCUUAUUGCUGGAAUGGGGGUGACGCUGAUUGUAACGUCGCUGGAGGUCUCUAGUAGUCAUGGCGGUCGGAAAGUUCCACGGCCAACGUCACUGGAGGUCUCUAGUAGUCGCGGCUGUCGGAAAGUUCCACGGCCAGCAUUGAUCUUGUGGUUUGGGGCAGAACAAAACCAAGUAGAUCUUGUCUCCUUUGUUUUUGGGAGACAUUCAGAUGUCAUCUCCUCCGUGGUGAAUGAUCAUCAUCAAGAUAUUUGUGCCUAGAUGACGGGGGGAGAGAGAGAUCUAUCAAAUCAAGUCUUGUCGUCAAAGUGGGAGCCACCUACGGUGGUGCUGGGACUGGAGGUGGCGGUCUCCAUCGAUGGUGGCUGUCACAAGUUCGGUGCUGGCAUUGAUGGUACGCUAGGGCGUUUAGAAGAAGAAGAGAGAGAGAGAGAGCGAGAGAUUUUUCUAGUGGUAUUUAUGAACAUGCGUAAAAAUCAUAAUAGACUCUCCUAGUAAAGAUAAGAUGUUUACCUCAUUUAUCCCUUUCUUGUCGUUGGAUGGUAGGUUUUGUUUGACUGCAGAAAAGAGAGAGCCGAAUUGCUGGAGGCUUUGGUCAUUCCAGACAAGGAUUUCGCUUUCCCGCAGUACUCUCAGGUUUGAUGAGUCUUCUCCUUCGGUGGUUGUUUAUUUUUUAACCCUACAUAGAAUCCUUUGUUAAAAAAAAAAAAAUACAUAAAAAAAAACUGAUUAUAAGUUGAAAAAUUCUGAUUUAUACUCAUUUUAUGGGUGAGGUACUGAACCAAGGCGGCACUUAAUUGAGAACAUUUUUCUUGGUGGCUGCAAUAUGAGAUGAGAUCCAUUAUUUCUUUCAUUCUUUGUUGAUUUUCUCUGACAUUAAGAUCCUAGGCAUAAUACUUGGAUUGUGUAAAUUUGCAUGUCACUCUAGUAUCAAUUUUUUUUCUAACAAUGCAAGACGUGUUUGUAACCUACUCAAGUAUACAAAAGGGAAAAAUAGAGCAAAGCCGAUUGUAUCAAGAAAAGUAUACACAAACGAUCUCAUUCACCUUUUUUGAGGACCAUAACCAGUUAAUCUUCUCGGUCGAUAGUGUAUAAAGGUGCUCGUGUAAAAAUUUUCACAAUGGUGAUGUAUGCUACAAUUUCUCUGCCAAAAGCUAGUCCUUAGAACACUUAUCCUUGCAACAUAUAAAAUUACUUUAUGUGGUUCUCCCCAAAUCCAACGGUAGAUUAUAUGUAUUAAGUUCAUAACAUGUGUAUGUAAGAUAUGCAUAAUUGACUUGAUCUCAACCCUUUCAUCUUGUCAAAUGAUGUGUGGCUUUUGCAUAUGACAACUAAGAUAAUUCAUGAAUUUUAUCAGAAAAGUUCCAAACUUAUUACACUUAUGUCAAUUUAAUUCUAGACAUUUUUAUGUUUUACCAAUUGAAUUCAUCUAAUCAAUUUUUACCAAAAAUUACUAGCUUAAAUGCCAGUCGUGCUACAUGGUAUAACCAAUUUUGACAUGGACAUUUUUUAAAUUUUUAAUAAUUUUCGAAUUUUCAUUAAUUGUUUUCCUUUUACUUCUUCUUCUUCUUCUUCUUCUUCUGCUCUCUCUCUCUCUCUCUCUCUCUCUCUCUCUCUCUCUCUCUCUCUCUCUCUCUCUCUCUCUCUCUCUCUCUCUCUCUCUCUCUCUCUCUAUGGUUGGGGACAAUCAUUAGAGCUCGUUGGCCACUAGGCGAGGGUCACAAAGCCCUCACCGAUUGCAUGCGAGGGCCACAGAGGCCUUGCUGGCCACAAGCGAAGGUGGCCUUGUCCUUGGCCAGUGAGGCUAACCUUGCCUAGAUAUGGUGAAGUUGGCUUACCUAUAGCCAUGAUGGCCUUGCCUCACUGCUAGCGAGCUUCGACGACUCUCGUCAAACACAAUGAAAAAAAAAAGGAAAGAAGGAAAAGAGAAGAAAAUGAAAAAAAAAGUUAAAACAUUAAAAAAAAUUUCUACAUCAGCAUUGACCAUGCCAUGUAGGAUGGUUGGUAUUGGUGUUAGUGAUUUUUAGCCAAAAUUUGGCCAGAUGGAUUUAAUUGAAAAAACAUGCCAAGGUUUUUUAGUAAAGUAGCACAAUUGAAAUGUCUAUAACUAAAUUGGUACUAAUGUAAUAUGUUUAGGACUUUUUUGAUAAUUAUCCUAAGAUAAUUCUAGAUAUUUAGUCUAGGCUAGAAUCUCAUAUAUAAUUACAUGUGCAUGCCUUUUAAUACAUAUGUAUCAUUGAAAUUGAUAUUUUUUGUGUUCAAUUUAGUAUACCCUAGCAGAAAUGCUAGGUAUAUUUACCUCGAUAUAAAGUUGCUAUAUUUCUUAUCAAGACCCGGACCCUUGGAGUGCCAAAACUUGGCACGGUUUGGCACGGAGGAACACGUAAGUACCAAAAUCAAAAUAAAAUAGAUCAGUUAAGUGCCAACAGUGAGAAAAUCCAACCAAAAUAUUAAAAUGACAUUUUUUCAGAGAGACGAGUGUAAAAUGAAGUCAUUUUGCCUCGGAUUUGAAUUUUAAUGUAAAUUUAAUUUAAUUUAAAACUAAAUUAUUAUUAUUAUUUUAAGGAAGAAGAUGAACAUUGCAAGGCGAGGGCUUAGCCCUCAUUGUCGCCUCCCCACCAUCAUCGAGAAGGGCUGGUAGGAGUGAUUGGUUCUUGGUUCGGUCCAAUUCCAAGGUGGAACUGGGAACCGGACCGGGAGCACUGGUUCCCAAAGUUGCGGAGCACUGGUUCCCAAAGUUGCGAACCGUGGACUAGACCGUUUGGUCCUAGGAAUCAGACCGGAACUAGUUCCCGUCUGGUCCAAAAAAAUUGGCUCCGGCUCUACUUUUUUGCACUAAAGAGUGAUCGCACUCCGGGCCAAUCAAUCCAAUUCGAUUCUCGGGCAAUUUAACAAAACUAAUCACACAUGUUUCCAUGUGCAAAAUAUUCAAACUUCACUUAUGUGAUUCACACUUCGUGUGUUUCACACUUAACUUUAACCAUGAAGGCCAUAAACAAACCAUGAAGGCCAUAAACAAUUUGAUGAAAGGUUGUGCUUGGCUUAGAUUUUAUAGACAAUCUAUCUUCUGCUCUUUGACUUGGAGGCUUGAAGUGCCUUGUGGUUGGAGGCUUGAAGUGCCUUGUGGGUCUCUUGAAGCCUUAGUCCCAUAUCGAGUAGAAGAUGAAACUAACAAAGAGAUUUUUUCUAUAAAUAAAAGAGUAACAAAAAGGGUUUUAAGGGUCUCUUGGCCACGUAAGAGGUUGCUACCUCAAAUUGCAAUUUUGGUUGCAAUAAGUUAUCAUGUUUAUAUAUUUUAUUCAUUCUAUGUAUAUUAAUUAUAUAUAAAAAAAAUUCGUUCGGUUUGAUCGUCCAAUUCCCACCUUCGAACCAAGAACCGGACCAACAGGCCACCGGUUCCAAGAUUAGGAACUGGGAACCGGACCGCCGAUUGUGGGAAUCGCCCAAAACUGGCCAGCUAGUUCCCGGUUCUAGCGGUUCCCGUUGCACACCCCUAAGGGUUGGGGGGUAGUGAGGGAAGGGUUGGUUGAGGUCACCGAGCCCUAGUUAAGGGUUGAUGACCCUGGCCACCUAGUGGCAUGGGCCUACAAGCCUUCACAUAGAUCUGGGGCUAGGGUUGCAACCCUCCCCCAAAUUCAACAAUGGUCGUUGACCCUUGCCUAGUCGGGCCAAGAGCCAUUGCUGGCUAGGGGGUAGGCCCUUGUCAUCGGUCAACCAGAGUCACUAACCCUUGGCUAGGGCCCGUUGACCUCGGCUAACCUUUCCCCCAUCAUCGACUGCAAUUCGCGACGACCGUGGGAGGUGGCGGCAAGGGUUGAUCUUUAUCUUCUUCCUCUUUUUUUAAUAAUUUAUUUUUAAAUUUAAUUUAAUUUAAUUUAUAUUAAAAUUCAAAAAAAGAGCCAAAACGUUGUCGUUUUGGCUUUUCUUUGCUGACUCAGCUCUUCGAUGAGUCAUAUAGUGAGUUAUAUUAUUAAAAAAUUGUCAUGUAGGAUUUCUGGCCAAAAACACUGGAUUUGACACUUAGGUGGCCCAAAUUUGUUUUUGGAAAAAGUGACACUUAAGUGUCCUCUCAUGCCAAGUUUUGGCGCUUAUUUAGUUCUUUUGCCAUUUCUUAACUGAUGUUCGAACACUAUCUAGUUGAUAAAUUCUCAUUCAAGUUCUCUCACAUCACUUAUUAUACUAAUAGUCUUCGUUUACUUGAUAAUCUGUUUUAUUUUAUUUGGUCAAACCUAAUAAUCUCUUCUUCUUUUUUUGUCAAAAAGAAAUUUCCAUUCAUUACAAAACUGAUAAAUGAAAGGGAAUUUCAAAAGUCACAGUAGCAAAACAAACCCAUAGAUCUCCAAAAUAAACAAAAAACCAAAAAUCAAGGCGUUUCAACAAAGCAUGGUUGGUAGAGAUCAUCACAAGCUUAUUCUUCAAGAGCAUAUCUAUAAUGGCAGAGAUCAUUACAAGCUUGUCCUUCAAGAGCGAAUCUAGUAUAACUAGAUCCAAGCGAAAUGAUCAGUGAUCAAAACUUACAUGAUGCAAAAACUUACAUAUUCUAUAGUAAGAACCUGUACAGAGUUUGGGGCAGAAAUGGAGGCAAAAGAAAGUAGAGGUUAGAACCUAAGUGAAUGACUACACGCAAAAUUGUAACAUGCACUCGGUGCAUGUGAAGUGCAUGUGAACCCACUUAAUGCUAUUGCCAGCCAUUAGAUCCUGUGGCGCCACAUGGGACCAAUACGUUAAAAAUUGUUUGGUCGUAAUAGUGUCUAUUAUAUCACAUGUUGAAUGCCCUUUACAGUUUUUGUAUUCAGUAAUAUUUGUUAUAGCAUAAUUUGUAGUACAGCCAAAACUACAUUAAAUAUUCACGUCCUUCUCUUGCACUCACUCUAUAUAUGUUAGAUUACUAUUCCAAAUUAUGACUAAAUUUGUUGAAUUAUUAUUAUUAUUAUUAUUAUUAUUAUUAUUAUUAUUAUUAUUAUUAUUAUUAUUAUUAUUAUUAUUAUUAUUAUUAUUAUUAUUUUGGUAAGGCUUGAAUUAUUUAUAUAUAGUAAUAACAUUAAUUAUAUUUUUUUUACAUAAUCAUAUGCUAUGUCAUUAAUAAAUAAAAUACUAGAUAUAAUUAGUAAACAGUGGAUGCUAUAAUAAUUAUGUUAUCUAUGACACAAACAUUGGUUUAUAUUAAAAUUUAUAACAAUAACUAGCAUCAUAUUAGUUGCCUCCUAUCAGCAGGUGCAGUUAUCUAAAUCUCUAUAAUCAAAUAGUUUAUUAUCCAUAAUAUAAUGAAUAAUCAUUACUGAUUAUAUUAAUCAAUGCUCAAAAAUUUAUAAUUGUUAUUUCAAUCAUAUUUUUAACUACGUAAUACAUAAUAUUCUUUUAAUUGGACAUAUUAAACGAUUAAAUUAGAGUCAUAAUAAAUGAAAAAAAAAAUUACCCCUUAUUUUAUAUGUGAUUCAUACAACAAAUAGUAUAAUAGAUACUAUAUUACUUAAAUCAAACAAUGUACUAAUUAAUGCAAUAGCGAUUACGCUACAACUUAUUCCAUUGCUACAUAUGGUUGAUACGAAAUGGACUUGGAUUAUUCGGGUGUACGCACGCAAGACUUUCUCGAACUACCUUCCUUCUAGUCAUAUUUGUAGAAUGUUGUGGAAAUUGGAUGAUGAUUGAUGGGAUCUUUUUGCAGAAGGUGCAUCUGGUUAUGGGCGAGAAUGACAGGAUCUUCCCUGCUGAAGUAGCUAAAUCAGUGAAAGAGUAUGUUUACAGAUUUCCAUUUAAUAGUUCGUCAAUCAAUUUAUAUUUAUUUAUUUAUUAAUACUAAAGUUUUAAUGCUGAAACCAUAUUGUUAUAUCAGCAUGUCUUUGCUGCUUCCUUUUGCUUGAUUAUCUUCCAUCGUGAAGAAUAGAAGCCAUGUCUUGGCAUAAACUUUAACCGCAUAUUUUAUUUUAUCCAAUUUUAGUUUGCAAUUAAGACAACUCGUUAGAUUGCAUAUGUUUGUAUCAGAAUUUUAAGAAAUGAAUUUUGACAUAUAAAAUCAAUUUACGACAAUGACAGUGUAACUUUUCUUUUGCACGGUUUGCAGACCUAAUAAAGCUAUUAUAUGUUCUAUGCGAAAUUGCAUGAAGCUAAUUGGGAAGUAUUGAUACACUUGUGAUGAUUUAUUUAUCUUAUUGGUACUUGGUUCACUGAUAAUUUCCCGUUAAAUAGCUCUCUCUCUCUCUCUCUCUCUCUCUCUCUCUCUCUCUCUCUCUCUCUCUUUCUCUCUUUCUUUUUUUUUUUCUUUUUUUUCUCGAACCGAUAUCUAUUAUUGUAAAUAGACAUUCUUAAAAGAUUCUUAAAAGAUGUUGUUUGCUCCACUGGGUUUCCGUUCAACUAUUUUCAGCAGAAAUUUGACUUGUACGGUUAUGUUCUUUUGGACAGAAAUUUGGGAGAUAGUGCGACACUGGUAUGCAUUGAGAAAGCAGGCCAUAUGGUUGCAUUGGAGAGACCUUUCGUCUACAAUAAAUGUUUGAAGAAAAUUCUGGCCUCUAUUUACAAAGCUGGACAUACAAAAUAAUUGGGUCGUAUUCUGAUGACUAUUAUAACAAUUAGUAGAAUAAUUUGUUAAAAAGAAUACAAAUAUCGUCAAUUUGGUGUGCAUCUUGAUGAAUUUGUUUUUUUUUUUUAAGACACGUGCACUUAAUUAUCGCAAUAAAUAACAAUUCUAUUUGGUUGCAAUCUUGCUUUCGAAGCAAAUCUCAGCCACAUUGCUUCCUUGGUUGCUUCUGUUGCUGCAACGUACUCUAACCCUAGGGUUCGAUGUCGAAAUUAUGUUAUGAAUUUGCUUUACUAUAUAAAAGGAAUAUAGAGAGAGACAGAGGAAUAGUGGUGGUAGAUGACUGUUUAUUGUCACUGUCCACCGCGAGGACGGGGUCACGGGAGAGAGGGGGCUCUGGAGGCGGAGGUAGCUUGACGGCGAAGUUGGCUGGGUGAUUAUCACAGGCGGAGUCGGACCAGACCGAUGGUGUUGCAGGGGACAGGCUGCAAAUUGUUCAGGAUUGAGGGGCUAAAGAGGGAGAGGCUGAUGUGGAUUUUCUAGACUAAACCUCGUUUUUCUUGGAUUAGUAUCAUGAUGAUAUUAUUAUUUUUAAAUGCACAUUAGUUUGUUGACAUGAGAAUGUUAUAUUAAAUGAUUAACAAUGACUUAGAACAAAAGUUUAACCGGAGAAUUUAUAUAAGAUUUGAGUGAAAGUCGGUGAUUUUUUUUAUAUAAAAAGAAGCAUAAUUUGAACUAAACAUAAAAUUGAAGAAUAUUUAGGAUUUAAGGCGAAACAAACUACGUUGUUUCCAGCAAAAAUCUUGUGAUAUAAAUUGGUUCUUUAGAAAUUGACGGUAGUGCAAUUUUUUUUUUCUUUUUAAGUAAAUGGACAUCCCGGGUAAAUACACGUACUAACAAAGAUGGCGGGACAACAGGGAGAAAGGUGGCAGAGUACGCCUUAGACGGCGGCGAGCAUGCAGCAAGAGAGGUUUCCGAGAAAAUAUUAGAUGAGUCAUUCUCCACGUGGGCUAUAUGAAAAACCACACAAAAUUUGACAUGUGUCGACCACAUAUAAUCCAGGCCCCACGUUGAGAUAAUUUAAAAUUUUAUGCUUCCCCUCUCUUCUGUCUCUCUAACCUUCUCUCUCUCCUCUGUAGACCAUCUCUUUCCUCUCUUUUCUCUCUCUCCCCGUUCUCCGUUCCAAUAUAGGAGAAGAGAACAAUAUCGCGAGGGGUUAAAAAAUAGUUCUGUGCUUUUUCUCUUGCCAUUGUGCCUCUCUUCCAGCGAACCGUGACACCGACGCCCCUCCGCCUCCACCGGUUGCCUCCGUUGGCCCCAAUCCUGACGCCGACGCCGACCCUCCAUUGUCACCUCCUAAGCCCGGUCGCGUUUUUACUUCACUCUCGCGACCUCCUCCCUCUCUCUCUCUCUCUCUCUCUCUCACUCUCUCUCUCUCCUCCGCGAAGCGCCUUUGCUUGCCGAUGACGACCCCGUGCUCGCGCUUUUGCCUCCCUCUACGCGAGCGGAGGCCUCUCUCUCUCUCUCUCACAUUCCUCCGCGAAGUGCCCCUUGCUCUUGAACACGGACGCCGCCGUCGCCAUCGCCUCCCCGAGCCCCACCGUCACCUGUCGCAGCCCCAUUGGUGGCUCCCAUACUAGGUAGGUACACUUUUUGAUGAAAUACUCUUACCCGCUAGACAAACUGAUAAAUGGAAAUUGGGAUUUGAAUGAAUUUUCGGAAAAGCAGUUUGGCUUUUUAGUAGUUGGUCAUUGCUAUUUUGAAUGAUUGAUGAUGAUAAGCAAAGCUUGUCUUCUCCGAGUGGAAUGGGUUUUCCAUUGACUAAAGUUUGAAAGUUGCUUUGGUAUUGGAGUGUCCCUGCUGACGCCAUCUAGUAAGCAUAUGUAAAAGGUACAGAAUUUAAACUUGUUGGGCAAAUGAUUGCUGGAAUGUGGCUCGUGAUUAUGUAGUCUGUGGCUUUGUAAAAUCGUCAGCUAUUAUUUUUUGGAGGGUCCUUGUUAUUUUCUUAUACUAUCUGUAGUUGCACUUGGGAGAGUUGAGAAUUAGCUAGAACUAAAAGCAAUUUCAUCUCAGGCCUUAUGUGUGAUACUGAUGGAUCGUCGAAUUUAUGCAGGCAUGGAUCACGCUGGGUAGAGCACAGUUGAACUUUGGAGAGCCUGAUAGCGCCCUGGCUAGUUUCGAUAGAGCAUUAUCUCUUAAGGUAUGCUGCUGAUCACUGUACUUCUUCUAGCUUUAGCGUGCAAAGAUACUAGUGAAUUAGCCCCUACAUUGCAGCCAGAUUGUGAAGAAGCUUAAGAUGACAGGAGAACUGCACUACAUCUUGUAAAGAAGCGAAAGCAGCUGCAUUUGUCAGGCAUGAGCACAACAAAAAACCGUUUUGUGGUUGGAGAUAAAGAAUGACUCUUUGGUCCAGUUACAUAUUGUGGCUCUAGAGAAGGAACCCAUGGCCCUUACGUAUAUAGCUUUCACGAGUUAUGAGGAGCUAUUAUAUUUUGUUAAGCUCUUAAGAAGAUGCAAGGUAGUUGAAGAAAAAUUUAUGCAGUCCGACUUUCCUUGUUCGAAACUAGAAGGGCAAAAGUUGGGAGGAUGUCACCUCUCAUCCGAUUGAAAGCUGGUCUCUUUAGAUAUCUUGCCUUUUCACCCUUGCGACUAGGACUUUUGUUUCUUCUUGGUUACUUUCUUCUGAAUUCUUUUUGUAUGUUAUUGUACUAAUUUCUUUCAGCAUAACGCCAUCAUCUGCUGAAAAAGGAUAGAUGACUGAUGCUUGAACGAAGAAUGUAAGUCCACAAAGCAUCCUCAGUUGUUGUUGUGGCUAGACGUGAUACUAUAGUUAUGGAAUGUGUGGAGAGUUGUUUAUACUCUGUUGGAUCUUUGGUCUUUCUACUUUAUUGUUGUACCUAGAAAUGAAUGAGCAUAUGAAUUUUGUCUUAGUUAUAAUGCUCUUGGCUAAACCAUGAUCAUGGUGCCCAUAUUAAUGAUUUUGUUAGUCUCUCUUUUUGGUUGUUGCAAGAUCAGCACCAGGGCCAUUUUUCACGGUCAUUCAUCACGAAUAGUUACAAUC